UCAAAGGUAUGUAUGUAUAUAUAAUUAAAUCUAAAAUUAAAAAGGUACAAAUGAGUAACUAAUAAUAAUGAUAAUACAAGAUAAUAGUAACAAAUUUAUUAAUUUUAAUAAGGAAAUAACCAAAAUAAAAAAGGGUAAAUUGAAUACUAAAACAAACUUUUGGGGUCUAAAUCUGCAAAUAAACAAAAGGAGUGGUGCAGGACCGAAAAGAGGUACGUUUAAGGAACGAGGGACCAACUAGGAAAUAUUUCCAGCCCUCAGACGCAACGUUUCGGUCUGGACUAAGAUGGAACACGCAGAAAAUUGAGAGGCCAAAUUAAAAAAAUAAAAAAGACGAGAUUGCACAACAAUACAAAAUAGGAAGGACUAAAGCAGUAAAUAUCCCAGAAGCAAAAAAAAGCGCGGAUCCUGGGGCAGGCAGGUCGGGUCUUCGGGUCUUAAGUCAAAACCACGCCGUUUUUCCACUGGUGACCUCGGCUCAAAACGACGCCGUUUAAUGUUGCUAUAAAGCCCAAAUUUUUUUUAAAAUUUUCAUUUUUCCUUCUUUCUCAAAAUAAAACAGACAAAAGCUCUCAAAUUUCCUCUCCCCCUCUCUAGCACUGCCCAGAAUCCGGCGAGGAGAACCGCCGUCAACGCCGUUGCGCCGGCCACCGGGAAAAUUCAAAGGUAAUUUUUUUUACUUCUAUAUGUUAUUUAUGUAUAUAGUUUAAAAAUAAAAGAAAAAUAAAAAAAAUCGAAUACAAACAGUCGAAAAUCGAAAACAAAGAGAGAAAAAAAAUAAUAAAAAGAAGGACCUUUCGUAUUGCCCUUGUUUUUGAUCUCUUUUUUUUGCUGAUUUGCUUGAAUCCUUGUUUGAAAGUGUUAUGUUUUUAUUUUUUGUUCAUCAAAAGGGAAAAAAGAACCCCCCAUUACAGAUUUUUCAUGGUUUUUAUAGCCAUUUUUUACAACGUUUUUAUAUUAUUUUUUGUCAUUUCUUACAGGCCACUUGAAGGCGGUGGAGCAGUGGCGGUGAUGGCAGAGGGCAGGUGAGCGGCAAUGGGACGUGCGGCGCCUGGGGCUAAGGGGCAGAAGGCUGCGGCGCUAGGAGCGGCGGUGGCAGGGCAAGUGGGCAGAAAACCUCUUUUUAACUGUUCCAACUCACCAAAGCAAAAUACAAACUAAAUAUGAGCUUCACAUGCAUACCUCACACAACUGCAUUCACUUACAAAGGAAAAAAAGCAGAAAUAGAGACAUUGAAUGAUCCCCAUUCAUUAUUUAAGUAAUUCCCCACUAACAAUAGUAUUUCCAGUUAACCAUGUUUGAGAGCUUCCUUAACAAAUCUGUCGAAAUCAAUAUAAGAUGAUCCCCCAACUUCAACCGCUUCUUCCGCUUUCUUCUUCCAUCCCAAUGCCUUCUCUUUCUUUUUCUUUCCUUCCUCACCUUCCAUCAUUUCCUUAACUAAAAACUCUAUGUUCUCUCGCUUCACAUCAUGAUCCACCUCCAUGCCAAUGCCCCAAUGAGUGCAAGCAUAUCGACAAUUGGUUUGCUGAUCAGCAAAAAAUGGCCAACAAACUACUGGCACACCUUCUGAUAUGGUUUCCACGGUAGAAUUCCACCCACAGUGUGUCAAAAAAACACCGACUGAAGGAUGUGAAAGGACCUCAUAUUGGUUGCACCAGCUUGUUAUCAGCCCUCUUUCCUUCAAUCUCCUUCAGGAACUCUAGAUCCAGAAUUGCAGAAUCACCCAUCACGACAUCUGGUCUAACGAUCCAUAAAAAUGGGUGUUUAGAGUUAGCCAACCCCCAUGCAAAUUCUUUGAGAUGCUUCGCCGACAUGACAGUAAUGCUUCCAUAGUUCACAUACACAACUGAAUUGGGUUCCCUUUCGUUAAGCCAUUCAAUGCAGCUUGUAUCUUCCUUCCAUAGGCUUGGGUUCAUUGACUUGGAGGGAUCGGCAUGUAGGUGCCUGGCAACCAAAUGAAGUGGUCCUACUGUAUAAAUUCGAGGAAAUUUGGCAGCGAUGGCGUCGAGCACUUCAUGUUCGAACUCUUCAAAUGCGUUGAAGAUUAUUGCUGAAGCUUUUAGGCAAUUUUGAGCUUCGGAUCCUAAAUAAUCAAACAAAAUGUCAUUCGGAUCGUUGGCUCUGACGAAGCUUGGAAAAUCUCUGAGGCGAAUGUUACUCAUUCCAGGGACCCAGUCAAUAGGUUCAUCGAGAAAUGUUUCACCUGACACGACAAAGAGUCAAAUUUGAGUUCCUUUUAGAGAAUUUUCUUAGCUAUAAAGUUACAAAGUUGAAAUAAGAAAGUACUUACUUUGGAAUGGAAUAAUGCCUCGUUUAACCAGUUCACUGAAGUGAAGAUAUCCCAUGAAACUACAUGCUGAGGCAGUCCAAAACUGAACUUCUGGUAUGCCAAGUUGUUCAGCAGCCUUAAUAGCAAAGCUCAUAAGUCCAUCAGAGAUUAUGAAAGUAACAGUGGGCACUUGGGGCGAGGAGUUUAACUUAGCUAGUAGAUCUACGAAUGGUGCCAAGCAAUGCUUUCGUAUCGAAUCACACAGAACUGGAAGAUCCUGUGUUGCAUUUCGAUCGGACGAUGUCAGCCCUUCCGGAAUUGUUUCGAACUGGAAAUCAGGCAGACCUUUAACAAAGUCAGGGCCUUUGGACCUGACCAAACGCCUAUGGUUGAACUCAGUGUUAACAAAGGUUAUGAAGAAGCCUCUAGAGUGUAAGAGCUUAGCAAGUAGCAUCAUGGGGUUAACAUGACCUUGUGCUGGAAAUGGGACGAUUACAAUAUGGGGUUUACUGGUUUCAAGUGAACCCAUCUUUGCAAAGCAAUAACAAAGUUGUAAAAUUAAGGUGUUUGCAGAGAAGCUUUCCUUGCUUUCUAGCUUCUCUAAAGCUUGACGAGUAGCAACAUGCAAUAUAUAGGAAAAGGAUGGCGUGAAAGAGUUCAUUUGUAUUCCUUUUUCAAAAACUGUCAGAAAAUUCAUUAUUUUUAAUUUAGGCUAUUUAUAAUUUAUAAAAUUUUAAAUUAGUAAUGAUAAAAUUACACUUUGGCCCCCUUAAAAAUGAUAAAAAUUUGAUUAAUUUUUUAAAAAUGAUAAAGAUAUAGACUAUUAAAAUGAUAAAAUUAUAUUUUUACUAUCAUAAAACAUACAAUUUAAUUCCGCCCUGAAAAACUUUUCUAAUUCCGCCAUUGUUUUAUAUUUAAAUUAAUUACGCUAGAACUAGAAUGUCACAUUAUUCUCUAUAUAAUUUUUUUUUACUUUUAGAUUUAUAAUAUUUUAUAUUUAAUAGUAUAUUUUAUUUCAAAUGUUUCAUAUUUAUACUCAAAGUCAUUUAAAUUUUGGGUUUGUUUCAUAAAAUGUUUAAGAAAAAAAAUAAAAAUAUAAAACAUAAAACUUUUACAAUUAAAAAUUUAUAUUUAUCAAACAAUCUAUUUAUAUUUAAUAAUUAAUUUUAAGUAAUAUAUCAAAUAAAUUUUAUAAUUUAAAUUUAAUAUAUGUAAUUUUUAACACUUAAUUUUUAAUUUAUUUUUUAUCCAUAUUUUUCUUCCCUUAUUGUGGGAGAUUCGGCCCCACCUUUGAAUAUUCAAAUAUUAUUGUUAUCAUAUAAUAGUUUAUAAUUAAACUGUUGUUGAUAUAAUAAAUUUAUGUAUUUAUAUUCCAACUCCAUUAUAUAUUUGAAGUUAUUGUUUAAAUUGAAGAUUUUAUUUUUCAAAAAUAGUUUAAUAAUUUUUAAUAUUUCCAGGAAUUAAUUUAUGAACCAUUUUAAUUUUAGUUGGAAUAACAAAAAAAGAAAAAGAAAGAAAAAAACUAUAAUAUCUUCUUUCGUAGCUAAUUUUUGUACCUAUUUUUUUAUAGAAUUUACAAUUAUUUAUACUAAAUUAUGUCACAUGUUGCGACUCUUUACCAUUAGAUCAGACCAUUGCCACUAUGUUACGUCUUUUUAGUUAAUCAAUUUGAAUAUAAAUCAUAAUUAUUCUCAAGUUAAGAUGGAUAAAUGAUGGACAAAACCGGCUGUCAGCGUGUUGUAAUGUUCUAUGAAUGUUGAGGCUAAAGUCUUUGUCGUAUUGAUGGAGUUUGUCCUUCAUUGUCGACAAUGGAUGUUUUUUUUCUUUUCCCCAAAUUGUAUGGUCCCAUUUGUGGAAUAAAUUAAUAAAAUUUUCCUUUCAAAUGAUAAUAAUUAAAUAUAGAGGUAGUUGCAUCGGGUGUAACACCCCAAACUCGGCCUGGACGUUAUGAUUGAAUCUGGCAAUGUCACAUGAUAGUGUGUUUGAAAACCGAUGCUCGUGUUGAAAAAACCGUAACUUUGCUUAAAACAUUUUCCGUUUAGAUCUCGUCGUUAUCUUUUAUUAAUCCUAAAAUAGUGAUUUUUAUUCAGUCGUUAGUUUGCAAAAUAUUAUAUGUUGCAGAAGCUUUUUAAAGUAGUUUGUGUCCUUGUGGGUAUUUUGCUAAAACACAUGCAUUUCUUUUAAAAACUCGUGUUUUAUCUACCUCUAGCAGAUAUAAAACAUAAAGCAAUAUAAAAUCCAAAAUUUAAGCAAAAACUCAUAGCGGCCAUUAUUACAGAAAAAUACCCCAAAUAAAGCCCCAAAUAAAGCUUUAAAAAAUAAACCUAAUUAAAUACGAAACAGUAAAAAGGAGUCGUGUGGCCAUAGCUGAGUCCUCCGCCGUUCCGAUCCGCCUAAGUCUGGGGAUUACCUAAAUAGAUGAAUCAGAAGGGUGAGUUUACGAAAACUCAGUGUGUAAUCCCCACACAAACAAGCAAACAAUAUGCAAUCAUAGUUUGGGCUUAAGCCCAUUUCGGUAAUAGUUUCAGUUUCAGUUAGGGCCUUAGCCCAUUACAAUACAGAAGCAGACGUGCAUUUGGCCCUUGGCCCAUUACAAUAUCAAUACUCAGUACAGUGACAGAUAUGCAGUGUCAAAUCCUACCCAGCCAGCUUCUACACUCCAGCUCUGUCCAACCCUACACUCCAUGUGGGGAAAUGAUCAACCCACCCAUCCCUACACUCUAAAAAGUACCAAAUGCGGCACUAGACAGUAGUUUACAGUUGAGCUGCCAGUAAUUUAGGCUCGAGGCCUUUCAGUACACUUCCUCCGAACAAUAUAACCCAACCCCAAUGCAAUGCAAUAUAUAUAUGACAUGUUAAAACAUAAUAACGUGCAUAAAAUCAGGGCAUACAGUAUCAAACCAGUGGUACAUCAUCAUGCUUAAUAACAUGCAUAAUCGUAUCAGUCAUACAGUCAUUUUAGUCAAUUAGGGGUCUAGGAAAGCUUAUCGACCCUACAGUAGGUCCACAGUCGACUCGGGCGACCCGUGUAACCUUAGUAGUCAAAUAGUGAAAAUGGGUCGACGACCCAUGUUGCAUGCCCAUGUGGCCCAUACGGCCUAAAAUGGCCUUGGCCGUGUGGAUCUCACGGCCUGGCCUAAUAUUCCCAUACGCCCGUGUAGUUCACCUGUGUGGGGCCCACGCACCCGUGUGGUCCACACGACCUAAUUCAGCCCGGCCCAUGAAUCGUACAUGGCCAACCUCAUCGAUCACGCGCCCAUAUUCAAUCACACGGCCUACCACACUGGCGACCGCACGCCCGUGUGGCGUCGACAAUCACAUUUUUUGGCUUUUCACCGAUUUCUGUUUUCAGAGUUGCGUUUACACACCUGGUUUCUAUUCGCUGAGAAGGAAAACACCGAGCCUUUGAAACCUACAUUUGACCAAACAAUCACCAAUUAAUCACUUAUACCCUUACUCAAUCAAAAACACACGAGUUGACCAAGUGUUAACUAGCAACAAUGUUACCUUCAAUCGAGUAAAGAGGGAGGUUUUGCCCACUUAAUCACCAAUUAAUGAUCCUCCACCCCUCGAAUAACUCCUAGGCACCAACCAAAAUCAGAUAAGCAUUGAUUCAUUAGGCAAUAAGAUAACAAUAUACUAUCUACCCUUACCAACAACGUAAGAAGAGUACCAAUUACGAAGUGCAAGAACUUAUUAGCAAGUAGAUAUUGAUAACCAGAAAGACAGCACAGGAAAAACAGUCAGCUGCAAGGGAAAGAAAAGAAUCGACAAAAAGAAAUGAAAGGAAAGAAUGAAAAGAGGGGGAAGACUCGGCCAAGGGAAGAGGGGAACAUUUUCUUACCUUUUUCUAAAUAGUAAAUAUUUUGGAAAGCCAAAAGAGAGAGACCACAAGAACACUAAUUCGGCAGAAAACAAUAAGAACAUAAUCAACACAAUGAAGGUAGAAAAGGAAAUCGGCAAGGAAGAAAAACUAGCAGAAGUUUCGGCAGAGAACUUUCAGAAAUCAAAAAGAAAAUUUCGAUAAUGGGGAAACAAAACAACAGAGAGCAAAUUGUUAAAAAUGAAAGAGUGAGGGGAAAGUCGAACUUGCAACUACAGUUUGAAUGCUCUCAAACUCCUCACUCCUUAAUUUUCUCACCAUAUCCCUUAAUCCUCUCCCCAAAAUCGUCCACCUCUCCCUCAACCACCUAAUUCAAAUUCCACUCAAACUCUUCAGUAUUUCGGCUAAACUAGAACACCCACACGGCACAAGUAACAAAAUAAAACACUCCCUUGCAUAUACCAAGACCACCAACACUUUACCACUCCAUUUAUCCACUAGACUAGCAAGCCCAUUCUGACAUAUUUCACCAACAUUUAUUUAUAAGCAUACUGAUUAGAGAUAUGAGUUUAUUCAUUUAAGAACAAAAAUUUACUCAAGCUAAGAGUUGAACUUAGGACCUCCCAAACACUCCCAGAACACUUAACCACUGAAGCAGACAAAUAUUUGUAUCACAAACAUACAAAAAUAAAUAUAUAAAGGAUUUUUGGGGCGUUACAUCGGGUAUCCCCGAACUAUGAUUCUCAUUUUAAUUUGGUUUCCAAACUUCAAAAACGCUUUUAAUUACAUAUUCAAACUAUCAAUGUUAUAUCAAUCAUGCCCUUCUAUUAUUAAAAUCAUUAAUUUAAUCAGUAAAGGACACUUCAAAUCUUAUGUGACAUAAUUUAAAAUGAAAGUUUUAAAGAAAAGUAAAACAUUACCACAUAAAAUUUUAAAGUUAAAACUAAAAAUAAAGUAAAACUGGAAAAAAGAGAUAGUGAACAAUAAAGCUUUUGUAAAAGUUUCAAAAACCUCAAAAUCAAGAUUUUUACAACAUCCAUUUUUACAAUAUUCAUUUUUCUUUAAAAAUUUCAAUUUAAUCUAUGCCAUAUAAUAUUUGGUAAUUGAUUUAAUGGUUAAAUUAACAAUUUUAGUAAAAGGACAUUAUUGAUAUAACCACAAUAGUUUGAAGAUGUAUUGAGUGUUUUAAAGUUUGGGGACCAAUUUAGAAUAAAGGUUCUAGGUUGAGAAUAUAUGGUAAAACAAUUGAAGUAUAUUUAAUAUUAUUGAUUUGAUGUGUUUAUUUAUUUAAUUUAUUUUUAUUCAAGAUCUAAACUAUUUUUUAUUUUAGUUUCGUAGAUAUUACAUAUGAGGUAUUAUUAUUAGUUUCAAAACUUACGUUUAAUAUUCUUAAUAUGAUGUAAUUACCUAUUUAAAUUUUAUUUUACUUUCAAUUUAAACUAAUUUUUAUUUUAACUUUGUACAUGUUGCUAUUAGUUUCAAACCUUACGUUUCAUUAUUUAUUAUACAUUAUUUUUUUAACACAUACGCGUGUUCUAAAUGCACAGUUUCUAUGCACAUACAUGUUCUAGGAUAUUAUAAUCGUAUUUAAAUAUAUCGUGUCUUAUUUCUUAUGUUUUAAAGUUUAUUAAAUGUAUUUUAUUUAUAAUUUUAAAUUAUGUUUAAAGUUGGGUGAAAGUACCUUUAAAGUCCCUAUAUUAUAGAGUUUGGAUCAAAUUAAGCCCUCUAUGAUUAAAUGGAUCAAUUCAAUUAUUCUACGAUUAAAAAGAAUCAAAUAAGGCCAAAUUGGAACAAAUUUAUAAUUUAUUGUUUAAAAAAUGACAUAAAAAUAUUUUUUUUCAUUUAUAGUUCAUCUUCAAACAAAAAAAAUUCAUCUAUAAAAUCAUAAGAAGCUUUCAAAAUAUAACUUUGUUAAAUAGUAAAUGACAUCUUUUAAACAAUAAAUGUUAAUUAUGUUCCAAUUUUGCCUUAUUUUUUUUUAAUAGUACAAAGACUAAAUUGAUCCAUUUAAUAGUAGAGGGAUUAAUUCGAUAUGACCCCUAUGAUAGAGGGACCUGCUAGAUACAUUUAGCUUUAAAGUUGUGACUUAGCGAGACUAUUUCGAAAACUAGUAUCCUUUAAAAUAAUGUUUCUAUUCCACGAUCUAACUUGAUUAAUUAGUUAACAUGACCCGUCAACUGACAAGAUACUAGUGUCAUAGAUAAAUGGUAGAAAUAUUCAUUCCAAUAAAAAAAAUUAAUAUUAAAAAUGAUAAAUACACAAUAGUUACUUAUAUUUAAUAGAAAAUUUAUUGAAUUACUUUUUUUCUUUUAAGAUUAUACCAUCCUUUUAAGGCAGUAGCGGAGCUAAGGGGUUGGUAGACCCCUACCCCUUACAAUGGGAAAAUUUUCAUUUAGGCUAUUUAUAAUUUAUAAAAUUUUAAAUUAGUAAUGAUAAAAUUACACUUUGGCCCCCUUAAAAAUGAUAAAAAUUUGAUUAAUUCUUUAAAAAUUAUAAAGAUAUAGACUAUUAAAAUGGUAAAAUUACAUUUUUACUAUCAUAAAAUAUACAAUUUAAUUCCGCCACUGUUUUAUAUUUAAAUUAAUUACGCUUGAACUAGAAUGUCACAUUAUUCUCUAUAUAAUUUUUUUUUUACUUUUAGAUUUAUAAUAUUUUAUAUUUAAUAGUAUAUUUUAUUUCAAAUGUUUCAUAUUUAUACUCAAAGUCAUUUAAAUUUUGGGUUUGUUUCAUAAAAUGGUUUUAAAAAAUAAAAAUAAAAAUAUAAAACAUAAAACUUUUAUAAUUUAAAAUUUACAUUUAUCAAACAAUCUAUUUAUAUUUAAUAAUUAAUUUUAAGUAAUAUAUCAAAUAAAUUUUGUAAUUUAAAUUCAAUAUAUGUAAUUUUUUAACACUUAAUUUUUAAUUUAUUUUUUAUCCAUAUUUUUCUUCCCUUAUUGUGGGAGAUUCGGCCCCACCUUUGAAUAUUCAAAUAUUAUUGUUAUCAUAUAAUAGUUUAUAAUUAAACUGUUGUUGAUAUAAUAAAUUUAUGUAUUUAUAUUCCAACUCCAUUAUAUAUUUGAAGUUAUUUUUUAAAUUUAAGAUUUUAUUUUUCAAAAAUAGUUUAAUAAUUUUUAAUAUUUCCAGGGAUUAAUUUAUGAACCAUUUUAAUUUUAGUUGGAAUAACAAAAAAAGAAAAAGAAAAAGAAAGAAAAAAACUAUAAUAUCUUCUUUUGUAGCUAAUUUUUGUACCCAUUUUUUUUAUAGAAUUUACAAUUAUUUAUACUAAAUUAUGUUACAUGUACGUGAAAACUAUUAUAUAAUAAAUUUAUUAAAAUUGAUAUGAAAAUUAAAUAUUGCUUGGAGUAAAUUUGAUGAGAAUUUGAGUUUAAAUCCCAUUAUAUAUAUUUUCUUGGAUUCUAUAGGAAAAAGAUAAAAUCCUUAAAAUAUUAUUUACUAUUUUGUUAAAAUAAUGGUCUUUAAGCUAAUUGUGUUGAGACCCGAUUGAACAGUUACACCAACUCAAAUAAAUUUUUUAUAAAUAAUAGAAAUAUAAAAUCAUACUCAAUAAUUAAUAUACCUAAAGAUUUUUAUUUCCAUUUAUGGAAUAAAAAACAUACUCAAUUAUUGAAGUUCAAUGAAUUUGGUGUGAAGAAAGUAGAAAGGGCCGGGCUGCCUCAAAUAAAACUUUUCUGCCAAUUUGUUUGGCUUCCAACAUGACACGUGCCAAUUAGGAAAUACAUACGUAAACGGAAGGUAAGAAAACAACAGGUUGCGACUCUUUACAAUUAGAUCAGACCAUUACCACUAUGUUACGUCUUUUUAAUUAAUCAAUUUGAAUAUAAAUCAUAAUUAUUCUCAAAGAUAAGAUGGAUAAAUGAUGGUAUUUGUCGUCAUAAACUUUCACUUAUCACUAGUAAUUCUUUUUCGAAAAAUGGGUUGAUAGUAGAUAUUCGAUUGGUGACUUUUUUUCAACUUUUUAAUUGAUUUCUAUUUGAAGAGUUUUUUAAAAUAAUAAAUGAUUUCACGAAUCGAUUUAAACUCUGUUGUCUUUUAAGUCUUUACCUUUGAAAGUUUUGUCUUGUCUUGUACAAGCUUUUUAGUCUUGCUUUUGUAAGUAAUUUUAGAAAUGAUUUUUCGUUGUCCUCUCCUGUUUAGUGGAUGCUCGGUUCUUUUGUUGGUUCUGCACAUCGCUUUGGACCAUUGGGGGUUGAUUUCUUUAUCCUGAUAGUUGCUUGCAAUAACUUCAAAUAUGCCGUGCUUGAGUUGUGACAAAACCGGUUGUCAGCGUGUUGUAAUGUUCUAUUAAUGCUGAGGCUGAAGCCUCUGUCGUAUUGAUGGAGCUUAUCCUUCACUGUUGACAAUGGAUGUUUGUUUUUUUUUUCUUUUCCCCAAAUUUUAUGGUUCCAUUUAUGGAAUAGAGUAAUGAAAUUUUCCUUUCAAAUAAUAAUAAUUAAAUGUAGAGGUAGUUGCAUCGGGUAUCCCCGAACUAUGAUUCUCAUUUUAAUUUAGUUUCCAAACGUCAAAGCGCUUUUAAUUACAUAUUCAAACUAUCAAUCUUAUAUCAAUCAUGCCCUUCUAUUAUUAAAAUCAUUAAUUUAAUCAUUAAAGGACACUUCAAACCUUAUGUGAUAUAAUUUAAAAUGGAAGUUUUAAAGAAAAGUAAAACAUUACCGUAACUUUUAAAAGUUAAAACUAAAAAUAAAGUAAAACCGGAAAAAAGAGAUAGUGAACAAUAAAGCUUUUGUAAAAGUUUCAAAAACUUCAAAAUCAAGAUUUUUACAACAUCCAUUUUUACAAUAUUCAUUUUUCUUUAAAAAUUUCAAUUUAAUCUAUGCCAUAUAAUAUUUGGUAGUUGAUUUAAUGGUUAAAUUAACAAUUUUAGUAAAAGGACCUUAUUGAUAUAACUACAAUAGUUUGAAGAUCUAUUGAAUGUUUUAAAUUUUGGGGACCAAUUUAGAAUAAAGGUUCUAGGUUGAGAAUAUAUGGUAAAAUUAACUCUUAAAUGUAUUAACCUUCUAAAACAAUUGAAGUAUAUUUAAUAUUCUUGAUUUGAUGUGUUUAUUUAUUUAAUUUAUUUUUAUUCAAGAUCUAAACUAUUUUUUAUUUUAGUUUUGUAGAUAUUACAUAUGGGGUAUUAUUAUUAGUUUCAAAACUUACGUUUAAUAUUCUUAAUAUAAUGUAAUUGCCUAUUUAAAUUUCAUUUUACUUUCGAUUUAAACUAAUUUUUAUUUUAACUUUGUAUAUGUUGCUAUUAGUUUCAAACCUUACGUUUCAUUAUGUAUUAUACAUUAUUUUUUUAACACAUACGUGUGUUCUAAAUACAUAGUUUCUAUGCACAUACAUGUUCUAGGAUAUUAUAAUCGUAUUUAAAUAUAUCGUGUUUUAUUUAUUAUUCUUUAAAGUUUAUUAAAUGUAUUUUAUUUAUAAUUUUAUAUUAUGUUUAAAGUUGGGUGAAAGUACCUUUAAAGUCCCUAUAUUAUAGAGUCUGGAUCAAAUUAAGCCCUUUAUGAUUAAAUGGAUCAAUUCAAUUAUUCUACGAUUAAAAAGAAUCAAAUAAGGCCAAAUUGGAACAAAUUUAUAAUUUAUUGUUUAAAAAAUGGCAUAAAAAUAAUUUUUUUUCAUUUAUAGUUCAUCUUCAAACAAAAAAAUUUAUCCAUAAAAUCAUAAAAAGCUUUCAAAAUAUAACUUUGUUAAAUAGUAAAUGACAUCUUUUAAACAAUAGAUGUUAAUUAUGUUCCAAUUUGGCCUUAUUCGAUUUUUUUAAUAGUACAAAGACUAAAUUGAUCCAUUUAAUAGUAGAGGGACUAAUUCGAUACGACCCCUAUAGUAAAGGGACAUGCUAGAUACAUUUAGCUUUAAAUUUGUGACUUACUAUUUCGAAAACUAGUAUCUUUUAAAAUAAUGUUUCUAUUCCACGAUCUAACUUGAUUAAUUAGUUAACAUGACCCGUCAAUUGACAAGAUACUAGUGUCAUAGGCCGCACAAAUAAGCCGGCGACCAAGGCACACUCUAAUGUUCCCUCUUGUUCAUUGGGGGUCAUUCGGCCCGAUAAGACUGACCCAUUGCUUGGAAGAGAUUUAAGGCCUAUCUACUUGGAUCCUGGUUAAAUUGUAAACAUUGUAUUUUACCAAGGUAAUUAUUGUAAAUCCUAAAGGAUAAACAUGUAUAGGAUUUAAAUCCCUUAGAACUCUCAUAUUGUAGAUGGAAGAGACUAAAGUUCUAACCCUAUGACACUGGUACUUUUUAGGCUUUGUCGAGUCGACAUUGUGAGCAGAAGCUGAUAUUGUUCUCUUUAGAUACUCCACAAAUUCCUCAAGGUUUUUCCAUUUGAAGGUGCAACUCCUGAAGUUCGAACCUAGGACCCUUAUAUUAUAUUCCUUUUUGCAGCCAUCUUAGCUUGAUUAAAUGGUAUGAUGGUUGUGAAAAAGGAUGGGGAGGUCUUAGGUUUGAAUUUGAGGAGACACACCUUUAGGGACAAAGACUUCAGAGACCUAUGGCGGGUGCCCAAAGAGGAUAAUACUAACUUAUGCUUACAACUUUGGCGAUUGAUGGGUUGUGACAUUACUAGGCACACUACAAUAAUUUUUUUCUAUUAGUGGCGUCUAAUGCCAUUAAAAAUUAUAUUCAUAUAACUAUUUAUAUUUGGUGACGUAAAAUUCAUUGUCAUGAUGUUCCUCCUGUUAAGUGUGUCACUAAAGGUUAAGAGAAACAUUUAUUAUUUUUCACUACGUAUUGUCAAGAAUAUGGUGAUGAUAUUGUAUAAUGUCACAUUUUAAUUAAUAUUCAAUGACAACUACUAUCAUCACCAAAUUAUAUAAGAUCUCAUCAUUGGUUAUUCGUCUCAUCAUCAAUAAUGAAAUAACAUUCUAUAUAUAGGUGACGAAAGCAACAUCGUCAUGGUGUUAAUGACGUACUAUAUCGUCACUUAAUAUGAUCAAAUAAUAGCAUGAAUGGCGAUAAUCAGUAGUUGGUUAUAGUUGAUUUCGUCACUAAAUCAUAUACAUAAUUGACAUUGGUUAUAAAAAUUAUCACAAAAUAAGCAUCGUUGCAUAGUUAAUGGCGUAAUAUAUCAUCACUUAUAUGCUAAAAUAAUAUGCAAAAAUGACUCCUAUAUGGGGAGGUCUUGGGUUUGAACUUGGGGCCCAAGUCCGGGGGACAAAAUCUUGAGAGAUGACAAAAAUAGAGUAAUCUCUUGAAUUUUAUUGAUAGACCUCAAGGGUAUAUAUAUACAAUAGUAGUUAUGUUGGAAUCAAAUUGCUAAAAGAUAAUAUCUCAUAGUAAUAUUCUAUGGGGGUGCUUAAAGAGGACAAUACCAACUUGUGCAUACGACUUUGGCAAUCGAUGGGUCGUGACAUUACUUGAUAAAACUCUAGAAUAACGUAUUUUUAUGUAUUAAUUAUGUAUUUAUUCUGAGUAUGAUUCUGCUAAUUUGAGUUAUUUAUGAUCUUUUAUCUCAUAGGGAUUAAAUUUAAGGCAAAAACAAAAUUAAGGGCCAAAAGCGUGAAUUUAGAGAUAAAAUGGGCCAAUGUGCGACACAAGGAAAAGUUGGUGCCAAAAGUGCAAGCAUGGAGGAAACAAGGGUUGAAAUGCAAAAAGAAGAGAUUUUAUUUUAUCAGACUCUAUUUUAAUUAUAUUAGGAUAAUUAAUAUUAAGAUAAUUAUUAAGGAUUAUUUAAUUUUAGGAUUUUAUUUUAUUUAUCUUUAUUUAUCUUCAAUUAAAUGUAUUUAUCUUUUAGGAGUUUAAGUAGGAUUAGACUAUCUCUCCUAGCACUAUAAAUAUGGGGUGAAGUGACUCAAGAGGCAUCCAUCUUUUUCUGUAAACACUCUCUCCCCAAAAGUCUAGGCUUUUGUUCUUCUCAUAUUUCCUUUCAAUAAAAUCUCCAUUUUCAUUUUAUUUAUUUUCUUUUCAACCACAACCAUGAGCCACUAAACCCAUCUAGCCGAAAGUUGUCGAUAUUCCCCAAAAAGGGUUCUUGAGGCUUAGAGUCCGUACUUAGCCUCCUCGUUGAGUAUUCAUCGUUUCUCCGCACUACGGGGGUGACACUUCCAUCCAUCUCCCUUAAGAAGUAAGCUUUUCAACGUAUGCAAAGGCGGUCGCUUUGUAUGUUUUGGGAAGGUUGCACAGUCUGUUCGUUAGCUUACUGUGUCAGAGGUUCGUGAGCCCAAGAGACAAAAUGGCGUGGGAUUCGCCAUUGAGAAGCACUGAUCUAGCAUAAGACGAUCCCACAGAAGCCAUUAUUGGCUAGAGUCAGGUUCCACUAAAUCGUAAGUCUAAAUCCUUGAGCUGGUAGUCAUAGGCAUCCUCUUCCACUAUAACUGGCUUAUUCAAUUUGGGAAGGAUCAUCAAAAAGCCGAGGAUUGAACCCAAUGUGGAACGAGACAACUAGAGGCUGGAAUCUCCCAUAAGAAUUUUCUUUCUCUUAACUCUAUUUUUAAUUUCUCAAAUUUUUGAUUCAAUAUUCUUAAUUCUGUUUUUAUUUUAUUUUAUUUUUUAGAUCCAAACCUUUAAUUUUUUUAUUUUAUUUUUUUCCAGGAACGCAAGUUUUCUUGGGCAAGAUUCUGCUUAGGAUUUCACGGAACAAGAUAGUGUGCAAGUCCAGUCCUUAAGGAUUUUACCCUACUUCCAUUUUACUAUUCUUUUUCAUUAUUUAUUAGGGAUAGGAUAUUUUUGGUGCUUUCAACGACCGCAUCAAAUUUACUAUUCUUUUUUCGUAACUUGUUUUUUGUUUCUUAUGACCAGAUCUGAUCCAGGUACUCUUGCGUUCGAUUCAGAAAUUGAGAAGACUGCUAGAGCCAAUCGCAAGGAGACAAAGUUACGGAAAAAUCAGUCAGCGAUGGUUGGAACUCAAAGUAACCCACCGCCAGAAAUCGAAGUCGACGACGAAGCUGAAACUAGGGUUAACAAAAACCCUACUCAAACACUUGAAAGUGAAAAAGCAGAAGUCGACACACUAGAAGAAGUGUUUAACGCUAGGGUUAACGAAAACCCGAAUCUAGCAUACCAACCAAUGGCUCAAACGAUUCGGCAACUAGCCGAAGCUUCGACAGAACAACCGCCAUUGUGCAUCGCGUAUCCUACUGUGGAUACCGAUUUUGAGUUGAAGUCAGGUUUAAUCCAGUUACUGCCAACUUUUCGUGGGUUGCAAAAUGAAGAUCGCCACAAGCAUCUGAAAGAGUUUCAUAUGGUUUUUCUUAGCAUGAAACCUUAGGGGGUAAUUGAGGAUCAGAUUAAAUUGCGUGCUUUCCCUUUCUCCCUAGCAGAUUUUGCUAAGGAAUGGUUAUUUUAUUUACCCCCUGGAUCUAUUACAACUUGGGUUGAUCUAUCUCGUUUGUUUCUGAACAGGUUUUUUCCAGCGUUUCGAGUAGCUGAACUAAGAAGAGAGAUCGUUGGAAUAAGGCAAAAAGAAGCUGAGUCCCUUUACAACUAUUAGGAGCGGUUUAAAAAGUUGUAUGCAAGCUGCCCAUAACAUGGUAUAACGGAGCAAUCUCUCCUCUAAUGCUCUUUCGAAGGUUUGAAGCCCAUGGAGAUGAAUAUGGUAGAUGUCGUUAGUGGAGGAGCAUUGGUCAACAUGACUCCCCAACAAGCGAGAGGCUUGAUCUCCACGAUGGUUACAAAUUCUCAGUAGUUCUGAGCCAAUACUGAACCCCUAGAAGGGUUCACCAGCUAAGUAAUUCAACCUUAGAGGAUAAAGUUGAUAGACUUACUAAUAUGAUGAACUCUCUUAUUAUAAAAAAAAGCGAAGACAACCCGGUUAUGCGGAAUAUGUACUACACCUGAUCAUGCAACUGAUGCAUGUCCCAAUUUGUAUGAUGAUACCAUGGCCCAUCUGGAUACUGCGGGAAAUUUUCCUGGGCCGCCAUAAAGGCAAUACGACCCCUACGCUAAUACCUACAACCCAGGGUGGAAUAACCACUCCAACUUAAGUUAUGGCGCCAAUCCACGAAAUAACCAGCCAUACCAAAAUCGAUUUCCGCAACAAUCGUAAGGUUCAGGUAAUUUUCUAAAAACCAUGGUCAAUAAGUUAGCAGUUAAUGUUCUUAAUUUUCAACAACAAACUCUUAAUUUCCAAAAAGAGAGGAAGGAUUUCCAACAGAAAACUGAGACGUCCAUCAGAGAGUUGACCACAUCGAUCGAGAAAUUGACCUCUCAAGGGAAGCUGCCGUCACAAACAGAACCAAACCUAAGACAAAAUGCAAAUGCAGUGACGUUACGAAGCGGAAAGGUACUGGAACUGAUUCCUGACAGGAAUCUUGACCAAGAAAUCGCCCAGGAAAAACUAAAGAAAGACGAACAAGUCUGAUCGAAGCCUCCAUUGCCUAAAAUUCAACCUCCAUUUCCAGAACGAUUCAACUAGUGUCGAAGAGGUAAAGAGGACAAGGAAAUCCUUGAAACAUUUAGGAAUGUCGAGAUCAACAUUCCGCUUUACACCAAUAAGCGAAAAUUAAUAGGUAAUGAAAGGGUGAAUAUUGGUGAGAAUGUAUCCGUAGUGUUACAGCGGAAAAUGUCGGCAAAAUGCAAGGAUAGGUGCAUGUUUGCAACACCACGCAAAAUAGGCCAUCUGGGGAUUAAGAAGGCUAUGUGUGAUCUAAGGGCUUCUAUAAUUGUAAUGCCAUAUUCUAUUUAUGAAUCACUUAACGCGAGUUUUUUAAACCAAAAUAGGUGUUAUCAUUCAAUUGGCGGACAUGUCUGUUGUGCAUCCAAAAGGAGUCCUUGAGGAUAUUCUAGUAAAAUUUAACGAGCUUAUUUUCCCUGCAGAUUUUUAUGUGAUCAAAAUGGAGGAGGAUAGCACUCUUGGAUCUUCAGAUCUCCUGUUGGGUAUACCAUUCCUUAGUACAGCUAGUACUAAAACCGACGUUCAAAGUGGAACUCUCACGAUAGAGUUUGAUCGGGAGACCGUAAAAUUUAAUGUCUACAAUGCCAUUAGCCAUCCAAGCGAAAUCUUGAGCGUAAAUUGUAUUGACACAAUUGACUCUUUAGUGGAAAAGAAUUUUGAGUCAAUUUAUGGAGAUAAUUAUAAACUUGAUAAAUUUGAAUUUGUCAAUGAGUUAUUAUCUCCAAAUACUAAACUGUUACCUUCUGUUAUACAGGCACCAGAGUUGGAGUUAGAACCCGUAGGAAAGGCAAGGAAAUUAGACAUCCAAGAGUUAGAAGAAAUUUGCAAUAAUGCCUACGAGAAUGCUCGCAUUUAUAAAGACAAGACAAAGUUGUUUCACGAUAAGAGAAUAGCUCAGAAGCAUUUUUCAGUAGGACAAAAAGUUUUACUUUAUAACUCCGUUGUAGAAGCCCAAAUUUGCCAGCCCAUACUAGCAAAACAAAACCAAACAAAAUGUUAAAAAGUCCAGAUACAUUAAACCCAAAUUCAAGCCCAAUUGCCCAAACCCUAAGCCCAAACCUAAUAGCCCAUAACAAAUUUUUAACAGCAGCAAACCCUAGCCCCUACUGCCCUAGGUGCACCGCAAGCCUCUGCCAGCCUCCCCCGCAUGACGUCGCUGCCGCUACUCGCCUAUCGCCCCAUCCACGCGUCUGACACCUGCAAAAUGAAGCCACACGCAACAGCAAGAAAGCCAAAUAGCAAAGUGACAAAAAAAUAGAAAUAACAAGUUGUAAAAUGGCUAUAAAAAGCCACAAUGAACAAUAGUUCCUUCUUCUGGACGUUUUACGAAUAUCAGAAAUAAAAGAAAUAAAAGGUCGCUGUUUGUGUUCUUCUUCUUUUUUUUUGUCGAUUUAUUAUUAUUUUUUAUAAAAUCGCUUUUUCUUCUUUUUAAAAAAAUAACUAUUAAUAAAUAAAGAAAUAAAAAGGGAGAAGAAGGGUCACCUGAAUCGCCGCAAGCCCCGUCACCGGAAGUCCCUCCUUUGUCGCCGGAAUCGGGCUAGAACGGGUGUGAGGAAUCCUUUUUUUUGGGUUUUCUUUGGAUAAGAAGGCUUGGCCUUUGAGCCCGCCGUAAAACGGGGCUGAAACACCCUUUUGCGCAACACCGGCCACCGGCCACGGCAGCGCUUCGGCGGCUCAUGGCCGGAAGCCUUAACCGGAUUUUAGGGGGGUUUGAGAGAGAGUUUGAGAGACUCUCAGUUUUUUUGUUGAAAAAAAAUGAAGCUAAUGAUUUUUUUGUUUAAAUUUUGAUAUUUAUAUGGUGUUCAAAACGACGCCGUUUUGAUUGUAAGAAACAAUAGCCAAAACGACGUCGUUUUGCGUCUGACCCGGUUCGACCCGACCCGAAUGGCAAAGAAUCCGCGCGUUUUCAAAGUUCAAGGGAUAUUUGCACUGUGGGUCCUUCGCUUUGUCGCACGCUUUCAAUUGGAUCCUUUCUGUUCCUUCUUUUGAGUUUCUUAAUCUGCCCCCAUGUUUUUGCGCUUAUUUCAUUUCAGUCCUGAGUCACACCUCUCAUUUAUCUACAGUUUGGACCCCCCAGAUUUUGGUUUGAUUUUAUUUUCAUCCUUUAAUUCGUUUAUUUACUUUUUAAAAAGAGAAAGAGAGUUCCUUUAUUAUUUAUUUUAAGUUAUAUAUAUAUUAUUUAUCUAAUAUUGUUCUUAUUAUUUGUAUUAUUUGAUUCAAGUCAAUAUAAAUACAUGUAUGCAUUUUUAUAAUACACGUACAUAUUUUUCCCAAUUUAUAUGUAUACAUACUUAUACAUAUAUUCUUUAUAUUCUAUAUACAUUUUUAUUUCCAUAUAUAUAUACAUACGCACUCAUAUAUUUUUGUUUAUAUACAUCUUUCUAUUUUCACGAAUAUAUACAUACUUAUAUAUAUAUUUUAUAUUCUAUAAUUUUUAUGUACAUAUAUCCAUUUCUUUUAAAUACGUAUAUACUUUUUAAGUCUUAUAAUGUUAAAAUACAUAUAUACGUAUAUACUUUUGAUAUUUUUUUAAAUAUAUAAAUUGUCAUUAUUUACUUAUAUUUUUAUUAUUUUCAAACUUUGAUGUGUACUUACAUAUAUAUCUUCUUACAUUCUUUACAAUUUUAUCUAUUUACGUUUUCAUCAUUAUUUUAAAAUAUUUUAAUCUCACUUGCUUAUAUGUUUGUUUUCUUGUAUGUCGUUGAUUUGUCUUUUUUUAUUUAUCUUAUCUUUGAUGCUAUUGCUCGUAUUAUUAUUUUACUUACAUUAUCAUCAUUGUUAUUCCAUUACGCCCAUUUUUACUCAGAUUUGUAAAAAAGGAAGAUUUCGAAAAUAAAUGCAAUACUCGAUACUUGGGAUCUUCGAGAGAAUUGGGCCCUAACGAGCUGAGUUCUAAUUUUUUUCAUUGAAUCUAAAUAAUCGAGAAUGCUCUUUAAUAAAAAAUAAAUAAAAGCUCAUUAUCGGGAUUUCAAUACGUUGUGUCCUAACGCAUUGGAUAUGACAUGUUGUUUUCUUGAUACGAGGAUUUUUCGAAAAUAAAGGCAAUAUUCCGUAUUUCGAAAAUUCGAGAAAUCGUGCCCUAACUUACUGAGCUUCGAUUUUUCUCGCGUUGAUCCUGAAUAACUGAAUAUCCUUUGAAAAUUGAAAUAAAUGAGGUUUAAAUAAAAAAUAAAAGGCAAGCUUACUCUCAAAAAUACGAGGUGUUGUGUCCUAACUUACUGGAUGUGACAUCUUGUUACUUCGAGAUAAGGAGGCAUUUUCCAUUUUGAUUUAUUUGAGUAAUUUUAAAAAUAACACAAUAUAAAGAGGGAUCGUAUUUUUAAAUUCUUUUCGAGUUUUUUUUAAUUUUCGACACCAAUACAUUAAGUAAUCAACUAGGUACCAAUUUUGGGCGUAUCGAGGGUGCUAAUCCUUCCUUGUUCGUAACCGACUCCCGAACCCAUUUUUUUGAAUAUCGUAGACCAAAAUUGUGGUUUUAAUAAAAUCAAACCGUUUAUUAAAAACUACCACUUUUCAAGGUGGUCCGAUCACACCUUAUCAAAAAAGAUUGGUGGCGACUCCUUUUUUUUCGUUUUCAUUUUCAAAAUCCAAGUCGACCCCGUUUUUAUCAAAAAAAUGGUGUCAACAGCUUGGCGACUCCACAGGGGACACUUAAAAAGAGAGUCAAGCCACGUGUUGAUUAUUUUUGUCUUCUUGUCGAAAAUAAAAAACUUGGUUUAAAUGUAUGAUCAUUUCGUUGCAUUUCAUUCGUCUUUAUUUCGGUUUUAUCAUUGUGAUUUGAUUGCUGUGGUUGUUUAAGUUUUGUAUACUGCUGCAUUGCAUUGCAUGAUCGGUUGAUCUUACCCUUUUAAGUGGGAGUAAGAAACUAGUCCUUCGUGAGGUCUUCACCUCCGUGCAGGAUAGUGGAUCGCUUUCGGGAUACAUCCGUACCUAUGUCUUCAUGAGAUUUUCAUCUCCGUGCAGCCAUAGGGAAAUGUAUUCCCUUGAACUGAACUUGGUCCGUAUGAGGCUAUAAGGGGUGAGGAUCGAGGAAUCUGCUGGUUCGGGUACCUUUGCUUUAGAACCAUGCCACAUGUAAAAGACCUUAGGAGCCCCCUAGGUAGAGCCACUCCAAACCCCUAGUGAUCACCCGAACAGGUGCUCUAUUUGUUUCUUUCUUGCUUAUUUUUGCUUUGUACUAACCGUUUCGUGUUGAUGUGGUUAUGAUUACAUUGCAUUUUUCAUCAUAAAAGAGGUGUUGAUUCACGUUCAGUAUCUAAAUAGAGAGCUUGUCAUAAGAAAAUGAGUUUCAUGAUAAAGUGGAAAAUAAUACGGUCGUCCUAAUACGUCUAAGAAAACGUAACGAGGGAAGGAUAAGUGCGUAACUUUGCUUCGUUGCUAGAAGAUUCAAACUGACGAAGAUUAUUCGAGAGCUACUAACGGAGCUAAUGACGUGAGGAUAAAUGACCAAUGGGGCACGACCCAGAUCAAGCAAACACGGUGAUAGAAGAGGCAUCUAUUUGGAGAGUUCGCGAGAUUCGAUCUUAGCAUUUGGAUGUAAGGAUCAAUGUAUUCACUCCGAGUAUUAGGGUAAUAUGUAAAUAUCCGUUUUAUGUAAAGAUAUGUGUUUUCUAGAAAAGUUGUUCUAAUUGAAUUGAACCAAGAAUCAAUGUCUCUUUUUGCAUUCAUGCAUCUGCAUUACAUUUCAUUGCAUGCACCUUUUCAUUCAUUAACAUUACAAUUCAUUGAAUACAAUAAUUUUCCUAAAAUCCAAAAGCACAUUGAGUUCAGAACUCUAGUACAGAGCCAGAUCGAUGAUAAAGAAUUAGAAUUCUUUGAAAAUAUCGAUGGUUCAAGAGGUAAAGAUGUUUGUGCCUUUGAAGAAGGUACUAAAAAAAACCUAUCAGGAAUUUGUUUCUAUAUCCUUAGAGGCGUUCUGGACAACGGGAAUGUGGAGGAGAUUCUUGUGUUUUCAGGACCAGUUCAGAGUAAUAUUCAGAACACUCUUAUUGCUCUAAGCCUGGGAGCAAUAGAAAAUCCUUUUGUGAAGAAGGCACAUGUCCACUAUUCUUUAUUUCAACGAAAUGCAUCUUUGUGUCUUGUUUUGGCAAACAUUCUUUUGUUCCUUCCAUUUCAUUCAUACUCAUACCACACAAAUAAUUCCCCUUUGAUUCAUUAGUUCUUUGAGUCUUUUUUUGUUCCCUAGAACAUGUCUCCAGAUAUCAAUGAUAUGAGCGACACUGCUACUGACUCAGAACUUUCUUUUGAGCAAGAUAUGUUUCUAGAGGAACCUCCAAACUUCGAAGAUGAUCGAGACUGUAGCUUAUCUCCUGAUUUGUUAAGGAUGGUAGAGCAAGUCGAAAAAUAGAUCCUAGCUUACAAAAAAAUCAGUUGGAAAUUGUGAGCUUAGGAGAAGAGCAAAAGGUGAAAAUCAGAGCCUGUAUCACCGCAGAGACAAAGCGGGACGUCAUUGAGUUACUCUGAGAAUUCAAAGAUGUUUUCGCAUGACUAAGAUAUGCCUGAGCUACCAAGGCGUGUGGAUGCUGUUGAGGCUAAGAAAGUAUUAGAAAAUGUCCAUAAAAGUGUCUAAGGAACACAUGCAUUGAUUUUACAAAGGCCAAGUAAAUCAUGAGAUUUAGGUACCGCUGGUCCACCAUGGAAGGGGAUUGCAUCAGUUAUACCAAGAAACGCCACAAGGGCCAAAUUUACAGAGAUAAGAUUUAUGUGCUUCCUUUAUCUCUUCAUUUUAUGACUUUUCCAUUGACUUUCUCUAUGAGGGGCAUGGAUGUCAUUGGGCCGACCUCGCCAAAAGCUUCUGGAGGUUAUUGAUUCAUCUUUGUGGUUGUCGAUUACUUCAUAAAGUGGGUAGAGGUUGUUUCAUAUGCCAAUAUCGCAAAACUGACAAUCAGCAAAUUUCUUGAAGAAUCAUAUGUCAAUAUGGAAUGCCAAAAAGGAUCAUAUUAGACAAUGCAUUAAAUUUGAACAACCGCAUGACAUCAGAAGUUUGCAGUCUGUUCAAUAUUAACACCAUGUCGCCCCAAAAUGAACAGUUCAGUGGAGGCAAAAAAACCAAAAACCAAAAACCAAAAACACAAAACUAAAAUAAAAGAACAAAAUAGACAAAAAAAAAAACAAAAAAAACCUCUACUGGGGCACCUCAUUUCUCAUUGGUAUAUGGAAUAGAGGCAGUAUUACCCAUCGAAGGUGAUAUUUCUUCCCUUCGAGUCUUGUCAGAAUUAAAGUUGGAUGAAGCAGAAUGGAUCCAAGCCCGAUAUAAUCAGUUAAAUUUGAUCGAAGAGUAAGGGUUGAAAGCUAUCCGUCACGGUCAGAUGUACCAAAAGCGAAUGAUACGAGUUCACUAAAAAAGGUUUGCUCCAGAGAAUUCCAUGAGGGGGACCUAAUAUUGAAGAAGAUCCUUCUCAUACAAAAGGACUUUAGAAGAAAGUGGAUGCCAAACUAGAAAGGACCUUAUGUGGAAGGCCUUAUCUGAAAAAGCAUUGAUAUUGACCAAGAUGAAUGGCAAGAACCUGCCUAAUUUUGAGAAUUUUGAUUCAAGCAAUAAAUACUUCACUUGAAAAAAAAGAAACACAAAAAGGAAAGAAAAAAGAAAAGAAGAAAAAUGAAAAAGAAAAAGGAGAGGCCAAGGUGAAAACCAGCAAAGGGCACCUUGAGACCAAAAGGGGUUUUGAAUUGAAAACCCAAAAAUGGGUAGUUCAAAUUUCGAUCAAAUGCGGGGCAUACGGUAGUCUUGCCCUCUCUGAAUUAAUAAGAAGGAGAGAUGCUACAUCUUGGGGCAUCAACAAAGUCUUUUAGGACUUCUAAAUACAUGUCAAGUUCAAAAAGGGUCCUCAAGAAGUUUGGAGCAGAGAAGCUCAUACUACGAUAUCGGGGGCACCUAUUUCCAUUUUAUUUAUUUUUUGUAUUUUGACAAAAUACGCCAUCUUGAUUAAUUUAUUCUCAUUUUGUAUUUUAGCAAAAUUUGCUAUCUUGAUUAAUUUAUUCAUUUAGAGCUUUGCUCUCAACAAAUUUUCAUCUUAUCUAUUAUGAUAAUCUUUUUCAUCUUAUACAUCUCGUAUCUCAGCAAAAUUUGCUAUCUUGAUUGAUUUGUUUGUUUAGAGCUUUUCUUUCAACAAAAUUUCAUUUUGUCCAUUUUGAUAAUCUUUUUCAAGCAUUUUUCAUUGAAAUAACAAUUAAUGGACUGACAAUACUCAUGCAGAAGGAGUUCUGCAUAUUACUCUGAAAGUUUCUAAAUAAUACGAUGACCUGAAAUAGGACUAUUGUUUAGAACUGACCAAACCUGAGGGUUGAAAACAUUUGAGAAAUGAUAGUCUAAUUUAAGACUAUUUCUUUGAAUCUUCUGUCAAAGAUACUUGCUGAACGCGAAAACAUCAGUGAUAGAACCUUGAUGAACAACAAGGAACGACAAUCCAAACAUUAAAAAGGGAUCAUUCUCGAAAAAUGACAUUCUGCAUUCAUGCAAAUAUCAUACAUACAAAUCUAGUUAGGAGCAUUUGAUUCAUUCUAAUCACGACAUCCUAAACACUAGGCAUAAAUAGGUCCAUGAAAUGGAUUUUACAAGUCAUGUUCCCCAGAGAACAGAUCAAAGAAACAGAUCCUGUACCCCUGAAGUUGCAGUGGGAUGGAUUGAAGACAUUAAAGCAGAUCUUGUCUUCAUGUAUUGACGUGAAGUAGAUCGAAGAUUAUAAGUCCUGUCUUCUUAUAUUGGUAGGAAGUGGAUCGAAGAUGCAGGUCUUGUCUUCCUAUAUUGGUAGGAAGUGGAUCGAGGAAAGCAGAUCUUGUCUUCAUGUAUUGGCGUGAAGUAGAUCGAAGAUGGUAGGUCCUGUCUUCCUAUAUUGGUAGAAAGUGGAUUGAAGAUGCAGAUCUUGUCUUCCCAUACUGGUGGUGAAGUAGAUCGAAGAAAGCAGAUCUUGUCUUCAUGUAUUGGCGUGAAGUAGAUCGAAGAUGGUAGGUCCUGUCUUCCUAUAUUGGUAGGAAAUGGAUCGAAGAUGCAGGUCAUGUCUUCCUAUAUUGGUAGGAAGUAGAUCAAAGAAAGCAAAUCUUGUCUUCAUGUAUUGGCGUGAAGUAGAUCGUUGAUAGCAGGUCCUGUCUUCUUAUAUUGGUAGGAAGUGGAUCGAAAAUACAGAUCUUGUCUUCCUAUACUGGUGGCGAAGUAGAUCAAAGAAAGCAGAUCCUGUCUUCAUGUAUUGGCGUGAAGUAGAUCGAAAAUGGUAGGUCCUUUCUUCUUAUAUUGGUAGGAAGUGUAUCGAAUAUGCAAAUCUUGUCUUCCCAUACUGGUGGCGAAGUAGAUCAAAGAAAGCAGAUCUUGUCUUCAUGUAUUGGCGUAAAGUAGAUCGAAGAUAGCAGGCCCUGUCUUCCUAUAUUGGUAGGAAGUGGAUCGAAGAUGCAUAUAUUGUCUUCCCAUACUGGUGGCGAAGUGGAUCGAAGAAAACAGAUCUUAUCUCUCUGAAGUUGCAGUAGAGAAGAUCUUAUCAAACCUUAUCUCUCUGGCGAUGCAGUGGGGCAGAUUAAAGCUACGAUGGCAAAUCUUGCUUCCCCGACAUUGCAAUUUAAAAGAUUGAAGCCACAACGGCGAAUCUUACUUCCCAGGCGAUGCAGUGGGGCAGAUUAAAGCUACGAUGGCGAAUCUUGCUUCCUCAACAUUGCAAUUAAAAAGAUUGAAGCCGCAACGGUGAAUCUUACUUCCUUGGUGGUGCAGUAGAUCAGAUUGAAGCUACGACGGCGAAUCUUGCUUCCCUGACAUUGCAAUUAAAAAGAUUGAAGCCGCAAUGGUGAAUCUUACUUUCCUGGUGGUACAGUGGAACUGAUUGAAGCUACAAUGGCGAAUCGUGCUCCCCGACAUUACAAUUAAAAGGAUUAAAACCACCGAUCUUAUCUCCGUAAGCAGUAGUGGAGUAGAUCGAAGAUGGCGUAUUUUACCUCCCUAAGAUUACAGUGGAGUACAUUGAAGCUAGUAGUUCUAUCUCCCUGGGCAGCAGUGGAAUAGGUUGAAGAUUGUAGAUCUUAUCUCCCUAAGCAGUAGUGGAACAGAUCGAAGAUGGCAGAUUUUACCUCAUUGAGAUUACAGUGGAGUACAUUAAAGCCAGCAGUCUUAUCUCCCUAAGCAGUAGUGGAGCAGACAAAAGAAACUAGAUCUUAUCUCCCUAAGUAGUAGUGGAGCAGAUCACAUCAAGUCUUAUCUCCCUAAGCAGUAGUGGAGCAGACGAAAGAAAACAGAUCUUAUCUCCCUAAGCAGUAGUGGAGCAGAUCACAUCAAGUUUUAUCCCCCUAAGCAGUAGUGGAGCAGACGAAAGAAACCACAGAUCUUAUCUCCCUAAGCAGUAGUAGAGCAGAUCGCUUCAAGUCUUAUCUCCCUAAGCAGUAGUGGAGCAGACGAAAGAAAACCAAUCCUAUCUCCCUGAACUUGCAGCGGAGUGGAAUAAAACCACAAAUCUCAUCCCCAUAGAGUUCCAGUAGAGUAGAUUUAAGUUGUAUCUCUCUGAAGUGCAAUGAAGUGGAUUGAAGCUAUAAGUCGUAUUUCUCUGAAGAUGCUGUGAAAAGGAUCGGAGAAAUAAGACGCAGUGGAAUAGAAUGAGGCUACUUGAAGAAGAUGAGCACAAAGAAGUCAAGACUCGGCAAGCCCGGGCAAAUUUGGUCUUUCUUGGUCUUUGCUCUGUUCUCGUUACAUGAAAACGAGCAAAGAGGGGCAGCUGUAGAAGCCCAAAUUUGCCAGCCCAUACCAGCAAAACAAAACCAAACAAAAUGUUAAACAGUCCAGUUACAUUAAACCCAAAUUCAAGCCCAAUUGCCCAAACCCUAAGCCCAAACCUAAUAGCCAAUAACAAAUUUUCAACAGCAGCAAACCCCAGCCCCUACUGCCCUAGGUGCGCCGCAGCCUCUGCCAGCCUCCCUCGCAUGCCGCCGCUGCUGCUACUCGCCUAUCUCCCCAUCCACGCGUCUGACACCUGCAAAAUGAAGCCACACGCAACAGCAAGAAAGCCAAAUAGCAAAGUGACAAAAAAAUAGAAAUAACAAGUUGUAAAAUGGCUAUAAAAAGCCACAAUGAACAAUAGUUCCUUCUUCUGGACGUUUUACGAAUAUCAUAAAUAAAAGAAAUAAAAGGUCGCUGUUCGUGUUCUUCUUCUUUUUUUUUGUCGAUUUAUUAUUAUUAUUUUUUAUGAAAUCGCUUUCUCUUCUUUUUUAAAAAAUAACUAUUAAUAAAUAAAGAAAUAAAAAGGGAGAAGAAGGGUCACCUGAAUCACCGCAAGCCCCGUCGGCGGAAGUCCCUCCUUUGUCACCGGAAUCGGGCUAGAACGGGUGUGAGGAAUCCUUUUUUUCAGGUUUUCUUUGGAUAAGAAGGCUUGGCCUUUGAGUGCGCCGUAAAACGAGGCUGAAACACCCUCUUGCAAAACGCCAGCCACCGGCCACGGCGGCGCUUUGGAGGCUUAUGGCCGGAAGCCUUAACCGAAUUUUGGGGGGGUUUGAGAGAGAGUUUGAGAGACUCAAUUUUUUGUUGAAAAAAAUGAAGCUAAUGAUUUUUUUGUUUAAAUUUUGAUAUUUAUACGGUGUUCAAAACGACGCCGUUUUGAUUGUAAGAAACAAUAGCCAAAACGAUGUCGUUUUACGUCUGACCCGGUUCGACCCGACCCGAAUGGCAAGGAAUCCGCACGUUUGCAAAGUUCAAGGGAUAUUUGCGCUGUGGGUCCUUCGCUUUGUCGCACGCUUUCAAUUGGAUCCUUUCUGUUCCUUCUUUUGCGUUUCUUAAUCUGCCCCCAUAUUUUUGUGCUUAUUUCAUUUCAGUCCUGAGUCACACCUCUCAUUUAUUUACAGUUUGGACCCCCCAGAUUUUGGUUUGAUUUUAUUUUCAUCCUUUAAUUUGUUUAUUUACUUUUUAAAAAGAGAAAGAGAGUUCCUUUAUUAUUUAUUUUAAGUUAUAUAUAUUAUUUAUCUAAUAUUGUUCUUAUUAUUUGUAUUAUUUGAUUUAAGUCAAUAUAAAUACAUGUAUGCAUUUUUAUAAUACACGUACAUAUUUUUCCCAAUUUAUAUGUAUACAUACUUAUACAUAUAUUCUUUAUAUUCUAUAAUCUAUAUACAUUUUUUAUUUCCAUAUAUAUAUACAUACGCACUCAUAUAUUUUUGUCUAUAUACAUAUUUCUAUUUUCACGAAUAUAUAAAUACUUAUAUAUAUUUUAUAUUCUAUAAUUUUUAUGUACAUAUAUACAUUUCUUUUAAAUACAUAUAUACUUUUUAGGUUUUAUAAUGUUAAAAUACAUAUAUACGUAUAUACUUUUGAUAUUUUUUUAAAUAUAUAAAUUGUCAUUAUUUACUUACUUAUAUUUUUAUUAUUUUCAAACUUUGAUGUGUACUUACAUAUAUAUCUUCUUACAUUCUUUACAAUUUUAUCUAUUUACGUUUUCAUCAUUAUUUUAAAAUAUUUUAAUCUCACUUGCUUAUAUGUUUGUUUUCUUGUAUGUCGUUGAUUUGUCUUUUUUAUUUAUCUUAUCUUUGAUGCUAUUGCUCGUAUUAUUAUUUUACUUACAUUAUCAUCAUUGUUAUUCCAUCACGCCCAUUUUUACUCAGAUUUGUAAAAAAUGAAGAUUUCGAAAAUAAAGGCAAUACUCGAUACUUGGGAUAUUCGAGAGAAUUGAGCCCUAACGUGCUGGGUUCUAAUUUUUCUCGUUGAAUAUAAAUAAUCAAGAAUGCUCUUUAAUAAAAAAAUAAAUAAAAGCUCAUUAUCGAGAUUUCAAUACGUUGUGUCCUAACGCAUUGGAUAUGACACGUUUUCUCGAUACGAGGAUUUUUCAAAAAUAAAGGCAAUAUUCCGUAUUUCAAAAAUUCGAGAAAUUGUGCCCUAACUUACUGAGCUUCGAUUUUUCUCGCGUUGAUCCUAAAUAACCGAAUAUCCUUUGAAAAAUGAAAUAAAUGAGGUUUAAAUAAAAAAUAAAAGGCAAGCUUACUCUCAAAAAUACGAGGUGUCGUGUCCUAACUUACUGGAUGUGACAUCUUGUUACUUCGAGAUAAGGAGGCAUUUUCCAUUUUGAUUUAUUUGAGUAAUUUUAAAAAUAACGCAAUAUAAAGAGGGAUCGUAUUUUUAAAUUCUUUUCGAGUUUUUUUUUUAAUUUUCGACACCAAGACAUUAAGUAAUCAACUAGGUACCAAUUUUGAGCGUAUCGAUGGUGCUAAUUCUUCCUUGUGCAUAAUCGACUCCCGAACCCAUUUUUUUGAAUAUCGUAGACCAAAAUUAUGGUUUUAAUAAAAUCAAACCGUUUAUUAAAAACUACCACUUUUCAAUGUGGUCUGAUCACACCUUAUCAAAAAAGAUUGAUGGCGACUCCCUUUUUUCGUUUUCAUUUUCAAAAUCCAAGUCGACCCCGUUUUUAUCAAAAAAAUGGUGUCAACAUCUGUGUUAAAGUUAUUCCCAGGUAAACUUCAAUCACGAUGGCAAUGACCUUUUAUUGUUACUGAAGUGUUCACACAUAGAGCGAUUGAAAUAGAGAGUAAAGAAUCUUCAAAGCAGUUCGUAGUCAAUGGCCAGCGGUUGAAGCCAUUUUAUGAGAAUUUUCAAGCCCACACGGUUGAGAAAAUCCAUUUGGAACCACCAUUGAACCAAUAACGGCGUCAAGCUAACGACGUUAAACAAGCGCUUGUUGGGAGGCAACCCAAUUUUUAUUUUUAUUUAUUUUAUUUUAUUUUAUUUUCUUUAAUUUAUUUAUUACUUUAAUUUAAUUUAAUUUAUUAAUUAUUACUUAUUUGGAUACUAAUAAAUUUCUCUUCUUUUGCUUAGAUAAAAUAAAGCGAAAAUGCGAAGAAAAAGGGAAAAAGCUAGAAAAAUAGAACCAAACAACCCUAUCCAUGGUACCAAACAACCUCUAUUCCAGAUACUAUUCUAGCCCAGAAUGCCUGCAGCCAAACUACCCUAUUCCUGCAGCCAACCACCCUUAUCCCUGCACCUAAGCACCACCCUCAGCACAAAUUAACCCCCCAACCCUAAAAUUUUAAAACAUUUUUUUCUUUCCUUUUCCCACAAAACCCCCUAGCCGCCGCUCUUCCCUCCACGAUUCUCCCUCACUAUCGAUCGCCACCACCAUGGUUUGGACCCGUAGCCGUGUCGCUGCCAAGCCCUCCUUCACUAUGAACCCACGACGGUACCGUUUCUCCGCACCUCAGCCAUCAUAUACGAUCGACAGUAACAACACGAGAAGUUUUUCUAAACUUUUCUACCUAUUUAUUUCUUUUCGUCCACAUUGAGGACAAUGUGCUUUCAGUAGGGGGAGGUACUCUUCGUUAAAACUGUCAUUUUCUGCUGUAAUUUUGGUUGUUGUUGCUGUUGUUGUUGUGAUUAUUUUUGGCUAGUGUUGCUGCUUGAGGCUCCAUUUUGUCCAUAUUUUUUUAUUUUUUUUAGAAUCUCUUGCCUCUUUUCAUUAUCAAGAUUUUUACCAAGAAUUGCCUACUGUUGACCUACAAUCAUGAUUCUUAUUUUCUGAGGAAAUUACGGAUUUUCCAUAAUUGAUGCCAUCUCUACUGUUUUAUUCUUAUUAGACUAAAAAUAAUUGUGAUUCAUAGAGUUAACUUUAUCUUGGUUUUCGUAAAAUUAAUCAAGUUUAAUACAAAGUGGACACUUAAUAUGUUUGCAUGCUAAAAUAUGUUCAUGACUAUUAAGGUAAUUACUGAAACUUAUUUUUGACACUUGAUUCUUUUAUCUCUAAAGUCCUCAUAAAAAAGUUAUUAUUAAAAUGUCAUUUAAUGUUUUCGUGGUUAUGAGUGCAGCUUAAAAACGUGACUGACUAAGUAACCGGGGUAGGGUGCUUAGGUUGUCAUCCUAUUUCGCUUCAAAAGAUUGUGUGACGUGUUAGGUAAAACUUCACUAACUGGAAUUAAUUUUUAAGAACAUGUUGGGCUGAGUAACCGGGGUGAGGUGCUUGGCUGUCAUCUCUCUUCUCGUCAAAAGGUUCGAUGUGUUCUUAAGAAAAAAUUAUAAUAAACUAGGAGUCUGCUGGGUUGAGUAACCGGAGUGGGGUGCUUGGCUGUCAUCUCUCUUCGCGUUAAAAGGUUCAGUAUAUUCCUAAAGCAUAAAUAAUAUAAAUAAUAAAUAAAAAUCAAAAUAAAUUAAAAAAGGGAAAAAAAAAGAAAAAGAAAAAAUAUAUAAUUUGGGGACUAAAAGAGGAAACAAAUAGGGUGUCUUGGUAGGUUUGGUAAUUUACCUAAUUUUCAUUAAAUAAUUCAAGUCGAUUCUAAUUUUUUUGUGUAUUCAUUGGAAAACUUUUUCUGUUUUACUUAAAGCAAGCUUAAGGUUCUCUUUAUUUUUCAGAAGCAUUUUUGACUGAUUUUUUAUAAAACUUUGGAGUGGUAUUUCUUUUAUGGCAGAAUCUAACUUUCACAGUAGAAGGAACCAUACUUGAGGACAAGCAUGGGCUAAGUAGGGGGAAUUUGAUAACACUCUAGAAUAACGUAUUUUUAUGUAUUAAUUAUGUAUUUAUUUUGAGUAUAAUCCUGCUAAUUUGAGUUAUUUAUGAUCUUUUAUCUCAUAGGGACUAAAUUUGAGGAAAAAGCAAAAUUAAAGGCUAAAAGCGUGAAUUUAGAGAUAAGAUGGCCCAAUGUACAACAUAAUGAAAAGUUGGUGUCAAAAGUGCAAGUAUAGAGGAAACAAGGGUUGAAAUGCAAAAAGAAGAGAUUUUAUUCUAUCAGACUCUAUUUUAACUAUAUUAGGAUAAUUAAUAUUAAGAUAAUUAUUAAGGAUUAUUCAAUUUUAGGAUUUUAUUUUAUUUAUCUUUAUUUAUCUUCAAUUAAAUGUAUUUAUCUUUUGGGAGUUUAAGUAGGAUUAGACUAUCUCCCCUAGCACUAUAAAUACAGGGAGAAGUGACUCAAGAGGCAUCCAUCUUUUUCUAUAAACACUCUCUCCCCAAAAGUCUAGGCUUUUGUUCUUCUCAUAUUUCCUUUCAAUAAAAUCUCUAUUUUUAUUUUAUUUAUUUUCUUUUCCACCACAACCAUGAGCCACUAAACCCAUCUAGCUGAAAGUUGUCGAUAUUCCCCAAAAAGGGUUCUUGAGGCUUAGAGUCCGUACUUAGCCUCCUCGCUGAGUAUUCAUCGUUUCUCUGCACUACGUGGGUGACGCUUCCGUCCAUGUCCCUUAAGAAGUAAGCUUUUCAACGUAUGCAAAGGUGGUCGCUUUGUAUGUUUUGGGAAGGUUGCAAGUCGGUUCGUUAGCUUACUGCAUCAGAGGUUGGCGAGCCCAAGAGACAAAAUGGUAUGGGAUUCGCCAUUGAGAAGCGCUGAUCUAGCAUAAGACGAUCCCACGGAAGCCAUUGUUGGCUAGAGUCAGAUUCCACUAAAUCUUAAGUUUAAAUCCUUGGAGCUGAUGGUCGUAGGCGUCCUCUUCCACUAUAACUGGCUUAUUCGGUUUGAGAAAGAUCAUCUAAAAGUCAAGGAUUGAACCCAAGAUGAAACGAGACAACUAGAGGCCGGAAUCUCCCAUAAGAAUUUUCUUUCUCUUAACUCUAUUUUUAAUUUCUCAAAAUUUUGAUUCAAUAUUCUUAAUUUUGUUUUUAUUUUAUUUUUAAUUUCCAGAUCCAAACAUUUAAUUAUGUUAUUUUUUUAUUUUAUUUUUUUUAGGAACGCAGGUUUUCUUGGGCAAGAUUCUGACUAGGAUUUCACGGAACAAGAUAUUAUGCAAGUCCAGUCCCUGAGAAUUUAACCCUACUUCCUUUUUACUAUUCUUUUUCAUUAUUUAUUAGGUAUAUGAUACUUUUGGUGAUUUCAAUGACUGCAUCAUUACUAGACAUGGAAGAAACAUUUCGAUUUGUUAUUUGCUCAAAUAUCAACCGCAAAAAAGCUUUAUAGUCAUAUGACCCUGGUUUCGAAGAUUGAAUUUCUCUUUAUUGAGAGCUCAUCCUUAGGUAAUUUCUAAGCGAUAAGGGAAACCCUAGGAUGCUUUUAAAGAUCGAAAUAAGAAUGGUAGCACCAAACCAAAAAGGAGUUGGUCUUGAAUUAGGAGAUUUUGAUUUUGACUUGGGAUUAAUUUAUUGGCAAUCAUCCUUAUUAUGAAAAGUCAAAGAUAUGAGUAUCAAAUAUUGGAAAGUCAAAGAUAUAGGUAUCGAAAUAUUGACAUAAGAAAUCUGAGAUAUUUGCAAUAUUUGGUCACUAAUUGUAUAGUGACUUUGCAAGUUGAUCCCUGAACCACAACUAUAAAUAGGCCUAACCAUAUCUCAUUCAUAGUAUCCUAUAUUUGCCAUUCUCUACUUAAGGCAUUGUUCUCUCUCUCUCUCUCUCUUUGUAAAUUUUCACUUGUAUUUUGGAGUGAAAUAUAUUUGGUAGUUCCCAAGGACAUAGGCAAAAUUUGCUGAACCUCGUUAAAAUUCUUGUGUUCUUUAUGGUAUUAUUCUGUAUAUUUUGUGAGUGUGAUUGUAGUGAUUUAUUAUGCUAUUAAAUUACGAUUGAGGGAUAUUCUGGCUAGGAAAGACCUGGUACUAAGCGAUCAUUGUGAUCCACUUCUCUUUCCUGGGAAUUGAACUUAGUGUAAUUUUUUAGUACAAUAAUUUUACUCAUUUACACGCUUUUGCACAAUAAUUGGUAUCAGAGCUAGAUUCGUACUAGGGGAAUACGAUUAUUCACGGCACUGUUCACGUACAGUAGUUGGGAUUGAGGAGAAAAAUAGAAAAGGCAUCGUCAUCAGCAAACACUGCUGUGACUAAUCAAAAUUUGAAGUAGAGAAAUUUGAUGGUACCAAUAAUUUUGGUAUGUGGCAAUGUGAGAUCGUGGAUGUCUUAUGUCAGCAAGAGCUAGACAUAGCCUUUGAAGAAAAAAAUGACAAGAUGGAUGACAAUGAGUGGGCCAAGAUCAAAAGACAGGCAUGUGGAACAAUCUGCCUAUCUUUGGUCAAAGAGCAGAAGUACUCUGUCAUAAGGGAGACAUCAGCGAAGAAGUUGUGGGAUACACUGGAAAAAAAGUUUCUAACAAAAAGUCUUGAAAAUAGGCUUUAUAUGAAAAAGAAACUUUAUCGAUUCACGUAUGCAUCCGGUAUGUCGAUGAAUGACCAUGUGAACUCAUUCAAUAAAAUUUUAGCAGACUCGCUAAAUUUGGAUGAGAAAUUUGAAGAUGAAGGCAAGGCAUUAUUGUUGUUGAAUUCUCUUCCUGAUGAAUAUGAUCAUCUUACCAUCAUAUUGCUUCAUGGGAAGGAUACGAUCACAUUUGAUGCAGUCUGUAGUGCGUUGUAUAGAUCUGAGACUCGAAAGAAAGAUAAAAGAGAUUACAGAGAUACAACUGCAGAAGUCUUAACAGUAAGAGGUCGUUCGCACAGCAACAAAUCUGGUAAAAAGAGUAAGUCCAAAGAGAGAUCUACCAAAGAUGAAUGUGCUUUUUGUCAUGAGAAAGGGCAUUGGAAAAAGAAUUGUCCUAAUUUACAAAAGGGCAAAGGUAUUUCUAAUGCAUGUGUAGCAAAGUAUGAUGAGGAGUCAGACUUUAGCUUAGUUGGCAUUGCAAUGGCAUGUCAUACAGAUGAGUGGAUUUUGGAUUUUGGAUGUACUUACCAUAUGUGUCCUAAUAAGGACUGGUUUUCUAGUCUUAAAGAACUGGAAGGUAGAGUUGUUUUUAUGGGCAAUGGCAGCGCUUGUAAGACAAUGAAAGUAGGUACGAAUCACAAUGGCUCAAUUCAAGUCUUGACAUAUGUUCGCUACAUACCUAGCUUGAAGAAAAAUCUCAUCUCAUUAGGGGUCCUAGAAUCUAAAGGGCUCACAAUCACUUUGAGAGAUGGAUUACUAAAGGUAGUAGUUGAGGUAUUGAUGGUGAUGAAAGGAACAAGAAGGAAUAACAUGUACUAUUUAAAUGGAAGUAUAGUUAUUGGAUCAACAUCAACAGCUUCUGCGAAAGAUACAGAUUCAAAGGCUACCAGGUUAUGGCAUAUACUGAAAAAGCUUUGCAGAGUUUGACGAAACAAGGCUUGUUGAAAGGUGCAAAUUCUUGCAAAUUGGAAUUCUAUGAACAUUGUGUUCUGGGCAAGUAGACGAGGAUAAAAUUUGGUUCAGCAAUUAACAAUACAAAAAGAAUUAUGAACUACGUUCACAAUGAUGUGUGGGGACCUACUAAAGUGGCUUCUUUGGGAGGUAUGCAUUAUUUUGUUACUUUUGUUGAUGAUUAUUUAAGAAAAGUAUGGGUGUAUCUAAUGAAAAGAAAAAAUGAAGUUUUGGAUGCAUUUCUGAAAUGGAAGAAGAUGGUGGAGACCCAGACUGGUCGAAAGGUCAAAUGACUUCGAUUAGACAAUGGUACUGAGUAUAAGAAGGAUCCAUUUCUACAAGUAUGUCAAGAUGAGGGCAUUGUGUGACACUUCACUGUUCGGGAUACACCACAACAGAAUGGGGUGGCAGAAUGUAUGAAUCAGACUAUACUAGAGAAAGUUUGAUAUAUGUUGUCCAAUGCUGGAUUGGGCAAGAAAUUUUGGGUUGAGGCAGUUACAUAUGCGUACCAUCUAAUUAACCGGUUGCCAUCAGUUGCAAUAAAUGAAAAAACUUCUAUGGAGAGGUGGACUGGUAAACCUGCCACUGAUUAUAAUUCUUUACAUGUUUUUGGUUCCACUUGCAUAUUAUCAUGUAAAAGAAUCAAAGUUAGAUCCAAGAGCAAAGAAAUCAUUAUUCGUGGGUGUAACUGGUGGAGUAAAAGGAUACCGUCCCUGGUAUCCUAAUACAAGGAAGAUUGUUUUCAGUAGAGAUGUGACUUUUGAUGAAUCAACCAUGACGAAGAACAAGGAUUCACAAAAUGAUGACAAAACCAGUAAUACUUUGCAGCAGGUGGAGCUUGAAAAGGUUAAUGAUGAUCUAGCUAAUAUUGAAGGAACAAAUGAUGAAGAAUUUUUGACCCAAGAACUUCUACAGCAAUAAUAUUCAAUUGCAUAUAGGAGGCCAAAAAUAUAGAUUCGUAUGCCUGCUCGCUUUGAUGAUAUGGUGGCCUAUGCACUUCCAAUUGCAGAUAAUGAUGUUUCUUCUACUUAUACAAAAGCAAGAAGUAACAUUGAUGGUGUAAAGUGAAAGCAAGCUAUGAAUGAAGAAAUGCAGUCUCUUUAUAAAAAUAGGACUUGGGAGUUGGUGACACUACCUAAAGGAAAGAAGGCAAUUGGAUGCAAAUGGGUAUACGCAAAGAAGGAAGGAUUUUCUGGUAAAAGUGAAGUUUGAUACAAGGCUAGAUUGGUAGCAAAAUUUUACGCUUAGAAAGAAGAAAUACACUACAAUGAAGUGUUUUCUCCAGUUGUGAAGCAUUUGUCUAUUCGGAUUUUGCUAGCCUUGGUUGCGUAAUAUGAUCUUGAACUAGUUCAGCUCGAUGUGAAGACCGCAUUUUUAUAUGGUGAUUUAUAGGACUCAGCCAGAUGGAUUCAAGGUUGCUAAUAAAGAAAAUUGGGUUUGCAAACUGACAAAGUCGCUUUAUGGAUUGAAACAAUCUCCGAGGCAGUGGUACAAGCGAUUUGAUCAGUUCAUGAAAGGGCUAAGGUACACAAGAAGUAAAUUUGAUCAUUGCGUGUAUUUUCAGAAGCUCCAGGAAGGAAUUUUCAUAUACUUGCUCUUAUAUGUUGAUGACAUGUUGAUAGCAUCUAAGAGUAAAGUUGAAAUUGAGAGAUUAAGACUCAACUCAACCUUGAGUUUGAGAUGAAAGAUCUAGGUGAAGCUAAGAAGAUUCUUGGCAUGGAAAUAUGUAGAGAUAGAGCUCAUGGCAGAGUUAGUUUGUCUCAGAAGCAAUAUUUGAAGAAGGUACUACAGAAGUUUGGCAUGAACGAGCAGACAAAAGCUGUAAGUACCCUGUUGGCUUUUCAUUUCAAGCUUUCUGCACAACUAUCUCCUUCGACGAAUACGGAACAAGAAUACAUGUUACAAGUUCCGUAUUCUAAUGCACUAGGUAGUUUGAUGUAUGCAAUGGUGUGUACAAGACCUGACAUUUCACAGGCAGUUAGUAUAAUAAGCAGGUAUAUGCAUAAUUUUGGAAAAGGACAUUAGCAAGCUGUGAAAUGGAUUCUACGAUAUAUUCAAAAGACCAUAGAUAUUGGAUUACUGUUUAAGCAGGAUACUACACUUGGUAAAGGUGUUAUUGGGUACGUUGAUUCUGAUUAUGCCGGUGUUUUGGACAAACGAAGAUCAACCACCGGUUAUGUGUUUACACUUGCUAGAGGACCAAUAAGUUGGAAGUCUACAUUGCAGUCUACAGUUGCGUUGUCAACCACAGAAGUCGAAUACAUGGCUGUAACAGAGGCUGUAAAGGAAGCUAUUUGGUUACAAGGUAUGGUUAAAACAUUGGGAUUGGUUCAGGAACAUAUUAACGUGUAUUGUGAUAGUCAAAGUGCUAUUCAUUUAGCAAAGAAUCAAGUCUAUCAUGCAUGUACAAAGCAUAUCGACGUACGUUUCCAUUUUUGUGCGGGAAAUUAUUGAUGAGGGGAAAAUUCACCUUAAGAAGAUUAAGACUGCAGAUAAUCUCGCAGAUAUGAUGACCAAGGUGGUAACAACAAUCAAAUUCGAACAUUGUUUGAACUUGAUCAAUAUUCUGCAAGUUUAAUAGUUGAAGAAGGCACUAUCAAGUGUUGUUGACAAAGGCAGAGAGAAUUGUGUGAAGAUAAGAUUAUUCGAAUCAAAUCUUCAAGGUGGAGAUUAUUGGCAAUCAUCCAUAUUAUGGAAAGUCAAAGAUAUGGGUAUCAAAUAUUGGAAAGUCAAAGAUAUGAGUAUCGAAAUAUUGGCAUAAGAAAUCUGAGAUAUUUGCAAUAUUUGAUCCCUAAUGGUAUAGUGACUUUGCAAGUUGAUCCCUGAACCUCAACUAUAAAUAGGCUUAACCAUAUCUCAUUCAUAGUAUCCUAUAUUUCUAAUUCUAAUUCUCUACUUAAGGCAUUGUUCUGUUUCACUCUUUUUAUAAAAUUUCACUUGUAUUUUGGAGUGAAAUAUAUUUGGUAGUGCCCGAGGACGUAGGCAAAAUUUGUUGAACCUCGUUAAAAUUCUUGUGUUCUUUAUGGUAUUAUUCUGCAUAUUUUGUGAGUCUGAUUGUAGUGAUUUAUUGUGCUAUUAAAUUACGAUUGAGGGAUAUUCUGGCUAGGAAAGACCUGGUACUUAAGCAAUCCUUGUGAUCCACCUCUCUUUCCUGGGAAUUGAACUUAGUGUGAUUUUUUAGUACAAUAAUUUUACUCUUUUACACGCUUCCGCACAACAUAAUUUGAAAAUUGGAAAACAAGAAUUGAAAAUCAAUAUAUAAAUUAAAGGAAUUCAAAUUGAAAGAAAGGUGAUUCGACGAUAAAAUUAUAAAAGUCCUUGAAUUAAGUAUUCGAAUUUGAGGACUUAGAUUUGAAGUAAACUGAGUCGAAUUUGAACAAAUUUCCUUCUUGUAAUUCUAAAAAUUUAAAGAUAAAUAGUUAGAGCAAUUCAAGAAAAUUCAUAAUUAAAUAAUUGAGAUUGAAUAUUGGAGAAGAUAGAUAAAAUAAAUUGUCCUACCGAACCCUUUGAAGAUGAACUCUCCAACAAAUCCAACAAAAUGCUCUAAUCAAUUCUCUAAAAAAAUAAUCUUAGUCAAUUAAAGACUGAAGACUCCCACCACAAAAUAUUGAGGGCCAGUUAUUUAGUGCUUAAAAAAAGCAUUUUAGACUCCAAAAGUACUUUUGGAAGAAAAGUUGUGCAGAACAAGCUGCGCAGAACAAGCUGCUUUUAGCUGAAAGCACUUCUGAAAAGGAAAAGCUAAAAAUUUUAGCUUUUCCUCUCCCAAAAGCAUUUUUGGUGCUUAAUUACUUUUUCACCCCUCCAUUAACAUAGUACUUUCCUUUUUUUUGUGUGCAUAAUUACAAAUGUGUUAAAAUCAUUAAUUAAAAAUAAAAAAUAUUUUUUAAAAUACUAAUUACAAAUAUUUAAUGGUUAUAUUUAAAUAUUUAAAAUAUAGUUUAUAUAUUCUAAUUAAAUUUUAUAAAUAAUUAAUAUUUAUUGCUUAAAAAUAUUUAAAAUUUAUAUUUCAUAUAUUAAAAUAUUAACAACAAGUUAUAAUAAUUUUUUUAUAUUCUUACUAAAAUAUAAUAAUAUUAACUAAUUUAAAUAUUAUUUAAAUGCAUAUUUGUUACUUGAUAAUAACAUGUCUAAAAUGAACAUUUUAUUUCUCAAAAUCACUUUUUGACAGCAAUGCUAAACAUUCAAAUUUUAAACCAAACUUUUCAAAAGCAUUUCUCAAAAGCACAUUUCUAGAUCACUUUUCAAAAACACUUUUCAAAAGCAUUGCCAAACUAGCCCUGAAUCUAACUUCUGAAAAUUAAUAGUAAAUGAAUCUUGCAAACCUUGAUGUGGUAGCCACAUAUACUUAGUGUGAUGCCACCAUGUUAACAGCUAAAUUAAAAAUUAUAAUUUUUAAAAUAUAUAUGAUUUUUUUAAAUAUAAAAGUUUUUGAAAUCAAAUUCAAAGUUUCAAAAAUUAUAAAUAAACUAGUUUUCUUACUCGUGCGAUACACAGCUUAAUUAGUGUAUAAAUUAAUUAUAUUCUAAGAGUUAUGAAAAUCUGUCCAAAUUUGAAUCUAACAAUAAGUUAUUUAAUAAGUAAAUUUAAUGAAAAAUAGGGAAGAAUAUGUGAGUGUUCUCUAAUCAAUGUGAGAUCAAAAUUAACUUUUUAAUUUCUUAAACUAUAUCUAAAAAUAUAUAUUUUUUAUCUUAUUAAUUUAUAUGUAAAUUAAAAAAUCUAUUGAAGAUGUCAUCAAAACUUAAGUAUGCUUCUUUUUAUUUUAUUAAUUUAUUUUUAAAUUAAAAAAUUAAAAAAAUAUAUUCUAUUGAGUAUGCUUAUAAUAACUUUUUAGACUAAAAAAAAUAAAUAAAUGAUAGAUGUAGGUUAUUUUCGAACUAAUAAAAAUAUGAUUAUUUCUCUCUUUCCUAUAAUAUAUUAUUUUACAUAAAUAAUUUUAAACUAUAAACUCUUUCUCAAAAAUUUAUUCAAAGAAAGAAACUAUAAAGAGUUUACGAAAAUAGUAAAGAAAUUUAUACUUAUUUAUAAUAUAAGUGUGAGCUAUAUGAGUGUUCUCUAGUCAAUGUGAUUAAAAAUUAGUUAAUAAAAAAUUGGCACAUAUCAAUAAAAUGAAUAUGCCAUGUGUUAAAAUAUUAUACUUUCAUGUCAGCCGAGAGUCCAAGAUCUUAUAAUAUAAUAUAUAUAAUUAUCAAAAUUAUAAAAAAUCAAAUACAAAAAAUUAAAAAUAAAAUAAAUAUUUUGAAUAGUGGACAAAAGAAUUAAAUUAGAAUAAAUAUAAAAUGUAUUAAUGUGGGGUUUUGGUUUGAUGAUUGAGCUUGUCUAUGCUUUUAUGUUUGACUCUGAUUUUAUUUGUUGGGUUUAUUGGAAACUCAAAUUGUGGAAAAUGAAAUAUGAUCCCAAUCUCUUUUUGAAUCAUUUAACAUACUGACGGUUGCAUUGUCAUGUCAGCUUUCCAAUAGUCCUUCCAGUGUGACAUAUCACUCAUUUCUUCAUAGGUAUGUCCGGAUGCUUUCUCCUCCCUCUGCUUCUAUCUUGUCUUUACAACGAGGGUGAGUUUAGAUGGACGACUGGGUGCAGUGCGGUGAGUUUAGCUUACUUUUUGUCUCACGCUACAGUAUCGCUACACUAUCUAAUUUUACCACCACCGCUAUUUUUACACUAAACACAGGUAAACGCACCGCCCAUCCAAACUCACCCUGAAAAAAAUUUUCUCAACCUUGAGCUGGACCGAUGGUUGCGACUUGCAAGUGUUGCAUUGUGCAUGUCAAUUUUCUCAGCAACAAGACAAGAAAUGUCACCCAUCACUUUCCAUCAUUUGGGACAUUCUCACCCUCCUUUCAAUUUUAUUAUUUUUAUUGUAGGUAUUUGUUUUUUUUUUUUGAGUGAGUUCAAUAACUAAUCAUUCGUAUUCUAUAGUUUUAUCUAUUAAAUAAUAUAUUUUUAUAAUUUUAAAAAAAAAUAUUUGUUAAUUAAAUGAGUAUUUAUCUAAUUUAUAAUAAAAAUCUAUUAAUUUUAAAAAAUAAUUUAGAGAAUAAAAUAAAAAAUUUUAAGUAAAGAAAAAAGAAACAAUCAAUAAUAUAAUAUUAAAUAAUUAGAUAAAAUAAUCAAUAGUUAGCAACAUAAUAUUAUUAAAAUCACAAAACAAUAGGAAACAACAUUAUUAAUAAACAUUGCUUUACAAAGAAUUAUUACUUUUAACAUAAUAUUUUACAACACAAUGAUAAAUAAUAUUUACAAUUAUAUAAAUAUUAUUAAAAACAAAUAUUAGCAAAUAGUAAUGAAAAUCGUAUCUUUUUUUUUGAUAGAAACAAACCCUAUUUAAAACAAAUUUUUUUCAAUAAUUCUUGAGACGUUAUUUUGAACAAAAAUAAUUUGUUAAUGGAUAUAUUUAUAGUGCUAAAUAUUAAAUUUAAUUGAUAUAUAAUUAUAACAUUAAUUAAGUGAUAAUUAAUCUAAAAUAACAUAUGUACAAUCAACACUAUAUUUAGUACUGAUAAUGUGUUAAAUAUAAACACCAUUCAUUUCUUUCUUUUUUGAGAAUAUUUUAAUGUUUUUUGUUCAGUUUCAAAGUUGACACAUGUCUUGGACAAUCCAACACAACUCUAAGGGUCCGUUUGUUUGACUAAAAAUGGUUUCUGAAAAAUGACUUGCUUUUAUGAAAAAGCUAAUAUUUUCUGGUGUUUGGAUGAAUGUGUAAAAUAUUUUCUGUUGUUUGGCAGAUUUCCUGAAAAUAUUUCAUAAAAUCUGUUUUAAAUGAAACAAACAUACAUUUGAGAAUUUAUUGUCUUUUCAUUGUUUAAUUGAGUUUAUUUUAUAUCUAUUAAAUUUAUAUUUUAUAUUAUUAUUUUUUACAUAUUUUGCAAUGAUAUAUUUAUAAAUAAGUACAUCAAAUUAAAUAUAUAACAGUAAUCAAUUUUUUUAACAAAAAUAACAGUAAUCAAUUAUUAAGCAAUAUAUGGGCCAUUAUUGCUCUUUAGUCUAUCAACUAAAGUCCUUCCGAGAUCCUCUAUCUCUUUCGCAUACUGGAGAGCCUCGUAAUUGGCUCGGCACCUUAGCCUUUGAAUGGAGUUUGGAAUGUCAUUAUUAGCAAGCCUUGAAUAUGUAUGCGUGAACUUCAUCACCUUAUGUCGCUUUAGUAACGGGAGCACUUCCCUCAUGUAGUAAUUAGCCUGCAAAUGAAUCAAUUUAAGACACCUUACCAAAAAAAAAAAAAACCAAAUGGAAUAUCACCGUUUAUUUAACACCAAAUUUGAUCAUUUCAAUACACUAGGCCAGGAAACAAGGGCCUUUACUAGGGGUUUUAUUAUUGAGUACUUAAGGGAAGAUACCCAACAAUAUCAUAUAAUCUUUGAGUACAUUAAUUAAAUGCCUCCAAUAAAAAAAUAUCCUUGAAUUCACUGUGCACAACGUAUUCAAAAUGUAUUCAAAACAUUAAUGAAGAGUUGGAAAAAUAGGUUGAGGUGCACAAAUAUGCUUGAGUGUUGCAUAACUAAACCCCUUUGGCCCUAUAGAAAAUCUCGUCUGGAACUGAUGCUGCUCCACUUGUCACACUCACUUUUCGAGUUGGAAGUGUCUUUCUAUCAAAUCAUUCAAGGUCUAUUUAUAGAAAAUAAAUGCAAUUCAUCUAAUAGAAACAUAGCAUAUACAUACAUCCCAAUUUAACAGACAAUAACAUUAAAAUAUCCCUCCAGAUUGAGUUUCACUUAUCAUCUAAAUCAGAAAUUAGUUGACAAAAAAAAAUUCCAACAAUAGUAUCUUAGAGCUAGCGCAUGUGUAUAACUAUACAACCAACAUAGAUAAGCAUGCUAACCAUUUAAUAAUGGUAAUUUAGCGAGUCAAUAGAAAACCGCUUCCAUUGCAUGUCUCUAUUUAAGUAAGUCACGAGAUCCAUAAGUUGCACUAGGUAUCUUUCACUUUCCAUCACAUUUUGUGCAUCUGCAGAGAUAUAAUCAAUCAUCGACGAAAAAAAUGGAUCAUGUAAAUAAAUCAUUCCUCAACUAUAUAUGUUUGGAAGAAAAGAAAUUAACAAGAAACCAAAUAUCAAACUAAUGUUUACAAAGUUCAAUAUAAGGACCAUUAGCCAAAAGUUUCAAACUUAGAACACCCAGAUAGCAAAUUAGGAAGGAUAACUACAUGCAAAUAUGGUUCCUUGAAAGAAUGCAAAGUUGUGAACUACUUGCUCAACCAUAUUAGUCAUAUGUUGGAACCAAUAACCAACCAUCUUGGAUAAUAAAUAUAGGUUCCGUUUCUCUUUUCACUUCCCUUUCUUCUAAGAAAGUUUCAAGAGUUCCCACAUAAACAUUGCAAUUCUCAACAACAUGAAUCGUUCAUAUUUACCUAGUUUUGAAUGGCUAAUCAACAAUAGUAUCACUUCACAAUGUGCUAAGGUGUUUUGUGUUUGAAAACCUAUUUGCAAUUUAGGUUUUUUCCUUUUUUUUAUCCAACUAAAAACUACACUUGGAACAAAAUGUAAGAAAUCCAUUUGCAUUAAACAAAAUGUAAGAAAUCUAUGUGUAUUAAACAAAAUGUAAGAACACAUGUGAGCAUGAGAUUUUUUAGUGUCAUAAACAAAAUAAAACUUGGAACAAAUAGACAAAAUCACCUUUUUCCCUCGAAUAACAACUCUGAGUUCGCCUUGGAUCACCAUGUAUUUUGUGCCACCAAGUCGGAGCAAGUGAUCCAGGUUCAGCAAAGUCAUUCAUGAUGCUAGUGAUUUCUUCUGGAUUGAACUGAAAUCAACAUAAAACCAAAGAACCAAAGGUAUCUUUCUCUACCGAUUCCAAUUCAACAAAACUUUGGCACAUGCGACUGGGUCAUAUGAGUGAGAAAUGUAUGAUAGUCUUUUGCAAUAAAGGUCUUUUCAAAGACACUUGUAACAUCUCAGAAAUUGGGGUUAGAAGUUUUGAGGUUUGUAGUGAGGGUCAGAGAGUAGGUUGAACAAUUGGGUUCAGUCUCGUGUUUUAGUGUCAGAAUGAGCUUGCUGGUUCGGUGGUUGGAUGUGUGUUAAUUUACCUUUGGGUCCAGGGUUCGAGUCCUUAUGUGUGUUUUGAGGAAUUAAUCUGAUUCUACUUUUGUUUUUAAGUUUUAAAUAGUUAUUUAUUAAUUUAUUUAUUUAUUUUUAGUUUGGAAAUAGGAAGUUACUCAAAAACUAUUUUCACUUUUGUUUUGUUUAUUUUUUGCCAAUUUUGGAUUUGACCUCUUUUGGCAUCCAUACUUCUCUAUUUCAACAGUUCUUUCUUUUUGUUUUAUUGCUAAUCUUCCCUUUACUCUUUUGUUAUUCAAUUUUUGUUCUUUUUUAUUUCAAAUUUUUGCAAAUAAUUAUUGUUUUCCAAAGUUGUUCCUUGUUCAAUUGCUAAGCAUGGAGUCAAAAACGGUGGAAUUAAGGCGUUUCGAUCUUCGUUGGUGUUUGGAAUCAUAAUUUUAGGUGUGUUUCUAAACUGUUUGAAUUCGGUAGCGAAUUACUGUUGGAUUUUAGGGAAAUCUGCAAAAUUCUGAUAUGUCUUAGAUGGUUAUCGAUUGGGGUUCGUUCUGCUGCUACAAAACUAUGAUUUCGGCCUAUUUUUGUGUGGUUUCGUGACCACACGGCGGUUCACACGACCAUGUGACUUUUGGAAUUAGGAAUUUUGGACCUUUUUUAGUGCCACACGUUCAUGUGGCAACUAUUUGGGGAUUUUGUUAUUUUUCACAUGGGCGUGUGCCUUGGACACUAGGGGUGUGCAAAAUUCGGGUAAAACCGAAAAAUUCGGUUAACCGACCGAAUUCAGUUAAUCGGUCAGUUAACCAAAUUUUUUCGGUCGGAGGUCGGUUAAUUAUUUUUUAAUUUUUCAUUUAACAGUUAAUUCGGUUCGAAACCGGUCGGUUAACUAAAAAAAUUAAUAAAUAAAAUUAUAAUAUAUAAAUAGGCCCACUAUUCACCUAAACCCAAUCUAAACCCAAGUAUUCAACCCAACCCAAUUACCCAACCCAACCCAAUCAUAAAAUUAAAUUACAAAUAAUUUAAUAAAUAAAAAUAAAAUUUUAAAACUAAGACUAAAACUAAAGUCUAAAAGUCUAAAAAUAAUUUAAUUAUGUAGUGAUUCAAUUUGGUUAAUUCGGUUAAUUUGGGUAAUUCGGUUAAUUCGGGUAAUUCGGUUAAUUCGGUUAAUUUGUUUAAUUUUUAACCAAAAAUAAAAAAAACAUAUAAUUUUCGGUUAAUUCGGUUAACCGACCGAAUUAACCGAAAAAAUUUCGGUUCGGUUAAUUUUUUUGAAAAAAAUUUCGGUUCUGUUAACAGUUAAAGAUUUUGAAAGGUCGGUUAAUUCAGUUAAUGUUAUUUCGGGUCGGUUAACCGAAUGAACACCCCUAUUGGACACACGGCCUUGUCCCUUAGCCACACGGGUGUGUGAGUUUUCCAUAUGGUCGUGUCUGCUCUGUACUUUAUUUUGGCACUUUUAGACAGUGAGUUACACGGGCUAAUCACACGGCCAUAUAACGCAGUCACACGGGUAUGUGUCCCCUCCAUACGGGUGUGUGUAGCUUGCACAUGGGCCUGUAUACCACCACGCGAGCGUGUAGACCCCCACACGUCCUAGGCAUUUCCACACGAUCGUGUACAAAUUUGACUCAUUUUUGUGUUUCUAUAUGUUUCGACCCUCGGUUAAGCUUUGGUAACUGUGUUUGGGAUUCCAUUACAAUUUGGACUUGUGUGUGUAUUUGAAUUCAUAGGAUUAAGUUUAAGUGUUAUUGUGAUGUUACUUUCUAAUUGAAUGCAAGCAUAUCCGAUUCUCGAUUUGAUCAACCGAAUACGUGUAAUUCUAUUUUUGUGAGAUUAUCUACAUUUAGUGUGUAUUUUGCAUUUGCAUGAAAAUUCUGGGAUUUGGUUAAGAAGAGAAGGAAGACUGAAUUGGCAGUUUAAUUGUAUUGUUUCUGUACAGCCAUUUACCGCAUUAUUUUAUAUAUGUCAGCUUAGCUGCAUAUCAUUAUUUAGGUGGCUUAGUCCCACUAUCGGGGUGUGUAGGGUGGAUGGGCUUAUCAAAGCUCUUGUGGUGUGCAGGGUGGAUGGGUCUAUUAUGACUCUAUUGUGGUGUGCAGGGGGUCAGAGUGGUGUUCUAUUGGAUGGGUAGGAUUUCUACUUGUUGCAUAUUUUACGCAUAUGAAUUUAUGUUUGUUUGUAUGAUCGUCAAGACGUUUAUAAAAUGCUUUGAAUAGUCUGUUGCGAUUGGGUUACAUGAGUGUUUGGAAUAAUAAUAUAAUUGUGUUCUGUUGUUAAUGGAAACUUUCCUUAUGCUGGAUUACCGUUUGAGAUAUUUGUAUGUGAUUUGUAACAUAUGCUAUUUUGGAAUAUACGUUGUGUUACUCCGUCUUUUGCCUGUUGCCAGUUUCGGACUUACAUUGAGCUUGCGUAGCUCACCCCCUCUUAUUUUUCUCUCUUUUAGGUAAUUCUCGUGUUUGGCAUUGGACUCAGUGCAUCGGUGAUCUCAGAACUUUUACUCGGGUUUUUCUCAAUUUGGAUUGGACUAUUUAAGUUCAAUAAUUUUGAUAAAUCAUUUCCUAUAGGACUGUUGUAAUUUUGUUUUAUGAACUGUGGUAUAACUUAAUUUGGAAUAUUUGUUUUGUAAGCGAUUUUGAUUGUUCUAAAAUCUUUGGUUUAAACUUUAAUACGUUGUAAGUUUUAAACAUAAAACACUAGCUUGGGCUUUGCAUUUAAAUAGUAAGUAUUAUGUUAUCCGCUAUGAACUAUUUUCUUGUAAUGUCAGUCUUUUAAAUUUCCAAAUCCGUAUGAUUUCAAAAUCGAAGUAAAAAUUGUUAAACGAUAUAGUUCAAUUUGAGCAAACUGUAUUCGGAUUAAGUUUUUAGAAAUUCUUAUGUAAAAUGUUUCAAGAUCACUUCGGUGGUCAAUGAAACCUCUGAGGUCCGGUCAAAACUUCUAGGUCGGGUUUUGGGGUGUUACAAUACUGAAGUUGGUAAGUUAGGUAUUUGCGAACAUUACAUUUUCGAGAAACAAACCCGAGUCAGUUUUUAUUUAGUAGUGCAUAGAACAAAAUAGACUCUAGAUUACAUUCAUUCCUGUUUAUGGCUGUCCAUCUUAUGAAACCUCAAAAAGAGGUAGUAAAUAUUUCUUAACUUUUAUUGAUGAUCACUCUAGAAAAGUUUGGGUUUAUUUCUUGGAACAAAAAAAUGAAGUCUUUGAAAUCUUCAAAUAGUGGAAGACAUUGUUAGAAAAACAAACCAAAAAAUCCAUGAAGCGGUUAAGAACGGAUAAUGGUCUUGAGUUUUGUUCAUUAAGGUUUAAUGAUUUCUGCAAACAGGAAGGAAUUGAAACGUAUUGAACCGUUGUUGGAACUCCGCAGUAGAAUGUAGUUGCAGAAAGAAUGAACAGAUCCUUGCUAGAAAAGGCUCGAUGCAUGCUUUCUAAUGUAGGCUUAGGGAAGGAAUUUUAGGAUAAAGCCAUAAACUUAACAAGUUAUUUGGUAAAUCGAUCUCUUCAUCUAGCAUAGAACGGUAAAGUUCUAGAGGAGAUAUGGUCAGGUAAUUCUCCUAAUUAUUCUAAUAUUAAAAUUUUUGGUUGUCCUGCUUAUGCUAAAGUUAGUGAGGGAAAGCUCAAACCAAAGGCCAUUAAAUGCAUCUUUCUGAGAUACUUUACUGGUACAAAAGGUUUUAAGUUGUAGUGUUUGGAAUCCGAAAAAAUAAUUAUUAGCAAGGAUGUUCCGUUUGAUGAAUUUGUCAUGUUUUGAUCAGAAAAUGGAACUUUUACUUUUAUUUUUAAAGACACAACAAAUCAGAGUGUCUUGAGCUAGGUGGAUUCAAAAGCCAAUAUAGGGGCGACAUCCUAGUGAGUAAAUGCCCUACGUCGUAAUGAUGUGACGAACAAAAGUCUUGUCUCGAUGAAGAGUCACACGACAUCAUGAUGUCACAACAAAAUUUUGAUUCUUACUAGUUUGAAGUUGUUUCGAAUCUGUUUGGGGCUCCAUCCAACCUUCAAGUACCCUCACCAUCUUAGUUAACUAAUUAUAAGUUAGCUCGUAACAAGAAAAGACGAGAGAUCCGACCACCACAGAAAUAUUGUGAAGGAAACCUAGUGGCUUAUGCUUUAAGUGUUGUUGAAAGCAUUGAUUCAAUCAAUCCUUCGUGUUAUUAUGAGGCAGUUCAAGCCACCGAUUCUAGCAAAUGACUCGUUGCAAUGGAAUAAAAGAUGGGAUUACUUCAAAAGAAUGAGACUUAGAGGCUAGUUAAACCACCCAUUGGUAAAAGAAUCAUUGGUUGCAAAUGAAUAUUGAAAAAGAAGGAAGGUUCGGGUCCUAACGACACUAGGUACAAGGCAAGACUGGUUGCAAAAGGCUAUAGUUAAGUUGAAGGAGUUGAUUUUCAUGGUGUUUUCUCUUCCAUUGUGAAACAUACAUCUAUUCGGCGGUUUUGGCCCUUGUUGCAUCAAAUAAUCUUAAGUUAGAGCAGUUAGAUGUAAACACUGCUUUUCUUCACGGUGAAUUUGAGGAGGACAUCUACAUGCAACAACUGAAAGACUUCAAAUUUGAAGGUAAAGAAGAUCAUGUUUGUCUCUUACAAAAGUCUUUGUAUAGUUUGAAGUAGUCUCCUCGACAAUGAUAUAAAAAGUUUGACUCCUUCAUGUUGAGUAUUGAUUUUUUUCAAAGUAAGUAUAACAGUUGUGUUUAUCUACAAUGUCUUAAUGAUGGUUCUUUUAUAUAUUUGCUACUUUAUAUUGAUGAUAUGUUAAUUCCGGCUAAGAAUCCAUUUGAAAUUGAUCGUCUUAAAACCAUGCUUAACUCUAAGUUUGAGAUUAAGGAUUUAGGUGUAGCAAAGAAAAUUUUGGGGAUGAAAAUUUUGAGAGAUAGACAUUUCGGGAAAUUAUUUUAUUGCUACAAAGUUACAUCAAGAAGAUCCUUGAGAGAUUUGAGAUGCAAGAUGCAAAACAGGUAAGUAAUCCUUUAGUUACACACUUUAAACUCUCAAUUUUAGAUUCCCUACAGAAUGAAGAAGAUAAACGGUACAUGUCAAAAGUACCUUAUUCAAGCGCAGUUGGAAUUUUGAUGUAUUCAAUGGUAUGCAUUCGUCUUGAUAUUUCACAUGCUAUUAGUAUUGUUAGCCGAUACAUGACCAAUCCUGGUAAGUUACAUUGGCAUGCAGUUAGGUGAAUUUUUAGAUAUUUACGAGGUACUUCUAGCAUAUGCUUAAAGUUUGGAAGAACUCAAAAGGGUUUAGUUGGAUAUGUUGAUUUUGAUUAUACAAGAGAUUUAAAUCGAAGAAGGUCUCUCACAAGUUACCUAUUUGCUUUUGGGAAUUGUGUCAUUAGUUAGAAAGCGAUUCUUCAAGCUACAAUGGCUUUGUUGACUAUUGAAGUAGAAUACAUGGCAAUUAAAGAUGGAGUAAAAGAAGCAAUUUGGUUAAAAGGCUUGUCCAAUGAACUGGUAAGUGAAAAAAGGACAACUGUCGUAUAUUGUGAUAGUCAAAGUAUCAUAAAUCUCACUUAAUAUAAAAUGCAUCACGAGAGAACGAAGCAUAUAGACAUUCAUUAUCAUUUCGUUUGAGAGAUGAUCAUUCAAGGGGAUGUUAAGAUUCUUAAAAUUGGCACAGAACACAAUCUGGUCGACAUGUUGACAAUGAGCCUUCUACUUUCAAAGUUUGAGCAUUGCUUGGAUUUGGUAAGUAUCGGACGAAGAAUCAGUUAAGCUCGUAAUAGGGCUUGGCAAGAGAGUUGGUCCAAAUAUGAGUCAAGGUAGAUAUUUGUGAGAGAAUGCCUCUUAUUUUCACCAAAGUUUAUUUUGGCUUUUCUUCUCCUAAUUAAACUCUGUUUUUAGUUUCUCACUUAAACUCUGAUUAACCUAGAGUUGUUGUAGUCAUAUAUGCCACGAAUUUCAACUUAUCACGCAAAUUUUACGUGGAAAAAUUCCUUAAAGAGGAUAAAAUCUACGGGCAAAAGAAGAUUUCACUAUAAAAAGGAGAGUACAAAAGAUGGAGAAAAUUAAAAUAAAAACCCAAAGCCCCACAAGAAAAACCCUUCAAAACAAAAAAAACAAAAUUCUCUCAAACUAAAUAUUUUGUUGUGUAAACUUAGAGUAACUAAAACCUAUUUUUUCGAUUCUUAUUUAUUUACUUUGUUCGUUGUUUAAUUGGGUUUAUCCCUUACAAGAAAAAUAAUUGUCCACUUUUAUUGUGAAAUGAUGAAUUGACAAAAGAAUUAAAUUUAAAUAAAUAUAAAAUAUAUUAAUAUCAUGCGUAAAUUUCACUUGUAAUAUGAGGUUUUGGUUUGUUAAUUGAGUUUGUGCUUUUUCGUCUCUAUGCUUUUAUGUUGUCCUUUAUGUUAGGACUCUGUUUUUAUUUGUUCGGUUUCAUUGAAAACUCAAAUUGUGGAAAAACAAGAAGUUUCUCCAUCUCGUUUUGAAGUAUUUAACAUACUGACGGUUGCAUUGUAAUGCCAGCUUUCCGAUUGUCCUUCCGGUGGGUCACAAGGCAAAGAAAUAUUACUCAUUUCUUCAUAGGUGGAGCUAUUCCUAUUAUUGCGUCCGGAUGCAUUAUCCUCUCGGCGCUUCUAUUUUGUCUUUACACGGACUCUCUUCUGUUUGGCUACAAUGAAAACUCAGCUUUGGAAACAAAAUUUUCUCAACUUCGUGGUGGACCGAUUUGAUAUAGCGGAGGUUGCAUUGUGCAUGUCAAUUUUCUCGGAAUAUCACCCAUCACUUACUUUCCAUAUUGUUUUGUGAGAUUCUUACCCUCCUUUCAAUAUUCAAUUUUUUUAUUUUGUUAUAUUAUUAGUUCCCAACAAUAUACAUAUCUGUUUUUAAAAUUCAUUAAAUAAUAAAUUUUUAUAAUUUUAAAAAAAUAUAGUUGUUAAUUAAAUGAGUAUUUAUCUAAUUUAUAAUAAAAGUAUUAAUUUUUAAAAAAUAAUUUAGGGAAUAAAAUAAAAAUUUUAAAGUAAAGAAAAUAAAAAUAUGAAAAAUAAUUGAUAAUAAAAUAUUAAGUAAUUAGAUAAAAUAAUCAAUAGUUAGCAACAUAAUAUUAUUAAAAUCACAAAACAAUGGUAAACAACAUUAUUAAUAAACAUUACUUUACAGAGAACCCUUACUUUUAAUAUAAUAUUUUACAAUAUAAUGAUAAAUAACAUUUUCAAUUAUUUAAAUAUUAUUAAAAACAAAUAUUAGCAAAUAAUAAAAAAAUCAUAUAUAUCUUUUGUGAUAGAAACAAACCCUAUGUAAAAUAAUUUUUUUCAAUAAUUCUUGAGACGUUAUUUUGAAUGAAAAAAUUAUUAAUGCAUAUAUUUAUAGUACUAAAUAUUAGUUUUAAUUUAUAUAAUUAUUUUAAUGUCAUUUAAUAUGAAUACAAGCAAUCAACACUAUACUUAUGUGUUAAAUAUAAACACCGUUCAUUUCUUUCUUUUGUUCUUUUUUGAGAAUUUUUUUUUUCAGUUUGAAAGAUGACACGUGAAUUUGACAAUCCAACACAACUUUAAAUGCACAAACAAAUACAAGUACAAAAAUGAAAAGACAGAAAAGAACAGGUUAGCGGUGGCGAAAUUAGUGGAGCUCGCGGUGGUCUCCGACUCCCCUAAAAUAAAUUUUUUUCAUAUAAUCUUUUUAAAAUUUUUAAAAUUUUAACUUAGUAAAUGUAAAAUUAUAUUUUAACUCCCUAAAAAUAUAAAAAUUUAAUUUAAUUCUUUAAAAAUUAUAAUGAUAUAAUUUAUUAAAAUGAUAAAAUUUUAUUUUUUAUCGUAAAAAUUACAAUUUAAUUUGGUCCCCAAUUUGUUUUUUGGUUUCGCCAUUGCAAAUUAGUACUUAGUAAUUAUCCAUUGGAUUAUAGACACCAUUUUGUCAUAUAUUUUAGGCCUUUUCUAUUAGAUUGUUUAUUCAAUCAAAUUAAUUACAUGUAUUAACAUUUCAAUGCUACCUUUAGUAAUGAUGUUAUUUUUACAUGUAUUUUAAUAUAUGAGUUAGUAAUAAAUUAAUUUAAUUUAUAAUAUUUAGUUAUUCUCAUAACUUAGUUUUAGUAAAGAAAAUAAAAUAUUUUUAUUUAUUUUGAAGAUGUUUUAUUUUUUACAAGAAUUUUUAUUUAUAUUUCUAUUUUCAAGUUUAAAUUUAUUAUAACUAUUCUUAGUUUGAUAUUUAACUAUUGUAAUACAUGUACCCAAUAAGAUUUUUCUUCAUGUUAUUACAUUAAUAACCAAAUGAGGCAUUAAUAUAUUUACAUUAAGAGUUAAUUUCACCAUAUAUCCUUAAACUAUAACCUUCAUUCUAAAUUAGUCCUCAAAUUUUAAAAUAUUUUAAUUACAUCCCAAACUGUUGAUGUUUUAUCAAUAAGGUCAUUCCAUUACUAAAAAAUAAUUAAUUUAACCGUUAAAUGAAAUGUCAAAUCUUAUGUGUCAUGUUUAAAAUAAAGAAUUGUAAAAAAAAUGAAUGUUAUAAAAAUAUUGGGUUUGAGGCUUUUGAGGCUUUUACAAAAGCGUUAUUGCUUACUUUCUUCUUUUUUCAGUUUUACUUCAUUUUUAAUUUAAAAGUUAUGCAAUAAAAUUUUAAUUUUUUUAAAAAAAUUAUCAUUUUAAAUUAUGCCACAUAAGAUUUGACAUAUCAUUUAAAGGUUAAAUUAAUUAUUUUAAUAAUUGAAGGACCCUAUUGAUAUAUCAUCAAUAAUUUGGGAAGAUAAUUAGACGUUUUGAAAUUUAGGGGUCAAUUUAGAAUAAGUGCCAUAGUUUGGGGAUAUUUAGUGCAAUUAAUCUUAUAUUAAUUGAAUUUAUACUAUGUUUGGAUUAAAAAUACUAAAGGAAAAGAAAAGAGAGGAAAAUUAAGAAAAGUAAAUAAUUAGUCAGUAUAGUUAAAAUUAAUAAAAAUAAAUUUAGCAAUUUUUGUUUGGGUAAACUGUAAAAAGGAAAGAUUAAGUAUCAUUAUUUUUUUUACAAUUAUAAUAUUUUCAUAAAACUAUUUAUAAAAGGAAUAGAGAAAAAAAUAUUUUAUGUCUUAAAUUUUUGUUUUGGUUUAAUUCCUCUAACUUGCCCCCCAAAUUGGGACAGAUAAAAAAACUUAACACAGCAUUGAGUUUGUAACAAUAUUUUUUAUUUUCAUUUUCAGAAAAUAAAUUUAAAUUUUUUUAUUUUUAAAAAAAAUUAAAAAAUAUUUGAUAAAUAAAAAAUAAUUGUUUUCAAUAAUGAAAACUUAAAAACAUGUUUGGUAACUAUUUUCUUAUGAUAGAAACGUGGGGAAUAAAAUAAAAAAAUUACAUUUAUAUGGAUUUGAACGAUGGUACCGGAUUUAAUAUUUGAAAAUUUGUUAAAAGAAUAGAAUAUUUUUGAGUUUAUAUAUGCUUGAACCAAUACCAAUUCAUUUAAAGUUAAAAUUUUUUAUUUUUAUCAUUUUCACUUUUACAAAACAUUUUAAUUGAAAAUAAUUAAAUCAACUUUUUAUUGUAUUCUAAUUUUCACAUAUUUUUAUUUUUAAGAAAUCAGUUUUAAAAUUUCAACCAAACACAUUGUUUUCCAUGUUUUCCAUUUUACAGUAAAACAAAAAGAAAAUAUGAAAUGCAAACUAAACUUUCAAUAGAAAACGUAAUACUCAAUUUCUCUUGUUUAAAUUAUAGUCUUUCUGAAGAAAGAAAAGAAUGACGGUUUCCUUAUUUUCCUUUCCAAUCCAAGCAUACAUCAUAUUUUAUCAUAUACAUACACACACUAUAGCAAAGGUUUUUUUUUUUUUUUCUCUCUUUUAUAAUUAAUUUUGGUAACGUUCAAUUCUAGACUUCUUUGCUUCACAAGUGAUUACACCUCAUCAAAUUCAACAAUUUAAUUAUCUAACUCAAAAUUAAGUAUAUAUAUAAAAGAAAAUAUUUGAUAUAUUGUCAGUAAAAUUUUUAAACUCCACAAACAAAAUAAACAGUUGGCAAAUGUCUUAUAGGAAUAUAAUAAAUUAUUAAAUAUAUAUUUUAAAAAAGAGACGCAUAUCAAUUUUUUAAAAUUAUUUGUGAAAUAAAAAAAAAGUUAUGCUGCCAAUGUAUGAAAUCUUUUAAAUAUAUAUGUAUGAUUUACAUUAAUAAAGGCAAAAUUUAAGCAAUAAAAAUUGGCAUAUUUUCAAAACUUUGAUUUUAACUGAUAUUAUCAAGCCUAACUCAGGUUUUUGGUUACCACUUGAAGUUUAUAAUUAAGUAAUUUUUUUCUCUCAUUUUUAAUUCGUAAGUUUAGAUAAAUUUAGCAAUCUUUAAUUUACGUAAUAACAUUAUAUUUAAAUAUUGCCUAAUAUUCCGUUAUUGACUUGAAAUAAAAAUAAAAUAUUCCUAUAGUUUAGGUAAUACUUAUUCCCCAUAAUACAAUUGCGAUAUAAUGUAAUUUAAUUGUAUUUUCAAUUUAAUUUUUCUUAAAAGUACUUAGUCGAUUGAGUCUUAAUCAACAUUAUUGUUAGUAUAAGACGACAUGGGUUUAAGUGCAUUAAAACUUAUUUAUCCUUCUAUUUAAGGAUUGGAAAUGAAUUAUGUGUAGUUCUAAGCUUUGUAUAAUAUUUUUUUCUUAAAAACACUUGAAAUUUUUCAUAAACCCUAUAAAUACAUUAUUUUCUUCCACCAUACGUGGAGUUUAGAGUUUUGACACACAUUGGUAAGUACUUUCCCAAAUAAGAAUAUCUUUUUCCUAUUAAAUCUUGAAUCAAUUAAAUUAUUUUUUAUUAAAUCUUUCGGCAAAAAUAUUAUGGAGACCCUUAUAUUAAGAGUUAGAUUAUAUUUUGCCCCCUCUACUAAAAAGAUGGACAAAUUAGUCUCUGUAUGUUAGAUCAAAGUGCAAAUUAGUCAUUCUGUUUAAAGUUUCAUCCUUUUGUAAUGUUAAAAAUUAUUUUUUGUACGUCACCAUAAGGUACACGUGACAUCCUACUUGUAACUAUCUGAUUAUUUUAUUAGCCACGCCGAUUUUUAACUAUAACAACCUAAUUUUAGUUAGUGCCGAAAAUUUUGGUUUUGAAAUUGAAUUCCGUCAAAUAAGUUAGUUGGAAAUAUAGUUAAGAUAAUUAAGUGUUUAGUAAGAACUAAUAAUAUUAGUAUAUCAAGAGAUUAAAUUGAUUAAGCUAUUAAAAAUAAUGCAGAAGCUAAAUUGCAAAAUGACUAAAAUUAGUAAAAUUUAAUUGAAGAGAAUUUAAAGAAAUUUUUUUUAACAUUAAUCUCAUUAGGUUCGUAUCAUAUCUGCUCUUUUUGAUACAAUACCUAGAACUACCUAUAAUCCCUCCCCAGCCCUUAAAUAAGAGAAUAAUGUACUUCAGUGCACUUGAAUCUACGUCCUCUUGCACUUGUAAUAAUACUAAUGCCAAUCGAGUUAAGACUCAAUCGACAGAAUUAAAAGGCUUUAAUGUGCAAUUUUAAAUCAUAGAAAUGCUUUAGCAUGAUUAUAUCAUCACAGGCAACUAACCAUCAUUAAACCAUAUUGUUAACUAAUAAAUAAAAGUUUAAUUAAUGUUAAUUUAACUAAUAUAUAUAUAUAUAUAAUAUGAUAAGUGGGAGAGAGAAGAGGUGACCAUUAUCCUCAUCCUUUCACCACCGAAACCAAAGAAAGGAAAGAAAGAAAAAAUUUGAAAGUUUCCCAAGCUUUUGCCUAUUCAAAAUUCACAAGAAUGAGAUUUUUAUAAAAUUUUUAUGGAUUUUAUUUCAUGAGAGCUUGGUUUAUAUGACCCAACUCUUAGAUUUUUCAAUUACGAUGAUUUUUCAAAUUACUAUUAAUGGAUUUUAGAGAAUUUGAAGCUUGAUAAUGAUGGAUUUAUGAAUGAUAGGCUUGGUAUAUAUAUUAGGACAAUAUUUGAAGGUAGUAAAAAGUGUUAAAUUAAGUUAGAAUUUGAAGUAAGCUUGUUAGUUAAUUUUAUGACAUUAAGAAUUAAAUUGAAUAAAGUGAAAGCUGUUGGAAAUUUGGUUAUAAAUUGAAAGUACAAGGUCCUUAGUGAAUGGAUGUGAAGUCGGAUUUUGAUUCGAUUAGGAAAAUUGAGAGAUAUGAACAUUUUGGAUAUUAUGGUUUAAAAGGGGACUUAAUUGUAAAGAAUACAAAUAUGCUUGGUUGUUGGUAUGUUUUUUAUUAAAUGAGGAAUUAACGUUGAUUUUGUAUUCAAGUUUGUCGUAUGUAGUUAAUGAAGAGAUUGGGACAUCGAGGAUCAAAGGCGAAAAUGGGCAAUGAAUAUGAACUCAAUUUGUGCUCUCAUAGUUUGACUUUAACUUAUAUUUUAUUAAAUAGCUAAAUAUAAUCAAACAAGCAUCAAACAGAGAGUUGCAUUGCAACGAAGAACCCCUGGUGUAACAACGUUAACCCAAAAUUUUAGAACCCUUACAAUUUGGUCCUAUUUUGACCUCGAGUUAGUAAAAAAACUUUUGUAAGCUCGUAUAAGAAUUGGAAAUGAUUAUGUAUUAUUUAAUGCACUUGUUUUAGUUACAUUUGAAUGUUUAACAAUUUGAAAAUGAAUAUAAUUUGACCUUAGUUAUUUCUGCAAUAAAUGUGGCACCUUGUAACUCAGACGUGAUGAUCAGGUUGGGUAAUGGGGUGUUACAUAUCCGAUCAAGUAAAAUAAACACCUUGAAGGUGAAUUAAUAGAUAAGUAGCACGAAUGUUAUGUGAAUUGUAAUACUAAUAUAAAACUUAUUAACACAUGAUGUAAUGAUUCCCAACCUUGUCAUUUAUUUUGACUUCAUGUUACUUAUAUAUUGGUUUCAAACUAUGUUAGCACCGUUGAGUAUAAAUACUCAACGUAUGGUUAUGUUUGUUUUCUGUGCGCAGGCCUCAAACAAGUUUCUAUGAAAUCGAAGUUGAAAAGCAUCCAAGGUCACUAGCUCAGCUCAACUUAGCUUGUAUUAAGUUUGGGUUCCUUUUUGGAAGUAUGUAUUAAAUCAAGGACAUGUACCUAGGUUGGUCUUGGUUUGAUGCCUAAAGUAAUGAUUUGAUGUAUUUUGGUAACUUGGCCUAUAAUGUUUUGAAAGUUGAAUUUUAGGUCUUGAUUAAUAGAUAAUCGUGCAUGUUUAAAUGUUUUUGGUUAUACAAUUUGUUUGGUUGGAUGUUGAUGUAUUAGGUGUUAUAAAUUAGUGGUGUUUUAAUGUAUUUUCAUAUGUUAAGUUGAAGGGUUUGCAUUGUUGUAAUGUUUAAGUAUGUUUUAGGCUCAAUUGGGCAGAGUUUGAAUGAUUGAAAAUGUGCACCUUAGGCUAUUUUUCCAUUGAGUCUAGAGACAGAAAAAACAUUUCUUGAGACCAUUAGAUAAAAAAAAUUACCAUAUUGAGCAUUUGAUUGCUUAAUUUCUCGAGACUUGUCAAGCUAGUCUCGAGACAAUCUCAUCUAGGUCUCGAGACAAAGGGCACUUUAUCUCGAGAUAAAGAAACAUUGAAGCUAAAUUAAAAAAAUAGGGGAUGUUGGUAUUGAGACCUAGUCUCGAGACGUAAUAGACCUUGCCUCGAGAGACAACUUCUAAUGUCUCGAGACAUGUUAACAUCGAAGCUAAAAUUCUCUAAAAAUAAAAUAAUACUUGUCUCGAGACAUGAAGUUCCCUAUCUCGAGAUACAACACUAAAAUUUGAUCAUUGAGUUUGGAUUUGAGUCCUAACUCUAAAUUUGAUCUUGUAUAACUCUGUAAAAUGAUGAAUUUGAAUCUUAAACAUUAUGAAUGUAUAUUUGUGGACAUAAUUGGUAGUUAAGUGAAUUGAAUGAUAAUUCUGAACUAAAUUUAUGAAUAUGUAACAAAUUAGCCUGAGUUGCUUCGGCAACGGAAUGUGACAUCACACAUUCAACUCUGGCAACCAAGUCAGGUGUAGGGUGUUACAUUAAUAGUAGAAAUGGAUGCAAAUUUUAAUAGAAAAAACCAAUUUGUUCUUUGAUUUAACAUUGAUGGACUACUUUGCCUAAUUUUUUAGUAAAUGGAGGAAAAUACAAUUUGACUCUUAGUAUAGGAGCCUUCAUAGUACAAAGAUUUCCUUUCUCGUUCAUAUUUGCAUUACAUAUUUUCUUUUGCACAAUUUUGUCCUCUGUCUUGUUUAUUGCAUUUCUAACUGAAUUAGUUUCACGAGUUAAUUGGACAUUAGUUCAGUUGGAAAAUGAUUAAAACUUUCCUCCUUUCACAAAAUAAUAUAUAUAAUGUGUAGUCUGAGUUGGUGUCACGAGUUAAUUGAACAUUAACUCAGCUGAAAAAUGACUAAAAACUCUCUACUUUAACAAAAUAAUAAAUACUAUUUUAAUGGUAUUUUUAUAUUUUAUAUAAAAACUAUAUUAAUAAAUUUAAAUUAACAAAUUAUGUAAUUUGAACAUAAACCUUCAUAAUUUUCAAAUAACUUCACCAAUUCAAUCAAACUCUUAUUUGUUUUUAGUAUGAAAGUUUUAAUAAAUAUAUUUGUUAUACAAUUUUUUCACCCACAUUGUGAAUAAGUCAUAAUCUGUUUAUAUUUAAAAGGUUAAAUGUUGUUAUUAGUCUCUGUACUUUGCGAAAGUUAUGGAUUUAGUACUUGUACUUUUCAAACUUUAAAAUUUUAGUUCCCACCAAAUGAUAAAUGUUAAAUUCAUUAAGUUAAGUUAUUUCCAAAUUUUGAUGCGCCAAACAUAUCAUGUGUGUAAUGCCAUGCCAACUUGCUAUUUUGAUAUGUUAUUCACUAAAAGUUCAGUUAAUGGGCUAACGACUAUCAUUUGCAUCAAGACUAAAAUUUCAAAAUUCAUGAACUAAAAUGAUCCACAUUGGAAAAUAUGGAUGAAAUAUACAAUUGUACGUAUAGUACAGGACUGAUAAUUGAAUUUAAACAAACAGAUUUAACAACUACUGUUUGGGUUAAGAUUAAAAUUUUAAAAUUAAAAAAAGUAAAAGGACUAAAAUUGAUCAAUUCGAAAAAUACAAAUACUAAAAUUGAUCAAAUUAAAGUACAUAGACUAAUACUUUCCUUGAUCGUACGGCAUCCGUGUUGUGAGCAUAAUGAUAUGGGAUAGACAUCCACGUUGGUAUGGUUUAGAUAUUAUUACUUUCCUAAAUUGUAUCCGCCAAUUAACACGUAUUUAGUGUUUAAGGAUUAGGUUUAGGCAGUUGAGAGUACGAGCUUAGUCAAAUGCAUGAUGGGGCAAACAUGGCCUUGCGUAGGCUAUGGGACGCAUGCAGCGUGGGGGUUAGUGGUCUCAACGUGAAACCAUCUUAGCAAAGCAAGAAGACAGUUGGAAAAUUAAGGUCUUUGCAGGAAAAAGCUUUCCUUGCUUGCUAGCUAGCUUCAAUGAAGUUUGAGAAUUACACGGUAUUAGCAACAUUAAAUGCAAAUAAGGGAAAUGUCCUUAACUAAUGGUUUUAGGUAAUGAGUAGGGUUAUAACUCACAAAUGGUCUUUUACAUCUAAUUUUCUAAUGGCUUAAUAUAUCAUUUCGUACUAUAGUUUGAUACUUUUUUUUAGUGUAGUACCUGUGUUAUUUUUUUGGUUUAAUCUGGUACUUGUAUUUGAUAAAGUUGUACAUUUUGGUACCCAAAGGAUAUGUGUUGACUUCUUAGUGUUUAAUUCGAGUUUUAGGGCUGAUUUGAUAAAAAUUAAUUACAAAUAUUAUUAGGAUUGAGUUUUUCAUGAUUUUGUUAAUAGAAUAAAUUUAGUUUUAAUUGUAAAUUUGUUUAAUUUUUCAUUUCAUUUGUCAAAUAGUCUGAUCAUGGAUGUGAUUUAAUUUAGGUUUUAGGGUUGAUUUGAUGAAAGUUAUCUGCUAAUAUUAUCAAAUCAACUUUAAAAUUCGAAUUAAACACCAAAAAGUUAAUAUUGUUACUUUCAGGUACCAAAAUAUAUAGCUUUUGUCAAAUAUAUGUACCACAUUGGACAAAAAAAUAACACAUGUACCGCAUUAGAAAAAAGUGUCAAACAUAAGUACCAAAUCUAUACUAGUAUUUAAACUCCUAAAAAAUGUUGGUGUUACAAGUCAAUCGGGCACUAACUCGAGAAAAUUACAGGAACGCACAUCCAUAAUUAAAAUAAAGAAUAUUUUUUGAGUGUAUUUUAGUCUUUUCACUUUAAAAAUCAAUAAAAAGCAAGGAUAUGAUAGGAUUCAAACCCAUGCCAAGUGCAUUAAUAAAAUAUUUAAUUUACCACUCAACUAAAGCUUCAUUUUAAUAUUUUUAUACAUUUUAGUUUUAUUAUGCACAUUCUAUUAUCUCCAUUAAAUGUAUAUUUAUAUCUAUCUAUACUAUUGUUUAAAAUCUUGACUGAGUUGGUGUCGCAAGUCAACCGAGCACGAACUAAUUGGUUAGGAAAUUAUGGGAAUGCACAUCCUUAAUUAAAAUAAGUAAUAUUAUUCAGGGUAUUUUAGUCUUUUUAAUUUAAAAAAUGAAUAAAAAUAUGUAUAUGGUGAGAUUUGAAUCUACACCAAUUGCAUUAUAAAACCUUUAAUUUACCACUCAACUAAACAUUAAUUUUAAUAUUUUUAUAAAUUUUAAUUUUAUUAUGCACAUUUUAUUACCUCCACUAAUUAUAUAUCUAUACUUGUAUAUUAUUUAUACUAUUAUUUCAGCUCCUGCUGAGUUGAUGUCACCCUCAACCGGGUCACCAACUCAAUUAGGAAGUUAUGGGAAUGCACUUUCGUAAUUAAAAUAAAUAAUAUUAUUCGAGUGUAUUUUAGUCUUUUCACUUAAAAAACCAAUAAAAAUAUACAUAUGGUAAAAUUUGAACCCACACCAAUUGCAUUAAUAAAACAUUUAAUUUACCGUGCAACUAAAGUUUAUAUAUAUUUUUAUACAUUUUAAUUUUAUUAUGCACACUUUAUUACCUUCAUCAGUUGUAUAUCUAUACUAUUAUUUAAAUUCCUGAUAAGUCAGUGCCACCAUCAACCGGAUCACCAACUCGGUUAGGAAGUUACAAGAAUACCUUUCCAUAACUAAAAUAAGUAAUAUUAUUUGAGGAUAUUUUAGUCUUUUCACUUUUAAAAAACCAAUGAAAAUAUGCAUAUGAUAGGAUUUGAACCCAUACUAAUUGCAUUAAUCAAAUAUUUAAUUUACUAUUUACUAUUCAGCUAAAGCUCUUUAAAAAAUAUAUUUUUAUACAUUUUGAUUUUAUUAUGCAUACUUUAUUACCUUCAUCAGUUGUAUAUAUUAAUAAUGUAUUUGAUUGAGUUGAUGUCAAAAUUUAACUCGACACCGACUCAAGAUUGAUGACAACACCAUGAUAAACAAUUUAAUCUAUUUUUUUGUUUUAAUAAAUAUAACACCCCAAAACCUAGCCUAGAAGUUAGACCGAAUUCCCGGAGUUACAUUGGCCAACCAAAAUGGUGGAGAUAAAAUUCAUUUAUAACCAUAGAAAAUUCUUCGCUAAACCUUUAUGCUUCGUAAUUUUAGUAGAUUAAAUGAUAUGUAGUUGUUUUUGGAAACAACAUAUAACAGACGUUUAAGAACCGUUAGGAAUAAAUCAAAUCAGUGUUUUUGAACAAUUUCAAAGUAACUUAAAAAUCCCCGUACCACAGUACACAUAGACUUAUGUGAAAAAACAAAGGUGCAUAAUUUGAAUAGUUUAUCAUAACAUUAUUUGAAAUCAACCGAUCAAAGAACUCUGAAACCUCCGCUAUCCCGAGUCUAGCUCCAAAACACAGAAUGUACUUGAAAGGAAAAACACUACAGAGAUGAGCUACGCAAGCUUAAUGUGAGUACGAAACAUAAACAGAUGGUAAAAGACGGGGUGACAUAGUAAAUACUUCAAACAAGCAUAUGUAUAAAUAUAUCACUUAUGAAAAUCUCAAUCGGUAUGUCGAAUACAAUAUCAAACUACUAAAAUGAUGUUCCAAUCAUAUGCAAUAAUCAGAACAUAUUACAUGACAUUAGCUAUAUUGUCAAUAACCAAAUGUUCACACAAAUAGACAAAAUGUUCUGAUAAACAGACGUAUGUUCAGAUGCAAACGGAUGCAUAAGUCAAAAAUCCCACCCCACUAACCAAACACCACUUCGUCCAUCCAGCACACCACAUAAGGGCUAUGGUAGGUCUAUCUACCCUGCACACCACAUAGAACCAUAAUAGGUUCAUCCACCCUACACACCACAACGUAGAACUAUGCCACUUGAGUAACUGUAUACAGUUGAGCUGAUAUACGUAUAGGAUAGUGCGGUAAACCGCUGUACAAAAGUAUCGCAGUUAAAACUGUUAAGUCUAUCUUUCUUCUCUUCAUAGCCAGAUCCCAAAAUUUUCAUGCUAUGCAACAAUGCACACAUUGCACAGACAACAUAUAGAAACGAACAUUAACAUUUCUAGCUGAACAAAUUUAGAUUUGAUUACACUUGUAUUCGAAUGUUCAGUUACGACAAAAAUAAAAAAACUCAUACUUAUUCAUCACAUAAACAAGCAAUAAAAUUAAAGCCCAUAAAUGUACAUAUAUACACGAACUAAACUACAUCAAGUCCCAAACACACUUACCGAGGCUUGACCGAGGGUCGAAUUACACAGAAAUAUAAAACAGACAGUUUAUGACUCAAAACAAAAAUUCUAUAAAAUAGGGACAUAUGGCCGUGUGGAGGCCUACAUGCCCAUGUAGAGGAGACACAUGCUCGUGUGACCAAGUUACAUGGCUAUGUGAGUAGCCCAUGUAACACAUUGUCCAAAAGUGCCAAAAAAAAAGAGUAGAGGAGACGUGUGAAGAUCUCACACACCCGUGUGGCCAGGCCGUGUGGUACCAAAAAUUAUUGAAAACCCUAAAUUCCCAAUUGCACACAGUUGUGUACGGCACACGCCCAUGUGGCUGCUCGUGUGAUCACGAAACAUCACCGAAAUAGGCUGUAAAUUAUACUUUUGAUGUCUAAACGAUCCCCAACCCUUGGUAACCUAGAAUUAUGCCAAACAUACAGAAUUUCAUGCAAUUUAGUAACAAUAUGAUACUUCAAAUAACCAAUUUCAGAAACACAUAAGACAUUACCAAAUUCCACCGCAAUUCGAUACUGAAGUUAAACCGUUUCAGAACACACACCUUAGAACACGAUAUCAAGCACCAAGGACCAAUCGAUUCGCUCUCACCAAACUGUUCAAAAACUCGCUUCACCUUCGAUAAAAUGAAACACAUGAGGACAAUCAGUCUUGAUAGAAAACACGUAACAUGAGUGUAAAAUGGAAGAAACAAGAAAUCAAAAGAACUGAAAUUUGGUGAAAGAACCGAAAAAUAACAAAGGGAACAACAAAAAAAUAGGGAAAAGGAAAUGGAAAAGAAGGUGAAACUGAAAAACCUCCUCUUUCAAAUUUUAAAAGUAAAUCUUUAAAAAUUAAAAAGCAAAACCAAAAUAAAUUAAUUCCUCAAAACACACAUGAGGACUCAAACCCAAAACCCAAAGGUAAACUAACACACUCACCACCACCGAACCAGCUCAUUCUGACAUUAAAAUGUGAAAAUCCACUCAAUUGCUCGUCUUAUUCAAUCACCCUAACCACAACCUUAAAAAUGAAACCCAAAUUUUAGGUUAUUACAAUAACGUUCAUAUUUCAUGUAUUAUUAUUAAUUAGUUUUAACCAUACAUUUCAUUAUUUUUGUAUAUGAUUUUAAAAUAGACAUUUGUGUUCUAAAUUUGUGGUUUCCACUUGUAUACGUUUGUAAUAGAAUUUCUAGUUAUUAUUAUUUAAGUGUUUUACUGAGUUGGUAAAUUAUAGAAAUGGCCUUUCGUAAUUAAAAUAAGUUAUAUUAUUCGAUGGUAUUUUAGUCUUUUCAUUUUAACAAAAACCAAUAAUAUAUAUAGUGAGAUCUGAACCCCCACCAAUUGGAUUAAAAAACUAUUAAAUUUAUCACUUAACCAAAUGUUCAUUUUAAUAUUCUUCAUAUAAUUUUAUUUUAAUAUGCCCAAUUUGUUAUAUCCAUCAGUUGUAUACAUUAAUAAUGUUGUUAAUUGAGUUUGUGUCAUAAGUUAACUUCACACUAACUCACAAUAGAUAACAACACUCUACUUAAACAUAUAUGCAAUUGAGGAUACUCAAACAAUCUUAAACCGAAGCUUCUAGUGCUAACUGACUUAGCUAAACUAUCUACAAUUAAGUUCUCUUCUUUAGGUAAAUUUUAAAUCUUCCACUGCUUAAACAUAUUCAAGACUUGAAUUAUUCUCCUGAUUAGGGUAGAAUUAGAGUUUCUGGAAGAGUCAUUUUGACUAAUAUUAACGGCAUCAAUACUGUUAGUUUGGAUUGAGACUCUAUCGAAUCAUCUUUCCAGAAGAAGGUUUAACACAUCCAAGAUCCCCCAAAGUUUAGCCUCCUUCUUUGUGCAAUUACCUAAAUAUCGACAGAACCCAAUGAUCCACCCACCAUUAUGGUCACAUAUGUAACCACCAGCUGCUGCAAAACCUUCGUCAAGCCUAACCAAACCAUCUGUUCUCAAACAAACCUAACUAUUAGCUAAAGGUGAAGAGUGGAGAUAAUUGUGAAGCUUAUGAAAUGCAAUUUUGGAGAUAAAAAUGUAUUGCUUUGCCCAACUGAACGAAAAUUUAAGAAUCUCAUCAUUACUCAAAGAAAUUCCUUGAAAGGUAAGCAAGCUCCGAUUCUUCUAAAUAUGCCAAGAAUCGAUCCCAAAAAGGCAUGUCCAAUCCAUCCCAUCCAAAAAAAUGUUGAGAUAAUUAUGAUGGUUUUCUGUCAUCCAAAUAGGGAGGGAACUAUUGUAAAACCUUGAGAGUCUGUCAUUUGGAAUAAGUUUAUCCCAAAUAGUUUUUACAGCAAGGCAAUCUCUGAGUACAUGCAAUACAUCCUUAUAAUCCUGCCCACAAAACCCGCAAGCGCUGCUACUCCCAAUGCCUUGCCUCACCCUUUCAGCAUUCGUAAGUAUGCGUUGCUUAAGGGUGAGCCAUAAAAAGAAACAGAUCCAUUGAGGGCCUUUAAAUUUCCAAGGUAUCUCCAAUAGGUGUUCUUUCAAAUUCAAUAUAACUUUUCGAAUCUUCCCAUAUGCACUUUUAAGAGAAAAAGAACCAGUCAAAGUAGCUCCCCAAGUUAUUUUAUCAGGACCCAAAGAGGGGUGCGGUGGUGGAACACCUGUAAUUUUGUUAAUGAUCUCUUCUGAGACCCACAAUCUGAAAAGGUCCAAAUUCCAUGAUCUAUCACCUGCAGCCAUACUACUAAGAGGACAAUCCAUAUUAGGUUAGAAAGAGAUGGAAUCUGUAUAAAUAAGGGACCACUAUUUGGAACCCAAGGGUCGUGCCAACAUUGGUUACUAUUUCCAUCUCCAAUAGACCAUAAAAGGUUUUCGCUAAUGAAGGGUCAUACCUUAGAAAUGGAUCUCCAUAAAAAGGAGCAGCUUCGCCGUGCUAAACACUAUAUAAGGGCUCAACAUCAAUAUUAGGGUUCUUAAAACAUUGUUCACCUAUCUCAAGAACAUUGACAAUUGUUUCCUCUUUACCAUUCUUACCCUAACCAUCACCCAAGGUUAGAUUGAGUGAUUGAGACAAGGACACAAAAUCUUAUACUUGGCUUGUGCCAAAAGUAGUGCCAAUAAGUGAUGGCAUUGAUUCUUCAAUAAAGGUUUCAUGAGAUUGAGAAAGCUCCCUUGCUUGCUAAUCUUGCCGAGCUUUUUCUCAUAGUCAAAUUAAUAAGUGAUCUUAAUGUGUGCUAUUGAUAAGAAUCAAGAAUUUCAAUAAUCAAGAGACACUUGAAAGCAAAGGCGACUACGAAUAAGGAAGCUUUGAGAGACCAUGUUACUAUUAAAUUGGCGAGGAGAGUUUGUGAUAAGUUAUAACACAACCAAGGUAUUUAUAGGGUCAUGUUUCCUUAUACCCUUUCCUCUAAUAAAUUUCCCUCCAAGAAAGGAAAUUUGAUCAUCAAAGAUAUACUUUCCCUCCAUAAAUAAUGAUUGCAUGCAUGACUAUACCAACUAUAGAGCUUGAUCUCUGAAUUGCAAAACGACACCUAUAAUCGUCAUUCGGAUGCUUCCCAGAACAACUGCCAAAUGUUAGACUCAACACACCCAACUAAGUUCCUUAGCGCUUCGAACCUUGCUGCAUUAAGAGCCUUAGUAAGAGAUCAACAAGUUGAUUUUUAGUCUUCACAUACUACAAUUCGAUUAUACCAUUUUUCACAAGUUCACGAAUGAAGUUGUGUUGAAAAUCAAUGUGCUUAGUUAUAUAAUGCAUCAUAGGAUUUUUUGAUAUGUUAAUUGCACUUAAGUUGUCACAGUAGUCAGUGGCCUUUGGUAGUGCCAUUCCAUAGUCUGUCAUCAUUUGUUUCAUCCAAAGCAACUGUGCACAACAACUUCCAACUGCAAUAUAUUUUGCCUCAACUGUUGGCAAGAAUAUGGAAGAUUGCUUCUUAUUAUACCAAGAUACAAGAUUAGAUUGGUAAAAUAGCCUCCAGAUGUGCUCUUUCGAUUAGCUACAUUGCUUGCCUAAUCUGCAUCACUAUACCUAACCAAGAUCAUUGCACUAUCUUUCGACAUUCAUAUGACAAAAUCAAGUGUAUCAAGAACAUACAUGAUGAUGUGUUUUACAUCCUUUACACGUGCCUCUUUGGGGAUACCACAAACACCCACACUGAAGCUUAAAUGAGGCUUGCUUAUAGUCAGGUACAAUAAACUUCCUAUCAUACUCUAGAAAUAGUGGCACCCCUUUUACAUCUGUUAAUUUUCUUGCUUGGUGACAUAGGGGUCCGUGUUGGCUUAGCUAUUUCUAAUCCAAACUUCUUAAUUGAGUUCCUUGCAUACUUCCUAUAAUUUUUAUAGGUUAUAUUAAAACUAAAGAUUAAUUAGAAAAUAUAUUUACAAAAGCUUUGAAUGAAACUCGAGUUAAUCACAUUUAUGAUAAAGUGGGCAUGAUUAAUAUCUAUACCCUAAUACAGUGAAUAUGAGCUUCACAUACAUACUAAUACAUACCUCACACAACCGCAUUCACUUAUAAAGGAAAAAAAUAGAGAAAAAAAAGCAGAAAUAGACAUCGAAUGAUCCCCAUUCAUUAUUUACGUAAUUCCCUACUGACAAUACUAUUUACAGUUAACCAUGUUUGAGAGCUUCCUUAACAAAUCUGUCAAAAUCAAUGUAAGAUAAUCCCCCAACUUCAACAGCUUCUUCGGCUUUCUUCUUCCAUUCCAAUGCCUUCUCUUUCUUUUUCUUUCCUUCCUCACCUUCCAUCAUUUCUUUAACUAAAAACUCUAUGUUUUCUCGCUUUACAUCAUGAUCCACCUCCAUGCUAAUGCCCCAAUGAGUACAAGCAUAUCGAUCAUUGGUUUGUUGAUCAGCAAAAAAUGGCCAACAAAUUACUGGCACGCCUCCUGAUAUGGUUUCCAUGGUAGAAUUCUACCCACAAUGCGUCAAAAAAACACCAACUGAAGGAUGUGAAAGAACCUGAUAUUGGUUGCACCAGCUUGUUAUCAACCCUCUAUCUUUAUCUCCUCGAGGAACUCUUCAUCCAGAAUUGCAGAAUCACCCAUCACGAUAUCUGGUCUAAGGAUCCAUAAAAAUGGUGCUUAGAGUUAGCCAAUCCCCAUGAAAAUUCCUUGAGAUGCUUCUCCGAUAUGACAGUAAUGCUUCCAUAGUUUACAUACGCAACUGAAUUGGGUUCCCUUUUGUUAAGCCAUUCAAUGCAGCUUGUAUCUUCUUUCCAUAGGCUUGAGUUCAUUGACUUGGACGGGUCAUCAUGUAUGUGCCUAGCAAGCAAAUGAAGUGGUCCUAAUGUAUAAACUCCAGGGAAUUUGGCAGCGAUUGCUUUUAACACUUCAUGUUCCAACUCUUCAAAUGUGUUGAAGAUGAUUGCUGGAGCAUUUAGGCAAUUUGUGCUUCGGAGCUCAAGAAAUCAAACAUGAUAUCAUUUGGAUUGUUGGCUCCUAUAAAGCUGGGGAGAUCUCUGAAGUGAAUGUUACUCAUUCCAGGGACCUAAUCGAUAGGUUUAUCAAGAGUUCCAUCACUGAGAAAAGUUUCAUCUGACAUAUACAGAAAAGAAGGGUCAAAAUUUUAGUUAUUUUUAGACCAUGUCAAUAAGGACCUACCCUACAAGAGGUGUUAAACAUGCCAAUACUUUGAACACUAUUAGUGUUUUGAUGGUGAGGGGUACUAUUAGAAGGUUGAGGGAGUAAAGUGAAAGCUGAGCCAACAACAUUGGCAUAUUUAAUUUUAGUAGGAUGUUUUUGUAUGUUUUGGCUAAAGAUUUAUUGAAAUCUUAUUUUGACAAUAUAUCAAAAAAAAGAGAGAGAAAAAAUAAUAGAAAAUAAACAUAAUAUGUAGAGCAUAUAUUAUGUAGAUAAUUAAAUUUGUAUAUUGAAAAUGAAAUUAAAAAAAAACUUUCAAAUAAUCAAUUGAAGUACUAGAGAAAAUGAAUUGAAGUAGAAUGUGUUAGAAACAAUAAAUUUUAUUUUAUUUUAAUAGAUUAAUACCCAAACCAAAAUAAAUUUAGACUAAUUUUGUCUAAAUCUUUUUUUGACAUUUUCAUAUACAUGAAAAAAUAUCUUUCCCACUAAAUCACAUUGUCAUAUUUAUGAGAAAGUAAUUCUCUAACACAAAAUUAAAUUCCAAAGAAGGUAAAUAAAUUUUGAAAAACCAAGAAUUAGAAUAAAAUUUCAAGUGAUUAAAAUCUGAAGAAAGUACUCACUAUCCAUCGUACCAAAUUCUACUUAGGUGUACUUGGUAAAGAAGAUGAAAAAAUUGAAAGAAAAAAAAUCCAUUGCUUAGGUAGAGUUGAAAAAUGAGAAAGAAGAAAAUAUUUUUUUUUUGAAAAACACAAUUUUGAAGUAAUAUAUAUAUUUCAUUUUCUCUCCUCUUACCAUUUCAACUUGGAAUUAUUUGUUUUUAUGCAUUUGUUUUUAUUUCUUUGUUUGGUAGAGUUGAAAAAGGAAAGAAGAAAAUAAAACAUUUGAAAAAUGUAUAAUUUUGAAUUAAUAUACGAGGAAGGAUCCUAUGGAACUGUGAUUCCAUGCCAUCCCUAUCUUUUUUAAAUAAGAGAAUGACAAAUUAGAUUUUUCCUUAUGAUAUUUAGCAUUUUUAGUUUGAUUUGAAUUUUUAAGGAGAAAAAAAGCUAAUUUGUCAUUCUCCUAUUGGAAUCCCUUCUCUUAAUAUACAUCUCUUUCAUUCUCAUUUUCUCUUCUCUCAUCAUUAUUAUUUGAAAUGAUUGAUUUUUAUAUAUUAUAAUAUAAAGUGACCUUUUUCUAAUUUCUUUCCUACUAAGCAUUCUCAACUUUUAUUUUCUUUUCCAUUUUUUCACUUCCUACUUUCACCCCUUUAUAUUCUCACUCAAGCACACUCUAAGUUCUAAGGAGAGAGGAUUCCAAGCAUGGUUGAUUGAUCGAGACUGGAAAAAAGUACUUACUUUGGAAUGGAAAAAUGCCUCAUUUAAGCAGUUCACUGAAUUGAAUAUAUCCCAUGAAACUACAAGCUGAGGCAGUCCAAAACUAAACUUUUGGUAUACCAAGUAAUUCAACAACCUUAAUAGCAAAGCUCAUAACUCCAUCUGAAAUUAUGCAAGUAACAGUGGGCACAUGGGGUGAGGAGUUUAACUUAGCUAGUAGCUCUAAAAAUGGUGCCAAGCAAUUCCUUCGUACUGGAUCAUUUAGAACUGAAACAUCCUGUGUUGCAUCACGAUCGGACGGUGGUAGCUUGUUUGGGAUUGUUUCAAACUGAAAAUUAGGCAGACCCAUGACUGUAACACCCCAAACCCGGCCUAGAUGUUAUGACCACAUUCAGAGAUGUCUCAAAGAAGGGUUUUUGAAAAAUGAGUUGUUUCGAUAAAUCAUUCAAGUUUUGCAACUCUUAUUUGUUUAUAACCAUUAUCGAAAGCAUUGUUUAAUUAAUUUGUUUGCCAAAACAUAAAUUAUAGCGAAAGUCACGAAAACGUUAUAUUUGGAAAUCCCGAUCGUAUUUUUCAGAAAACUUUUAUUUUAGUAAAAAUGAUGUUUUUAGCAAAUCGUCUCAAAUAAAGUGUUAAAUCAAAAAUUCCAAACCUUAAAAUUAAACCAAACCGUCCAAAGAGUCUAAUUAUUACAGAACUCCCAGAAAUAAACUUUAAAUUAAAUAAAAAUCAAAAUCUUAAACAGUUACGAACUCGUGGUCACGGUGAGGCUCCAUCACACCGAUCCGCUUAAGUUCGUGGAUUACCUGAACAGAACAGACAAAUAGAUUUGAGUUUUCAUAAACUCAGUGUGUAACCCAAAAAAAAUAGACAUGCCAUUCAUAUAAAUAUCACAUACACAGUCAAAUUCAGAUUCAGAUUCAAAUUUGGACUUAAGUCCUUUUCAGAUACAGAUAACAUAAUCAAAUAUGCAGAAUAGAUAUACAGAAUCCUAGCCACAUCCUCUACACACCAACUCUGACCAUCCCAUCACACCUUGUGGGGUUAAAAAAACAUUCACUCAUCUCUACACACCAUAUCGUGUCAUGACAACACAUAUCAGAUAAUAUGCAACCAAGCUGCCAUAAUAUAGGUGAAGGUUGCCAUACAGAUCACUUCCUCUACAUAAUCAAUUCCCACCCCAAACGUAUAUACAGAAUACAAAUACAUAAAUAUCAUGCUUGCAUGCUAAUAUACAAAUAACAUAUAAAUAUAUACAUAACAUAUUAGUUAGGCAUGCAUAACAGUGUCCUACUCAAAGCAGACUAUCGGAAUAUCAAAUCACGUAAUUUAGGGUUUGAUUAGCCCUUAUUGACCCUACGGUAGGCCCACAGUUAAUUGGAGCGACCCGUGCGAACCUAGGGAAAAUUUUAGAAAUAUAGGCCCAUAUGCCUGUGUGUCCCACACAUCUAGAUUAACCUUGUCCUUAUAGCCCACAUGGCUUGGCUCAAGACUUACACGCCCGUGUGGGCCACACACCUAACUUGGCCUUGCCCGUGUGGCCCACAUGGCCACACUCACACCACCACAGGGCCGUCUCUUGCGCACGACCAUGCCCUUGUCAAACACACCAGCACCUAACUUACCAUCGCAAAAAUGGCUACAUGUAGUAAGCUAAACCGUUGGAGUGACAACCACUGCCUCAUUGCCUUCUCCUACACAACAGAAUUAAUUGAUUACUCACCAUUUAUUGACUAUUAUAACAUUGCCCACAAUUCCAAAAGUCAAUCGUUAACAAAAAACAAAACUUCACUUACCAAGCCGAUUAACGAACCCAAAAAAAAUCACAGUAGCAACAAUUAAAUGAGAAAAACAACAGUAAUCAGAAGAAGGAAACAAAAAAUUGAAAGUGGAGGACAAGGAAGGAGAGAAAAAAACGUUAGGAAAGGAAGUUUUGGGAAAAAGAAAACAAAAAUUAAAAAAAAUUAGAAAUCUGAUAACCUCUUUAAUUUUUCUCCUACUAACCCACUAACUCACAACCACCUCAGAAUUGUAGCUCUACCAAAACUCUAUCAGUCAACCGAACAAAAAUUAACACCCUCACUCACGCAAGGAUUCAAAUACAUGACCUCUAACACAAUAACCCUUUACCACUUGAACCAGCAGACUCAUUCUAAUAUGGGUUAACAGACAACUUAUAUAAGCCCAUUCAACAAUGAUAAGGCUAGGAUUAGAAAAUUCACAAAAUUUGCAAAUGUGGGACUUGAACCCAAAACCUCAUACACACACCCAAAACACUUAACCACUAAAUUAAAUACACACUUGUGUCAUGUAUUUACAGAAACAAAAAUAAAUUAAGUGGGGCGUUACAGCUCUACCCCUAAAAGAAAUUUUGACCUCGAAAUUUACCUAAUCCGGAUAGAUGAAGAUACUGCUGACGCAUCAAGUCCUUAGGUUUCCACGUGGCUUCCUCAGUGCCAUGAUUCCGCCACAAAACCUUUACUAAUGGAAUAGACUUUCUCCUCAGAUCCUUUACAGCACACUCUAAAAUCUACACUGGUUCCUCCUCAAAAGUCAAAUCCGGUCUAACCUUGAUCUCCUCAACAGAGACAAUGUGAGGUGGAUCAGACAGAUACUGCCUCAACAUUAAGACAUGAAACACAUAAUGGAUACGGUCCAACUCUGGAGGUAGCUUCAACUGAUAAGCGACCGGUUCCACAUGCUUCAAAAUUCGAUAAGGCCCAAUGAACCUAGGGCUCAACUUUCCCUUACGAUUGAACCUCAGAACUUUCUUCCACGGUGAAACCUUAAGAAAAAUGAAGUCACCCAUAGAGUACUCAAUAUAUCUCCUCUUUAGAUCUGCAUAGACUUCUUACUAUCAGAAGCUGCCUUUAGAUAAUCCCGAAUCAGUCUAACCUUAUUUUCGGUCUUAGAAACCAACUUAGGACCCAAAAUCUGUCGCUCACCCAACUCAGUCCAACAUAGCAUAGUACGACAGUUACGACCAUACGAAGCCUCGUAAGGUGCUAUCUGGAUGCUAGACUGGAAACUGUUAUUGUAGGCGAACUCAGCUAACGGCAGAAAAUCCUCCCAACUACCUCAAAAAUUUAUCACAAACCUCUGAAGCAUAUCCUUCAAUAUCUAAAUCACCCUCUCAGAUUGACCAUAGUACUGAAGUCUAAUAUCGAACCCAGAGUCUCAUGUAGUUUCUUCCAAAACUGAGAAGUGAAGCGAUAAUCUUUAUAAAAAAUUAUCGAAACAGGUACCCUGUAAUAGGCCAAUUUUGGCCUGGCCCAAUAUUAACCAAAUUAAAAAAACCAAUAAAAAUAAUAAAAUAACCGUCUAUUUAUAAAGUCCAAUAACAUGUCCAAAUUACAAAAGCCCAAAAUAAUAAAAACCAAUACAAUCCUAGACCCAACUAAAGCCCAGUUUGCAGCCCGCAACACUAAAAAACAAACAGAAACCCUAGCCUUCAACCUUCAGCCGCCGCUCCUGCCCUUCGCGUGCACCAGCCUCUUGCCUCAGCCGCACGUGCGCCUUCACUCCGGCUGGCCUCGCACCUGCAACAAACAAGCAGAAAAGAGCACACUGGAAAGCUAAUUUUUGUAUUUUCAUUCGGAUAUAUAAAGCUAAUUUUUGCAUCUGUAAAUGGAUUCACGAAUUAAUAGAAAAAUAUUUAAUAUCACAAGCAGAGAUCUUAUAAUACAAAAAAGAUAGAUUUAAGGUAGAUAUUUGGUUUUUUUUCUCUUCUUCUUUGUUUCGAUUCAUUUAAAAAAAUAUAUAGUAAGAAUUAAGAAAAAGAAAAGGGAAGCCUUACCUUGCAACGCCUUCAGAACCAUGCGAAAAGGAGCUAAAAAGCCCUUUAUGGUGCAGCUCCAACCACCGUUCACGGUGGAAUCGCGACGGAGGCAUGGAGGAUUAGCCUCAGUUUAGGAAACCCUAGCAGAGGAAAAAAAUAAGGUUGAUAGUUUUUCUUUAAAUAAAUGGCAUAAAGUGAUUUAAUUUUUUUUAUUUUAUAAUAGGUACGAAACGGUGUCAUUUAGGGCCUAUUUCAGUAGCCUCAAAACGGCGCCAUAUAAGGCAUGACUCACGCGGUGACCAGACCCACAGGGAGGAUCCGCGUGCUUUUGAUUAAGGGGCAAUUUGCGCAUCUGGCCCCUCCGCAUUUUUAAUUAUUUUAAUUUAGUUUUUUUUUAUUUUCUUUAAUUGAUACUUUAAAUUUUAUUUGGUUUCUGAUUUGGUCCUGGUGAAACGGCGCGUCUUAAAGGGUGGGGAUAUUUCCCCAUUCGGUCCAUUUGAGUUAUUCGCGCCUUUCAAUUGGGUCUUUUAUUUUAUUUAUGUUUUUUCCCUCUAAUUUUGUUUUAAAUCCAAUUUAAUCCUUAUUAGUUUAGUUUAAUGUUUUUAAUUUAUUUAAAUGUAUAUUCUUUCAUUUAUUUAAAUAUAUUUAAUUUUAAAUCUAAUUUAAUGAUUAAGCUCAAUUAUUAUUUUAAAUUUAUUAUUAACAUUGUUUAAAUUUAUCAUAUAUUAUUACUUUAAUUUCCAUCUAUUAUUUUAUAUAUUCUUUUAUGUAAUUUUCAAUAUAAUUUUUAUUUUUUAAUGGUUUUAUUUUAUAAUACAUUUUUUAAGAUUCACUUAUAUAUAUAUUUCUUUGCUUUAAAGAUUUAUACGAUAAUAUUCUUACAUAAUAUAAUUUUAUACAUAUAUACAUAAUUUAUAUUAAACUAUUUUUAUUAUACAUAUAUACAUACAUAAUAUAUUAUUGAUUUCAUAUUAUUAUUAUUUUUACCUAUUUUCAUAUAUAUAAUUUAUUUCUUUUAAAGACCCUAUUUUAUUAUAUUUUACUUAUUUCAACUUUUUGCAUAUAUUAUUAUAUAUAUUAUUAUCUAUUUUGAGUUUUUCAUUCCAUAUAUAUUACUUAUUUAGAUUAAUAUAUAUACUACUUUGUAUAUUAUUUAUUUUUGAUUUUCUUCUUAUUUAAUAUUCACUUUAAAAUUCGUUUAUAUAUUACUAUUACAUAUAGUAUUUAUUUUUAACUCUAUUUUUGAUUUAUUUCAAACUUUCGUAUAUAUCAUUUAUUUUAAAAUUUUUGUACAUAUACUUUAUUGAUUUAUAAUUUCCCUUCUUUCAUGCCAUUCGUUUCUUUAGUUUUUUUAAAACUUGUACAUUUUGUUUGUGUUUGUGUUUGUGUUAACUUGUGUGGUGUCUUUCUUUUAAUUAGUUUUUUUUAACUAGCUUUUAAAUAUUAAUGCUAGUAUUUACAUAAUUAUAUUAUGUGAGAUUAUUGCUAUUAUGUGUAUUAUAUUACUUAUUUAUAUUUAUUGAUUAUUUGUCGUUCAUUAGACUACUUUUUGGUUUAAAAAUUAUCACUCCGCGUUGUACAUUAUCAUUCUAUCGCAUUCUAUUCGCUUAAAAGGUUAUGUUUAAUAUCAUUUAAGUAUCGAAAUCAUUUUAUUCAAAAGCUUUCAAGAUAACGCAAUACUCGAUAUUUGAGAUCUUCGAGAAGAUUGAGCCCUAACUUAUUGGGUUUCAAUUUUCCUCGUUGAAUCUAAGUAAUCGAGUAUCUUUUUUAAUCAAAACAUAUAAAUAAAAAGCUUAUUCUCGGGAAUUCGAUACGUGGUGUCCUAACUCAUUGGAUAUGACAUGUUGUUCUCUUGAGAUGAGGAUUUUUUUUAAAAAUAAAAAAUAAAAACAAUAUUCUAUGUUUGGAAUUUUAAGAAAUUGUGCCCUAACUUACUGAGCUUCGAUUUUCAGCUGACUUAAACAAUUGAAUAUCCUUUUUAAACUUUACUGCAUGAGUUCAAAAAAAAUCAAAAGACAAGCUCAUUUUCAAGGAUGUGAAACAUCACAUCCUAACUCAUUGGAUGUGACAUUCUAUCUCCCGAAAUAAGAGGGUCUUAGCAUGCAUUUUGAUUUAUACAAGUUUCUUUUUAAAUAAAAGGAUCGCAUUUUUAAUCUUUUCAAGUGUUCAACAUUCGACAUUAAGACAUUAAUUAAUCAAUCAGGUACCAAUUUUGGGUGUUACGAGGGUGUUAACCCUUCCUCGUGUGUAAUUGACUCCCGAACCCGUUUUUUCAAAUUUCGUAGACCAAAAUCGUUUUCAAGAUGAUCCGAUCACAUCUUAAUAAAAGAUCGGUGGCAACUCCUAUUUUGUUAUUUAAUUUUAAAAGUCAACCCCUUUUAUUAAAAAAAUGGUUUCGACAAACCCCAUGCAGUCUUACAAUCUUGGAGAUAUAGAGCUUCGCUAACUUCUGCAGAGAGUAGUCCGUCCGAACCGGAAUAAAAUGAGUGGACUUGGCCAAUUGAUCACGGUGACCCAAACAGACUCCUUCUUUGUAGGUGUCAAGGGCAACCCACUAACGAAGUCCAUUGUCACUCGUUCCUAUUUCCAUAAAGGAACCUUAACAGGUGGAAGCAAACCCGAAGACAACUGGUGCUUAGCCUUAACCUACUGGCACGUCAGACAAUGAACAAUAAAAUCCAUAACCUCACGUUUAAAACUCGACCACCAGUACAGUUCACAGAGAUCCCGAUACAUCUUAUUGCCACCAAGAUGCACAGCAUAAGGGCUACUAUGCACCUCUAUCAAAAUCGACUGUCUCAUAUCAGAAUCAUUCGGUACACAAACUCGACCUCAAAAACACAAAACCCCAUCUUUUUUCAGCCCAAAAUCUGAAGUACUGCCACUCUCAACCUGUCGAAAUUGCUGAACCAAGGACUCAUCCCCCAACUGCCUUUCUCGAUUCUGCCCAAUCCAAGUUGGCUUAACUUGUAACACGGCUAACAGACCCCCAUAAUCAAACAAGCUAAGACGAACGAAGAUCUUACAACUAAAGGUAUUGGCCACCGCAUUGGCCUUAUCAGGAUGAUACUCUAUUGUGCAGUCAUAAUCUUUGAGCAGCUCAAUCCAUUGAUGUUGUCUAAGAUUCAACUCCUUCUGAGUAAGGAGGUAUUUGAGGCUCUUAUAAUCAGUAUAGAUAAUACACCUCUCACCGUACAGAUAGUGCCUCCAGAUUUUUAACGCAAAAACCACAGCAGCCAAGUCGAGAUCAUGCGUCGGUUAACUCACGCAACCAGAACUCAUACUUGCUCAACUUAGUGUAGAGCUAUUUUUCUCGGAGUAUCUGAAGCACUACUCUAAGAUGCUCAUCAUGCUCGUCCUCAGUCUUAGAGUAAACCAGAAUAUCAUCGAUCAAAACCACAACGAAUUGAUCUAGAUACGGCUGAAAGACUCAGUUUAUCAAAUCUAUAAAUGCAGCUGGUGUAUUCGUCAAACCAAAUGGCAUAACUAGAAACUCGUAAUGCCCAUAACGAGUCCUAAAUGCAGUCUUAUGAACAUCAACUUCCUUAACUCUAAGCUGAUGAUGCUCAGAUCAGAGAUCUAUUUUUGAGAACACAGAAGCCCAUCGAAACUGGUCAAACAAAUCGUCGAUCCUCGAAAGUGGAUACUUAUUCUUCACAGUCAGCUUAUUCAAUUACCGACAAUGAAUAUACAUCAUCAUGGUCCCAUCAUUCUUUUUUACAAACAGAACUGGUGCCCCCCACGAAGACACACUAGGGCAGAUAAAACCAUGAUCUAGAAGCUCUUGAAGUUGAGCUUUAAGCUCUGUAAGCUCCUUCGGUGCCAUACGGUAGGGAGCGAUAGACACCGGAGCUGUACCCGAUAGAAGCUCAAUGCCGAACUCAACUUCUUGACUUGGAGGUAAACCCGUUAACUCCUUAGGAAAGACAUUCGAAAAAUCUCUCACCAUUUUUAUAUCCCCGAUAGAAGAUUCCUACAGACUGAAACACUGACGAAAGCCAUAUACGUCUCACACCAUUUUCGAACCAAUUUCUCAGCCACAAGAGUAGAGAUCACAUUGGACAGAUAAUCUCGACGCUCUCCAAUCACAACUACCUCCUUAUCAUCCUCGGUCAUCAUAACAACCCUCUUAGUUGGCAAUCUAAGCUAAUUCUGUGCUCAACUAACAAGUCCAUACCCAAAAUUACAGCCCCUUACGCUUCUAAUGAAACAUUUCUAUAAAGUCUAUUAACCCGAACAGACUGCCCUAACGGACGUAGUACAGUAAUCUCACUAGAAGUACUCUCAACAAAAAUCCCCAGGUUUUUAGAAACAGUACUAGCUACAUAGGAAUGUGUAGAUCCUAUGUCUAUCAGAGUAGUAUAAGAAACAUCAAAAAUAAAGAAUACCGGUGAUAACAUUAGGAGCGUUUCUAUCCUCUCAGCGUGAAGCAGCAUAAACCAGUGCAGGUUACCUUGCCUCAGCUUGACGAGCACCUCUGCCCAGUGCUCUCUGCCAUCGGCCCAAACCAUUACCAUCCCUAACUGAUCCACGACCCCUAGGUGGCUGCUGAACUACCCUCUAAGGUUGUACAGAACCUAGUCUCAAUGUUUGUAUCUGAUCCAUACACUGUGGACACUCUCGAAUCGGAUGCUCCAAAGACCCACACCUUAGACAAGCUUCUAAUCUCCUCCAAUACUUGCCCGGGUGACAAACUCUCACUCCUUCUGUGGAGUAAUCAAUACCCUCAGAUUAUCCCUCAAGCCAUCCUCAAAACAGACGCAUUUCUCAUACUCAGACGCCACCAUUCCUCGAGCAUAGCAGCUCAACCUUAGAAACUCAGCCUCAGAUCUAUUACCUUGCGUGAGAUUCAUGACCUCACGCCUAUGAGUAUGUACAUAGCUCGCGCACACAUACUUCCCCUAAAAAUCAGUAUUGAAUAAGUCCCACUACAGACGAUCUGACUGAGUACCCUCCUCAACUGAUAACCACCACUGAUAUGCCUCAACCGAUAACCUUAAGUUUCUACUCAAAAGUACAGCCAAUAUCGUUCAUGGUCCUCUCGAUGGCCUCCAACCAAUACUCAUUCAUAGUAGGGGUGACUCUAGUGACACCCGUAAAUAGCUCAACUCUAGUGGACAAGAGUCGUUCAGUUAUCGACCCACAGCCUCCAAAUCUAGAAUGGGGUCUAGCGACUCUAUCCAACACCCUCAACAUGGCUUGGGAUAGUGCGUCAUCCCCAGCUGAGCGGUUUUGGGACCCAGUCUCAGUAGCAAGUGAAAUCGGUGUCUCACUCAUGUCUAAAUUUGGCAUACUGCCCAAAGAGAAAGACUCAGCUCGAGCCCCCUACGGCCUCUACCAUGCCCACGAAUACCACGACCGCGAGUUCUACAAGCACUCAUUAUAUAUUUUAAAAUUUAUCUACAUUAUAAAAUUUUAUGUAUCAGUUCUAGUAUUUAUUAGCAGAUAUUUUAUGCGUAAAUUAUUAGAAGUUUAGAAAUGUUUUCAGAGGUUUUAGUCUCUAACUAAAUCAGUACAGUUUCAGAAAGUACUAACUAUAGUGUUGUUAAAAUAUUCUAUCUAAGUUCAGAAAUACUUACAAGAUCGACACCGGAGACUCGGUGUACCACGUACUUUCUCAAAUUAUCCAAAAUAUUUGAAAAUCAGUUCUUUUUGAAACACAAUUUUGGAACCCAAAAUUCACAGCAUGAGUUUUACAACCUGGCUUUAAUACCACUAAAUGUAAUACCCCAAACUUGACCUAGACGUUAUGGCCAUAUCUAGAGAUGUCACAAAAAAGGGUUUUUUGAAAACUGAGUCGUUUCGAUAAAUCAUUCAAGUUUUGUAACUCUUAUUCGUUUAUAACCAUUAUCGAAAGUGUUGUUUAAUUAAUUUGUUUUUCAAAACAUAAAUUAUAGUUAAAGUCAUGAAAACGUUAUAUUUGGGAAUUCCAUUCGUAUUUUUAGAAAACGUUUGUUUUAGUAAAAAUUAUGUUUUUAGCUAAUCGUCUCAAAUAAAGUGUUAAAUUGAAAAUCCCAAACCCCAAAAUUAAGGCAAACCGUCCGAAGAGUCCAAUUAUUACAAAAAUCCCAAAAAUAAACCUUAAAUUAAAUAAAAAUAAAAAUCUUAAACAGUUACAAACUCGUGGUCACCGUGAGGCUCCAUCACACCGAUCCACCUAAAUCCAUAGAUUACUUGAACAGAACAGACAAACAUAUUUGAGUUUUUGUAAAUUUAGUGUGUAACCCAACAAAAAUAGACAUGCCAUUCAUACAUAUAUCACAUACACAGUCAAAUUCAGAUUCAGAUUUAGAUUCAGACUUAAGUCCUUUUCAGAUAUAUAUAACAGAAUUAGAUAUGCAAAACAGAUGUACAAAAUCCUACCCACAUCCUCUACACAGUAACUUCGACCAUCCAAUAAUACCUUUGUGGGGUUAAAAAAACACCCACUCUUCUCUACACACCAUAUCGUGUCAUUACGGCACAUAUCAGAUAAUAUGCAGCCAAGCUGCCAGAAUAUAGGCAAAGGUCACCAUACAGAUCACUCCAUCCACAUAAUCAAUUCCCACCCCCAAACAUAUAUACAAAAUACAGAUAUAGAAAUAUCAUACUUACAUACUCAUAUAUAGAUAAUAUAUAAAUAUAUACAUAACAGAUUAGUCAUGCAUGCAUAAUAGUGUCCUACUCAAAGCAUACUAUCGAAAUAUCAGAUCGCAUAAUUUAGGGUUUGAUUAGCCAUUACCGACCCUACGGUAGGCGUACAGUCGAUUGGAACGACCCGUGUGACCUUAGGAAAAAAUUUGGAAAUAUGGGUCCAUAUUUCCGUGUAGGCCCACAUGCCCAAAUUGGCCUUGCUCGUAUGUCCCACACGGCCUGGCCUAAGACUCACAUGCCCGUGUAGCCCACACGCCCAACUUAGCCUAGUUCGUGUAGCUUACACGACCACAUUAACACCACCAUACGGUCGUGUCUUGUGCACAGCCAUGCCCUCGUCAAACACAGAGCCGUGUCUCGCACACGACCAACCACAUGGCCAGGCACAUGCCCGUGUGGCGUCAACAGUAUGGUUUUUUGGCUUUCGCUGAAGCUCAAUUUUUUUACAUUUUGGGAACACACCUGAUUCAAUUUUGAUGCAAAAGUACUCCCGAGACCACUAGAACCUAAAACCAGAAUGCCGAACACCUUUUAGCAACCAAUAUCUAGUUCACAAAAACUAAAUCGAUCAACACCCAAAAAAACUUACCGCCGAAAAAAUGAUCACACACAGUAAGCUAAAUUGUUAGAGUGACAACCACUGCCACAUCGUCUUUUCCUACACAACAGAAUUCAUGAAUUACUCACCAUUUAUCAGCUAUCAUAACAUUGCCCACAAUUCCACAAACCAAUCAUUAACAAAAAACAAAAAUUCACUUACAAAUUUGAUUAACGAACCCAAAAAAAAAUCACAAUAGCAACAAUUAAAUGAGAAAAAUAACAGUAAUCAGAAGAAGGAAACAAAAAAUUGAAAGCGGAGGACAAGGGAGGAGAGAAAAAAAGUUAGAAAAAGAAAUUUUGGGAAAACGAAAAGAAAAAUGAAAAAAAUCAGAAAUCUGAUAACCUCCCUAAUUUUUCUCCCACUAACCCACUAAAUCACAACCACCUUAUAAUUUUAGCUCUAUCGAAACUCUAUCAGUCAACUGAACAAAAAUUAACACCCUCGCUCACUCAAGGAUUCGAGCAUAAGACCUCCAACACAACAGGCUUAUUUUGAUAUGGAUUAAUAAAUAAUUUAUAUAAGCCCAUUCAACAAGGAUAAGGCUAGGAUUAGAAAAAUAACAAAAUUUGCAAAUGUGGGACUUGAACCCAAGACCUCACACACACACUCAGAACACUUAACCACUGAAGCAAAUACACAAUUGUGUCAAGUAUUUAUAGAAACAUAAAUAAAUUAAGCGGGGCGUUAUGUUGACAGAAUGUAAGUGCUUAGCCAGUUACAUCAUGGGGCUAACAUGGCCUUGUGAUGGAUAUGGAACGCAUACAGUAUGGGGUUUUGUGGUUUCAACGGAACUCAUCUUAACAAAGCAAUAAAAAAAUUUAGAAAAUUAAGGUCAGGGAAAAGCUUUCCUUGUUUGCUAGCUUCAAUGAAGCUUGAGGAUUACGUAGGCAUAUUUAUAUAUCUUUAUAUAUAUAUGCUGAAAAAAAUUGAAAAAAUGUGUAAUUUUUUUAAAAUUUACCAAUUUAGAUAUGCUUUUCGAGAGAAAGAAUAAUGCAUCCUAUAGGACAUGUUUUUAUUGAAAAUUAAUAACUCAGAUAUUUUGGGCAGAUGGUUAAAUGUUGGUAUUUUUGUCUUUUAGUCAUAGGUUUGAUUCCUUUCUUACUCACAUCUAUAUUUUUUUUAUUUGAUGUUGUUUUUGUUAUGAAUAUCUUAUUAAGUGAAUGUCUAUCAUGAUCAAGAUAAAGUUUUGAUGAACUUUAAAUUCUAAUAGUUAUUAGAGUUAGAUCUCUACUUCUUUUAUACUUUUUAUACCUAUAAAUAGAGACUUUAAUUAAGCAUUGUAAUCAUCCCUUUGAUUAAUAAAGUACAUUCUCCAUUGCUUUCAUAUUUUCUUUGUCUUUCAUUCUCUCUAUCUUUCUUUAUUUUAUAACAUGUUAUCAGCACGAUGACUUUCUAUUUUUUAAAAAUCUUUUGAAGUCGUCCCAUAAAUCAAAUUUAUUUUCACCUUAAACUUUCUCCCUUACAACUUCAUCUUUAAGAUGUUGAAAGAUUUAAUCUCAGAAUGGGUUGUGGUUCUUAUUCCCAAUCUUUGAUUUAUAAUUAUACAAGCAUGGGGAAAGAAUAGAUUUGUGCUCAUGACAAUAGUCAGGGUGAUGACGAUGAUGUUAAAAAUCUUAAGGUAUAUUUUACUAUGUUUUAUUUAUUAUAUAAUGUUUAUUAUAAUUGGAGACUAAUCAUGAUAAUAUGAAUUGGUAGAUUUUGCGAUGGUGAUUAUGAAAUAAAGAUUCUAUUGGGAUGUUUAUAAGUUCAUCCUGCUAGAUUUGUUGCAUUCCCCGAAGUGAAUGUAAACAUAAAGAAAAUAAAAGAUAUACUCAUGGACCACUAAAAGUGGGAAAAUAGUAAUAAAUAAGAAAACAAUGAGAGUUCUCAAGAAAAAUUUUCAAAGCAUAAAGAUAACUUAUGUUAUCAAUGUGAAAUGAAAGAUUAUUGGUCACAUAUGUGGUGUAUGCCCAAAUAUUUUGUCUCUGUUAAUAUUCUUUAAGGAAGGAUAUGAGGAUGUAGUAAUGAAUUUUAUCAUUACAGAUAGAAAAUAUUUAUCUUAUUUGGCACUAAAAUAAACAAAUAUAUUCCAAUAUUUGAUAGUACAAAAUUAGUUGAAAGCUCCAGAAGAGCUAAUAUAUCAAUAUCUAAAAAGCACAAAGUUUGUGAUGGUUAAUGCAUUAGUUUUAAAAGAUAUUCAUAAUGGAUCUCAUAUUGAGAUUGUGAAUGAGAAAAAUAUUAUAUUUCAUAUGAAUCAAAAGAGGAUUGUGUUAUUUAUAUUUUGAAUCGAACUCGGGACCUCUUGCACUUUAAGUGAGAAUCAUACCACUAGACUAAAUGCCUUAUAUUUGAAGAUUUUGACAUAUUACCUUAAGCGAAUAUUACAUAUAAUUCACUACAGCAAAAUAGGAUUUUAGUGGCAUUUUUUAUGCCUAUAGCACCGUUAAAACUACCGUUCUUUAGUGGUGUUUUACUAAAAACCCCACUAACUUUGGCAGAUUUCAAACAUCCAAUUUUCAUCCAUAGGCAACCCUUCCUGUAACAUGGAAACCAACCAAAAACAACAAAUCUGAUACUUCAAAUUCAACGAAUGAUAUAUUAUAUAAAUUGAUAAAUGAAGUAUAAUUCAAAUUAUUCUUACAGUAAUGUUAAAAGUUAAGAUUUUAAAAAUAUUCAUACAAUAGUUUAAGAUGGCAGAUUUUGCGAUUGCUGAAACAUCUUCAUCAUAUUCUAAAGCUGUAGUUAGAGUGCGUCCUACUUUUUGCUCUACUCUGUUUCCCUCGCUGUUGCCUCUGCUUUAAGUUGUAGUUGGAGUUCUUCAUAUUUUCUUUGAACCUAAGCUUCUCUCGAUGCUGCCUCCGCUUUAAGUUGAGUAAUUUGCUCAACUGUUGUCGCUUGCAUCUGAGCCAACUAGUCUCUUAACCUCUGAACUUCAACUUGAGCCUGACUCCCCGAAGGCAUGUAUUGCUGCGAGUUGGAUCCAAAAUAUUGGGUUGGGUUAACAAAAAAUCCUUGAAAUCGAACCCGACCAUAUCUUUUAGGACCAAAAAAAUUAGUAAUAAUUCAAUUAUCAAUGUCGUCAACAUUAACAAAACUAUCACUUGAAGCAAUCGCUUCAUACUCCGCCUUUUUAUCCUUUAGUUUCUCCUAAUAAAUUAAUCAAAGAGUUAGAAAUGAAAUAUAUAAUAAAAACAAAUGCAACAUAACUUAACAUUAUUUGCAUUAGAAACGACGAAUUAAACCAUUAUAAUUAAACACUAUAAAUAUUUAAAAUAAUUCAGAUUUUAUUAACUAAACAUACCAUAAUUUCUGCAGCUUCAGAAGUCAUAGGAGAUCCAUCUUUCUUCCUAUAUGUUAUGUCAAAAAGCUAAAGGCGUCCAAUUUUUUGACCAGGCGGCAGUUCCUACAAUAUAUAGUAAAAAUAUUAUUUAAUGGAAAGUAAUAAAUAUUUAACACUAUUAAUAAAUUCAAAAUACCUCAGCCUCAGCUACACAAGCAAAACUUUUCGACCCAACUGUGUGAGUGAAUUUUUGUUUUUGCCUGCUGCUUGUUCCAACUCGUUCACGAUCCUACAUUAUGAAAUUAUUAUUACGUAUAUAGUAAAUACUAUAAACUGAAAUAAUUAUAAGAGUUUGGAAGUACGUAAUACAUCUCCUUUCUUUGAAUUCCAAAAUCUAACCGCAUCUUCCCAUUGGAACCUUAGUAUUCCCGGUGGGACAUUUCGCAAUUUCUCUUCGAGGGUUGUUUUUGUCUUAAAAUAUUCUUUCUUUAAAGUACUUUUAUGGUCACUCCAUCUUUUUCCCAAUGCCUUCUUGACAUAAUUAUCCGAGACCUCUAAAGUAAACCUUGCCUACAAAAACACAAGUUUAGAAAGUAAAUAUAAGUGAAACUUAAACCAAAGUAUUAUAAAUUACAUUAACGUUUUGUUACCUUAAUAUUAUCGAUAGCUUGAUUUUUGUUACUAUUAGGCAUUUGAUGCCAUGACUCGUAGUUGAUAGGCAACAUAUUGGCAUUUCAUGCUAUAAUGCCCAAAUAUCCUGCUAAAAAUCGAGCUUCUGAUCCAACAGGCUGACCAAAACUGUUUCUACAUACUUUGACACGCUCGACAAGAUCUAACUCGUAUAAAUCUUUAAGUAGCGUACGUCCUCGUUCUCUGUACGUCCUCGUAUGUCCUCGUAUAAAUCUUUAAAUAGCAGUUUGUUGUUCACUAUUUGUUUCUUUCGAGUUUAGAGUAUUUUGAACAAUACUUAGAUCUCGCAAUCUUCUUCUAGGAAUUUUAUCUGCAAUAAACAUAAAAUAGUUAAAAUUUUAGUAACUAAUUAUAACAAUAACAACACAUAUAAAAUAGUUGAAAUAUUUAAUAAGACCAAGAUUUAAAUUAUGGUAUUGCAUAUAAUUAAAAAAUCGUAAAAUCUUACUACAUCAUAAAUUGUAAAUAUCUUUAUCAACAUCCUGGCGAACCCAUUGAAAUUGUGUACUAGUACUAGGGAUAUUUUCGUUUAAGUUUUGUUUUAGAAAAGGAAAAGUUUCUGAUCUGUCGUCGAUGUCAUCUCUACUUCCAUUGCCCAUGUCAAACAAGUCUCUAGGGAUGUUACGGAGUACAAUGUACCAACCCUCAUCAGUUGGAUCUUUUGAGUAAAAAACUUGUUUCACUUGAUAAAAAAAUACAUACGGCUUAUCUAUCAAUUGUUGUCCAAUGUGAAUCAAUCAACAGAAGUUCACCGUUGUAAAACCAAAUUGAUCUUGUUUAAUUCCACGAGCAGUAUUAACAUCAGCCCAGUCACAUCGAAAUAAGACAACUUUCCAUUUAACAUAGUAAUCCAACUUAAUAAUGUCAGUAAGAAGUCUGUAAUACUCCACAGUUCCCUCAAUAGGAUUAUUGUCCUAGCACUAGCAUAACUUGUAAUUGAAGAAUUAACAACUAUUCCACAAUUUUGAGUUCUCCUCAAUCUCUCCCGAUAUUUUGUACGAAACCUGAAUCCAUUGAUGAGGAAUACACUAUAUCUUUUUACAACUCUAUUCAGACCUUGGGAAAGCAAUUUAACUUCGUCAUUGACGUCCUUCCCACUCCAAACAUGUUGAAUCGAAAGUAAAUUGAGUAAUUAUAAAUGUUAUGAGAAAAACAUUUAUUAUUUUUCAAUGAAAGCUUCAACUACAUACCAUUUUGCUUAACCAUUCAUGAAAAGAUUCUGUGAAUAACUUAUUAAGCUCUCGAUGUUGUAAUCUUCGGGAGCGUGAACGAGAUCUCAAGAUUUGUUUGUACUCACUAUGUUAAAAAGAGGUUUACUUUGUUAGAAGAUAAACAAAUUAUAAUUGAUGGAUAUUUAUCAAAUUCCAAAACUUACUUGUGUAAUGGUUCCAUUAAGUCGUGGUGAAAAAGAACAUAACGAUGUGCUUGUACCCACGAUCUAUCAUCUAAUUCUGAAAUUUCAACUUCGCCGAUUGGUUCUCCAUAACUUUGAAAUAAAUAUGUUUCGGCCAAGUUAUGAUCAGUGAGCCCAGCAUUUCUACUUGGUCUUUUUAUUCUUGUUUCAACAUCUUCAAAAUAUCUAGAACAAAAAGUCAUACAUUCUUCAGCCAAUUAGCCUUUAGCAAUUGAACCUUCUGGAUAACGCUUGUUACUCCAAUAAGACUUCAAUUUCGAUAGGAACCUAAACACGAUAUACAACAUUAUCAAAAGUUGUAAGUAAAGGCAUAGAGGUGAAUGAACGAAUAAUUUACAAAUAAAUUAACACCUUUCUAUGGGAUACAUCCAUCAAUAGAAAACGGGUCCACCAAGUAUUGCUUCAUGAGGGAGAUGAAUUAGCAAGUGCACCAUAAUAAUGAAGAAGGAAUGUGGAAAGAUCUUCUCCAAAUUGCAUAAAGUCAAUGUGGCUCGAUCUUGUAGCGUCUCAAGUUCUUGAACAUCCAAAACUUUGCCACAAAUGGCUUUCAUUAUAUUGGAUAGUUCAAUUAUACAAGAAACUUUUUCGACAUACAACACCGCAUAGCAACUGGCAGUAAAUCUUGCAUCAAGAUGUCAUAGUCAUGUGAUUUUAAGGCAUAUAGUCUUCGAUCUUUAAGACUCACACAUCGAGAUAUAUUUGAUGCAUACGCAUCCGGGACCUUUAUAUCCUUCAACAUCGUACAGAAUACUUUUUUUUUCGUCUUCGACAUUGAAAAAAUAGAAGGUUGCAACCGAUAUUUCCCAUUCAAAAGUGCUUGGGGAUGAAGAUCACGCCGAAUUCCCAUGUGGACUAAAUCAAGUCGACUUUGAAGAUUGUCUUUUGAUUUUCCAUCGACAUUGAAAAUUGUCCCAAUGAUGUUCUCACAAACAUUUUUCUCAAUAUGCAUGACAUCAAGAUUGUGUCGUAAAAUGUGAUGCUCCCAAUAAGGUAACUAAAAAAAUACUUCUUUUUCUCCACAAGUCCGCCUCAUUAGGAUCAUCCUCUUCAUCAUCAGAUUCAUCCAUUGAUCUUCUAUUUCUUUGUGUGUUGGGUGGUUGAUUCAUCUUCCCAUAACUGAAAUUCAUAUUUUUCAACAUGAACAAGAUUUCAGAUCCACCGGUCUACGAAGGAGCUUUUCUGAACUCUUUAGUACCGUCAAACAGAGUACUCUGAAAUCUACAUCUAUGAUUUCCUAGUAACCAUCGUCGAUGCCCCACGUAAGAGAACUUCUUCCCAUUAUAUAGCCAUUGUGAACAUGUUUGCACGACACAACAAGGACAAGCAUAAUGUCCCUUGGUACUCCAACCAGAUAAAUUGGCAUAAGUCGGGAAGUCAUUAAUAGUCCACAUCAAAGCUGUAUGUAAAUUAAAGUUCUCCUUUCUCAGUACAUCAUAUGUCUUAACACCAGCCCAUAAUUGUUUUAACUCUUCAAUAAGUGGCUACAAAUAAAUGUCAAUAUCAUUUCCGGGACCUUUCUCUCUAGGGAUAAUCAUAGAUAAGAUAAAGGAAGAUUGUUUCAUGCAAAUCUAUUGAGGUAAAUUGUAAAGAACAAGCACUACAGGCCAAGUACUAUACGCAGUGCUCAUGAUUUUGUAAGGAUUAAAUUCAUCAGAUGCUAGCCCAAGCCUCACACUCCGAGGAUCGCUUGCAAAGCUUGGAAAUUUACUAUCAAAUGAUUUCCAAGCUAUAGAAUCCGUAGGAUGCCUUAACAAUCCAUUAUCGAUUCGUUCAUCAUGGUGCCACAUCAUAGACUCGGCUGUCUUCGAUGACAUGAAAAGUCUUUGAAGCAUUGGUAUUAGCGAAAAAUAUCGCAAAAUCUUAAUUGGCUUCUCCCUUGACUGUGCAUCAUUUUCAUCCUAGUUACCAUAUUAUGUAUUUCUAUUCAUCCAACGGGAUUGACCGCAUACAUGAUAGCACUGUUGGUUUUUUCGGUCGCCCCAAUACAACAUGCAGUCAUUUGGGCAACUCUGAAUUUUGUUGUACCAAGGCCUAAACCUUUUAUCAAUUUCUUCAUAUCUUUGCAUGAAUGAGGGAUUUUUGCAAACGGAAACAUCUCUCUCAAAAACUCUAACAGCAUUGUCAAAGAGUUUCUGGUCCACCCUCCCAAACACUUUAAUUGAAAAAGACGAAUAUAGAAGGACGUUUUUGAAAAUUUUGAUCCCUCAUAAAGUUCUUCAUUCAUUUCAUUAAGCAGCAUGUAGAAAUUUGCCACUUCUCCAUUUCGCUCUUCAUCAGGUAUACUUCUUCCCGUUUCGGUAAAAUCAUUUCACUGAUAUUACAAUCAUCAAAUGCAACAAAGUCGGGUGGAACGAUUGCAAACCAUGACUGUGCAUAUUAAAUGCAUCCCGCGACAUACCUUCCAUGUCAUCUUCUCUAACAGACUGAUGGUAAGCACUACAAGGAUAAGCCGGAUUAAUCGUUGAAAAGGAAGUACUAAGUGUGCAUUCUCCAUGGAAAAUCCAUUUUUUAUACCCCCCGAAUAAACCUAUCGACAAUUAGAUGCUCGUAGACAACUUCACGAAAAUGCCAAUUGAUGUUGCCACACUUCUUACACGGGCAAAGAAUCAUAUUCUCUUGGCUUGCAUUUUGAAAUGCAAAAUUUAGAAAAGUUUGUACUCCAUUUCAAUAGUCGUUGCUUACCCUUGACAAAUUCAUCCAAGACCGGUCCAUUUCGUUGUUCUUGAAGCCUAAAGUUGACAAUAAAUUACACGGGUAAUCAUGGCUAUUUAUAAGUAUAAUUAAGUUAUGUAACUUAUGAUAUGAUAUAUAUUUAUGUAUUAUGCAAGUUAUGUAAGUUAUGUAAGUUAUGUGAGUAUGCAAAUUAUGUAAGUUAUGAUAUAUAUUUUGUAAGUUUUAAAAACAUUUAAAAAUAUUAAAUAUUAACAUCAACUCAAUAAAACACUAAAAUAAUAGUAUAUAGAUACAAAUAUUAUAAUAUAGAUAUUUCCGUUCUAAUGUUUAAAUUUAUUCUUUUUUAAUUUAAAUCAAAGCUCAAGACAUCAACUUAAUUGACUUGUAACAUAAUAAGAAUAUUUAACGCUAAUGAAUUAACAUUAUAUCAUUUCACAAAUUCUUAAAUUUUUAAAUUUUUUUAUAUAUAUUGGAGGUGAUUAAAGUAUCAUAAUCAAUAUUAACCAAGCUAAAAAAUCUCAACAACAUAACAUUUACCUAUUUUUUAAUGAUAGUAAGAAUUUCAUCAAGCUUUGCUGAUUGAAAUCAAUUUAAUUAAAUCCUAAUAAAAAAGAGUUGUUUUUGCAGCAAUUUUAAAAUGAAAAUUAAUUGUUUUUGCUGCAAUUUUAAAAUGGAAAUUAAAAAAAUUUGACAAGUGUAUUUAUCGUAUAUCUUUACAAAACAUGUCAUACACUAAAUUUAGAGUAGAUCGAUUUUUUAAAAAUUCUCAUAAUUGUUCAGAAAAAUAGUUUUUAUAGCAACCAUUUUCAUUAAGCAUAAUCUUUUAAGUCCUUCCACAAAUUUGAUGUUGAUGGACUAUAUAUAGCUGUAGUUUUGUCUUUAUUCAGACAUAAUCUUUUAGGUUUUCGUGAGCAAUAACACAUUAUGUUUUGUAAACUUAUGCAUUAUUUAUUCAUUUGAAAAUAUAUAAUUACAACGAACCCAAAUCAAAUCUGAACCUGAAACAAAUUCGAUUCAUAAAAACUUUAAAUCAAUUCAUUUCACAAGUUGAUAAACCAAAAUUAUCCAAACAAAAAAUAAAAAUUAAAAACUUUCACAGUGGGAAAAUAAAAACUUCAUAUUUAAAUGAGUGAAAGUAACUUUAAUAUAAAAAAACAGUUUUAAAGAAAUUAUGUAUUUAUCGAUGAACCAAACCGAUUCAAACUAGUGAAAGGUUCGGUUCAAUUUGAUUUCAAUUUGGAUCUUUAAAAACCAAAAUACUGUAUAAUAAUUGCAAAUAUAUUCCAUAACCGAUCUUAACAUACAACACUUAGUACAAAAUGGAGCAAAAAAGAACUUGCAACAACAUUAACCAGAACUUGCAACAAAAAAGAACUUGCAGCAACAUUAACCAAAUUCCUAAAUAAAACAGUCCCAAAUACAAAUAUACCAAAUUCAAAAAUAAAUUUAAAAAUGAAAAAAAAUAAAGAAAAUAAAGGAUUAACUAACCUUCUGGUUAUCUAGGCUUUCUGUGUAUUGCUUCAAACCAGUGAGAGCUGCCAAAUUUGUCGACUAAACUGCUAAAACUAAAUUGCUACAAUCAAAAUGGAAAGAAAAAACUACUACUCUGCCUCUGCCUGACUAAAUUGCUAAAACUGCAUGAGAAAGCAGCCAAUAAUGCACUAACGAUAUAUUUUAAAAUAAAUAUACAAAAAAAAUCUAUGCUUUCAAAUCGAUUUUAAAUUCGAAAAUUAGAAUAUGCACUAACGAUAUAUUUUGGUGGAUCCAAGUCUGGAAUUAGAAAUAGUUAGAAUAUGCUUUCAAAUCGAUUUUAAAUUCGAAAAUUACUUUUACCACAAACAAAUUAAAAAUAUAUUUCAAUACAAAAUAGAUUUAGGCAUUCGAAAGCAUACGUUUUAUUGUCAAAAUGUAACAGUAAAUGGUUAAAACCCUAAACAGACUAAAUUGCUAAAACUAGAAUUAAGAGAGAAGAAAACAAUACCUUUAGGAAGAUGAAGAGAAAUUAAAUCACUUCGGAACAGAUUCCACAAGUAAAAGUGUGAAAUGCGAACGUUUUUAGGGAUCAGAAACCCUAAAACCAAAGACGAAUUGACUGGAUUUUAGGGUCAAUAACUUUGAAAUAAACAAAAAAUUCACACAAACAAGAAUAACCCAAACCUUAAACACGCAAAAAAAAAGGAAAUGAAACAGGUUCAAGCUUACCCAAAAAACAGAAUGUCGUUUACUCUGUCUUCAUAUAAAUGUUGUGAAGAAAUCAAAACGAAUACUCCUAAUAAGUAAAAAAAUGAAAUGAAGAAUCGAAGAAACAAAAAUAAAGCCAAUGCUAGUUCUAUAGGUUCGUCUCUGUGAAUGAGUGGAAUUAGGUAUUUCGAAAGGGAAUUAGGGGCUGGGUACUGGAAAGGGGAAAAUUGUUAUGUGGAAGAAAAUAACGACGUUCUGAAAAAUUUUUAAUUUCCUGAAAAGAAACGGCAUUGUUCUGAACAAUUUUUAAUACAUUGUUGCGGCGUUUUUAGACAAAACGUCACUAAUGCUUACCUUUUGCGGUGAUUCUGAGAAAAAUGCUACUAAAAAGUUAAAAUCUUGUAAGCAAACGAUGCCGUUUUUGUACACUUUUUAAUACAUUGUUGCGGCGUUUUUAUAACAAACGCCGCUAUUGCAUACCUUUUGCGGCGUUGUGGAGAAAAAUGGCACUAAAAAUCAAAUUCCUGUAACCAAACAGUGCCGUUUUGUACAAUUUUUAAGACAUUGUUGUGACGUUUUUGGUCCAAACGCCACUACUAUUAAAAAUUUUUCAAAUAUUUAAUAGUUUUAUAAAAUUAAAAUUUGAUACAUUAAUAUGACAUUAUUUAAUUGUUCCAUUUUAAAAUUGAAUAUAAUGAUGGAAGAUAAUUCUUCCUCUACUAUUAAAAAAUAAUUUAAUUUGGGUAUCUUAAAAUUUUAAUAAUUCUAUUAAUUAUUUUAAAAUUAGUUUUUUAAAGUACAAAGAUUAAAUUCUAAUGAAUUAAAGUAAAAACCUUAACUUUUUUUUCCAUAAAAUAGAAGGAUGAAAUUCAUAAUUAGACAAAAAAACCCUAAACCUAAGACCCUAAACACCUGAAAACACCUAAAUCCUAAAACCCCUAAACCAUAAAAUUUAAACCCUAAUCUCUAUACCCUAAACCCUUAAACCCUAGUCCCUAAAUUACCAUAAACCCAAAACCUUAAACCAUAAACCUCCACCAUAUUAACUAAACUUUAAACCUUAAACCCUAAACCCUAAACCUUAAACCCCAAACCAUAAACAUACACCCUAAACCAUAAAUAUAGAUAUUACAGGGGACAAAAGUAAUUAAAAAGGAAUCUUAAAUACUAAACCCUAAACCCUAAACCCCAAACCCUAGACUCUAAACCAUAAACGCAAAACUCAAAAUUUUAAUCCGAAAAUAAUAAACAUUUUAUCAUAAACCUUAAACCAUAGACAUUAAACCUUAAAUACUACCCCUUAAACCCUAAACCUUAAACCUUAAAACCAUAAAGUGUAAAAUAAAAUGAUUUUUUUGCGGCGUUUCUUCAAAAGUGCCGCUAAUGCUGAACAAAAAAACGAAAUCAAUUUACUCAUUUUUUGCGGUGUUUCCCAAAAAGCAUAGCUAAUACUUGUUCUAUAGCAGUGUUUCAUAAAAAGCGCCGCGAAUUCUCGAUCUAUUGCAGCGUUUUUUAAAAUGUGCCGCGAAUACCACUAAAUCUCAAAAUAGAAAAUGAUGUCGUUUUCUCAACUUUUUUGCGGCAUUUUUCGUAAAGCGCUGCUAAUGUUUGACCUUUAGUGGCAUUUUACAGAAUGCCUCACUAAUUCUCGAACUUUUGCAGCGUUUGUAAAAAAGUGCCACUAAUUCUAGAUUUUUUGCAGCGUUUGUUAAUUAUCGCCACUAAUUGAAAAAGCAAACGGCGUCGUUUUUCCCAAGUUUUUUGCGGCAUUUUUAUAUAAGCGCCCCUAAUGCUUGAUCAUUUGCUACGUUUUAGAAAAAGCGCCGCUAUUGCUUACAUAUUGUGGCGUUUGUUAGAAUUCGCCGCUAAUGCUCUAUUUUUUGCGGCGCUUUUCGUUCAAACGCCGCUAUAAAUGCUGCUAAAAACCUGUUUUGUUGUAGUGAUUGUUUGAAAAUUAUAUUUAUUUAUUGACUUAGUGGGAUUAUAGACUUCACAUUGAUUUAGACAUUUCUAGUAGUAAAUGUCACAAUAGUAUUUAUAUGUGGAUACAAAAUAAAAAGAAGGACAAUAAAAUUAUCAAUUAUCAAAAUUUAUAUUUACAUUAUUAGUACAAUUGAAAAAAAAUGUUAAAGUAAGCCAGAAGUUUUAUCUUGGAUUACAAAUCAAGCAUUUAAAAGAUGAAAUUCAUGUUCAUUAAUCAAAUUAUAUGGAAAAUAUGUUAAAGAAAUUUUACAUGGAUAAAGCACACCUAGCUAUUAAGUACUCUGAUGGUUGUACGAUCGUUAGAUGUGAAUAAAGAUCAAUUUCCUCCUUGCAAGAAUAAUGAAGAGUUUCUUCGUUCUAAAGUACCAUAUCUAAGUGGCAUAGGGGUAUUGAUGUAUCUUGCAAACAACACAAGACCUGAUAUAACUUUCACUGAAAAUUUGUUAACAAGAUUUAGUUCUUCUCCAGCACAGAGACAUUAGACUAGAAUUAAACAUGUAUUUAGAUCUUUCAAAGGGACCAUUGAUAUGGGGUUAUUUUAUUCAAAUGAUUCAAAAUCUCUAUUAGUUGGCUAUGUUGAUGCUAGAUACUUAUCAGAUUCACAUAAAGGUCGAUCUCAAAUAAGAUAUUUAUUUACAUGUGGGGUUACUGUCAUAUCAUGGCGUUCAACAAAGUGAACAUUACUUGCCACUUCUUCAAAUCAUGCAGAAAUAAUUGCAAUGCAUAAGACAAGUCAAGAGUGUGUUUGGCUAAGGUUAUUGACCCAACAUAUCCAAAAGAUAUGUAAUUUACCUUUAUAGAAAGAGAUGUCAACUAUCUUAUAUGAAGAUAACACAAAAUGUAUAGGAAGAGAAGUCGACUAUCUUAUUUGAAGAUAAUGCAGCAUGUAUAGCUCAGUUGAAGGGUGAUUACAUCAAAGGACAUAGAACGAAACAUAUUUCACCAAAAUUAUUCUUCACCCGUGAUUUUGAGAAAAGAAGUGAUAUAAAUGUUCAACAAAUUCGUUCUAGUGAUAAUUUAUCAGAUCUUUUUGUAAGGCAUUGCCGACUUCAACAUUUGAAAGACUACUACAUAAGAUUGGAAUGCAUCAACUAAAAAAUGUAAUGUAGUGUUGCCAUUAGGGGGAGUUUAUCUUAUAUGAAGAUAACACAAAAUGUAUAGGAAGAGAAGUCAACUAUCUUAUUUGAAGAUAAUGCAGCAUGUAUAGCUCAGUUGAAGGGUGAUUACAUCAAAGGAGAUAGAACGAAACAUAUUUCACCAAAAUUAUUCUUCACCCGUGAUUUUGAGAAAAGAAGUGAUAUAAAUGUUCAACAAAUUCGUUCUAGUGAUAAUUUAUCAGAUCUUUUUGUAAGGCAUUGCCAACUUCAACAUUUGAAAGACUACUACAUAAGAUUGGAAUGCGUCAACUAAAAAAUGUAAUGUAGUGUUGCCAUUAGGGGGAGUUCAAAAUAAGUUGUACUCUUUUCCUUUAACUAAGGUUUUGUCUCAUUGGGUUUUCCUGGUAAAGGUUUUUAAUGAGGCAGCUUGUAAUAAAAGAUUGUGUACUCUUUUUCCUUCAUUAAUUUUUAUCCACAUGGUUUUUUCUAAUAAGGUUUUAACGAGGCAUAUUAUCUACAAAUGGACAUCCAAAAGGGAGUGUUAUGAAUAUCUUAUUAAGUGGAUGUCCAUCAUGAUCAAAAUAAAGUUUUGAUGUACUUUAAAUUCUAAUAGUUAUUAGAAUUAGAUCUCUACUUCUUUUAUACUUCUUAUGCAUAUAAAUAGAGACUUUGACGAAGCAUUGUAAUCAUCCCUUUGAUUAAUAAAGUACAUUAUUUAUUGCUUUCAUAUUUUCAUAUUUUCAUAUUUUCUUUUUUCUCUCCAUUUUUCUUUAUUUUAUAACAGUUUUAAGUUUUUUUUUAUUUUUAAUUAUCAUUUUUUACACAUAAACUCUUUUGGUUGGAUGGUUAGAUAAUUGGGAUUUCAUCAUUGAGUUUUAAGUUUAAUUCCUCUUAUAAGCAUUUUAAUAUGUAUUUUUUAUUUCAUGUUGUUUCAAACUUUUUUAUUAUUUUUAAUUAAUGUUUAUAAUUAAUAUUUAUAUUGUUUUCAAGUUUUUUUUUAAUUCAUCUCGCUUUUAUUUAUAAAAUCAUUUAAUAAAGUGAAUUUGUUUACAAAAAUUAACUAGUCUUUAGAUAUAUUUUUCUUUUUAUAUAAUAUUUAUAUGUCAAAUAUUUAUUUUCUCCACCUAUAUUGUGGAGUAUGGUGAUUUCUAAUAUUAUAAAAUCAAAUAAUUAUUUCAAAUAUCAUUGUUUUUUCAUCUACAUUGUGGGUAUGAUAUUUCAAAUAUUUUUAUAUGUGAAAUAUUUCAAAUAUAAUUAUGUUUAUCUGUGAAAUGUUUCAAAUAAUUAUUUCAAAUACACUUACAAAAAUAUAUAAUAUCAUAUAAUAUGCGAAUUCACUACACUUAUGAUGUGGAUUGAAAGAUAAAUAUUACAAAUAUAAAAAUUAUAUUUACUAAAAAUAAUGAUAUUUUCAAUAAUUCUUUAACUUUAUAAAUAAAAGGGUUAUUAAUUAAAAAGAUGAAUUAAAAAUAAAAAACUUGAAAGUAAUAUAUUUAUUAAUUAUAAACAUUAUGUAAUGCCCUAAAUUUUGAAUAUUUCAUUAGCAAGUAUUUGUUUUAGUGGUUAAGUGUCUUAAUUGUGUGUUUGAGGUUUUGAGUUUAAGUCACACUUUUUGGGAAAAUUCAAUUAUUUUUUGUUCCUAGGCCUAUCUCUGUUCGUUGGGCUUAAAGGUUAUUUUUAAUCAAUUUAUGUCAGAAUGAGCCUGCUGGUUUAGUGGUAAAAGAUUGCUUACUAUUGGUCUUGUGUUUGAAUUCCCAUGUGAGCAAAAGAGUAAUAUUUUUGCAAUUUACUGUCUAGGGUGCACAUGGGAUGAAAUUGGUUUGAAAAUCAAAUUCUAGGAAGUUGGGUGGUUGUUGUAUACCAACGUUUGUGAAAUUUUAUGAACAAUGGUGUUAGUGGGUAGGUUAAUUUGUUUUAAAAUUGCAUUUUGGUUAGGAUUGUUUUAUUUAAAAUAUAUGGACACUUUUGCUCUCGCACGUUCCCUUUUCUCCUUCCCUUUCUUGCUUCAGUUAUCCUUUUUCUUAUUUCUUUCUUUGUUCAAAUGGGUGGGGUCCCAAGCUGAUCUUUUUUUUCUUAAUCUUUGUUGUUUCAAUUCUUCUUGUUUGGCCAAUCAAGGUUAGUAAUAAGUGUUGACUGCGACUUGAAUUGUUCAUAAGUAUUGGUAUUCUUUUCCUUUUUGUUUAAGAAUUUGUUGUCGUUGUUUCUCAUUUUGUUGGAGUGUGUUGGUGGAGUUAAUCAUGGUUAGUUGUUUGCUUUGGUUUAGGGGAAACACAAGAAAUGAUUCAUCCGUCAGUGACUUAGGAUUGUGGAGACGCUGUUCGUCCAUAGGUAAGGGUUUUAUGCCAAAUUAGGCUCGUUGUGGUUGUUGAGUUAAUCGGAUGUGGGUUGGUUUAGUAUUUUAGAGAAAUUAAAGAUUUUAGUCACUUAAUCGUUGCACUAUUGUGGGCUAAUUUGCUUAAUGUUCGAUGCAUUUAGGUGUUGGAAUACUAAAUUUGUGGAUUCGCAUUGAAAUCAGUCAAUGUGUGUAAUGAAAACUUGAGAAAACAAUGAACAAUGAAAGCCAAAAAAGUGAACUGUUGACACCACAUGAAUGUGUGUCAGGCCGUGUGUUGGAGCGUGUGGGACACACGGUCUGGGCUAAUUGGGUUGUGUGGGCCACACGGGCAUGUGUGAAACUGUGUAGGCCCAAAAUUUAGAAUUUUUCCCUAAGACCGUAAACAUCGUUCUGGUCGAACGUAGGCCUUUCGUAGGGUCCAUAUGACAUUAAUUAACCUUUAAAAUAUGAUUUCUGAUGUUCUGUUAGCAUAAAAAUAUUGAUAUGAGUUGUAUGACAAAUAUGAUGUAUGCAAAACACGAACUGUAUUUCUGGUAAGUCUGAUAUGUAUUUGUUAUGAGAGCAUGUAUGACAUGUAUGUUCUAUUAUAUGUUAAUUUUUGUAUGUGCAUUGGGUGUGGGAUUGUGUAUAUGGAGGAAGUGUGGGUAGAUAUACCUCUGCCAUAUCUGGUGGCACAACUACACAUAUUUCUGUAAAUGGCAAAAAAUCGCCUAAUGAUCAGUUAGCUAAGGUACGAAUAUUCUAAAAAGUGUCAUAUAUUGACACUAAGUGGUGUGUAGGUUUGGAUGAGUAUUCUAAUACCAGAUAUGGUAUGUUGGGAUGGUCGAAGAUGGUGUGUAACGGAUGGGGGUAGGUUCUUAAAUUUGCAUCUGAUAUGAUUUUAUACGAAUUUUGUUUCUAUUAUAUGUCUAAUUAUUAUUUGUUGAUAUUCUAUUAUGUUACACAUUGAGCUCAUAAGCUCACUAUCAGUUUGACUAUUUACUUUUAGGUAACCCUUAGACUUAGGAUUGGUUGGUGCAGCUGGAGCUCGGUUGAACAUUUCUGUUAAUCAUGCUAUUCUUUGUUAUUUUACUAUUUUGGUUUUAAUGGACUAUUUGGACAUUUUUGGGACUGUUUUAAUGUUUGGACUUUAUUUAUUUUAUUUUAUUUUAAUUGAUUAAAUGUUUUUGGUGGGUAGAAAAUUGAUUUGCUAAAUGAUGGAUUUUAUAACAAAAAAAUUGUGUUUUCAAACUGGAUUUGACUAAGUAUUCCACUGCAAACAAAUGUGUUUUACUAGUAAAUAAUUGACAAACUUAUCAAAAGAGCUAAGAAAGAUAAAUUUCCUAAAUAAACUCAAAUUUUACUAAAUAAGUGCAAGUAUCGUUUUAUAAAAUGAACGGAUUCUAGAUUUUUUUGAAUGUAUCAUAGAAACAUCUCUAGAUUUGGCCAUAACAUCAAGGUCGGGUUUGUGGUGUUACAUUUGGUGGUAUCAAAGCUAGAUUGCAAAACUCGGGCUGUGAAUUUUGGGUUCAAAAUUUUGUGAAAAUUAUAUUUUAAAAAAUUUUCUUUCUGUUUAAAUCUGAAAAGUGAGUUUACAGAAUACCGAAUCUCCGAUGCUGAUCCUGCAAGUACUUCUAACUUAGUUAAACUUUUAGUUUAGAAAAACUCUUAAAUGAUUAUAAGUGCUCUGCGAUAGUUAGAGACUGCAACAACUCUGUAAAUUUUUUUGAUAACUUUCUGAGCAUAAAAUAUAUGUCAAUAAACAUCAAAAUUGAUACAUAAAACUCUGUAAUGUAGAAAACAUACUAUGAGUGCACGUGAAACUCAUGGACACGGUAAUCGUGGGCGCAACGGGCACCAAAAAGGGCUCGAGUUGAGCCGUCCUCGAUGGACAACAUGCCCAAUUUAGAUACAAGUGAAACAUCGGGUAUGCCUACUACUGAGAUUGGAUCUUAGACUCAGACGGUUGGGGACGAGGCAUUGUCCCAAGCCAUGUUUAGGGUGCUUGAAAGGGUCGUUGGGACCUAUUCUAGAUCUGAGAGUCAAAGGUUGGUAACUGAAUGACUCCGGUCUAACGGUCCGAAACUGUUCAAGGGCGUCACUAAAGUCGCCCCAAUUGCGGCAAAAUAUUGGUUGGAGGCUAUAGAGAGGAUUAUGAAUCAUAUCAAUUGCACCCCUAAGCAGAAAUUAAAGGGUACAGUAUAUUUGCUUAGCGAUGAAGCUUAUCAGUAGAGGUUGACCAUUGAGGAGGGUACUCAACAUGAUGAGAUUUCUUGAGAGUACUUUAAGAAUGACUUCUAGAGAAAAUAUGUGGGGGCUCGUUAUGUGGAGGCUCAUAGACGAAGUUUAUAGGCUUUACUUAGGGGGAUAAGACCGUGGUUGAGUAUGAGGCCGAGUUUUUGAGGUUUAUCAGAUAUGCUCGUGGGCCUUUGUCAACUGACUAUAACGAAAGCAUUCGGUUUGAGGAAGGGCUAAGGUAUGACCUCAAAGUUCUGAUAGCUCCUCAAAGGGAGUGAGUUUUUGCCGUCUUGGUGGACAAUACGAAGAUUGCUGAGGAGGUUAAGUGCAUUGAGCACGAAAAUAGGGAUAUAGAGAGAGGUAAGGCUAAGAGGGAUUCAGAUCCCUCUAGUUCUAUUUAGCAGCUUAAGAAACGGGCCAGAUUUGAUGGGCCUCCGAGGGUUAAGGCAAAUGUUUCUCCUGCUGUGGUUCAGACAUGUAGAGAUUAAGGCAUCAUCCAGGUGAAUAUUAGAGGACGUUGGAAGCUUGCUUGCGAUGUGGCUUGAUGAAGCACUGCAUCCGAGAUUGUCCGCUCUACUCUAGUUAGGUGCAAGCUCCAGUUUCGCGUUUAGUUCAACCUCAAUAAGUAGUUCAACAACCACCUAGGGGUCGUGGUCAGGCCAAAAGUGGUAAUGGAUUGGGUAAGGGUUAGAGAGGAUUGGGAAAAGGUGUUAAUCAGACUAAGGCUAGGUAAUUUACUUUGGUAUAUGCAACAAGACACCGUGAGGAUAGAGACACCGUAGACAUUAUCGUCGGCACGUUCUUUAUUAAUUCUAUAUCGUACUUUGCACUGAUAGAUAUAGGUUCAACACACUCCUACAUAGCUAGCUUUGUUUCUGUAAACUUGGGUAUUUUUGUUUAAAGCACUUUUGGUGAGGUUUUAUUGAUCAGUUCACUAGGUCAAUCAGUUCGGGUUGAUAAGGUUUAUAAGAGAGUAUAGCUGGAGAUACAAGGUGUAGUGUUUCCAACUAAUUUGAUAGAGUUACCAUUUGGAGAAUUUGAUUUGAUAUUGGGUAUGGACUGGCUCGUGGAGUAACGGGUCAACUUGGACUAUGUCACUAAGAGGUUAACUCUAAGGUCUAAAGAUGAUUUAGAGAUUUUUGUGAUUUACGAGCGUCGAGAUUACCUCUCUAGUGUAAUCUCCGCUUUUAUGGUUGAAACAUUAGUUCAGAAAGGCUGUGAGGCAUUUUUGGCCUUUGUGCAUAACAUUAGUCCAGUGUAAUCUCUGCUUUUCAAAAAACGCCGCUAACGCCUCGAAAAAUCCAAAAAUGACAUCGUUGUGCUUGGGUUUUUUGCGGCGCUUUCUGGAAAAUGCCGCUAAUGCUCAUUUUUAAUACUGGAUCUUUAGCAGCAUUUUUCCUAAAGCACCGCUAAUGCUUGAUUUUUAGCGGCGUUUUUUAUCCAAACGCCACUAAAAACACCGCUAAAAGCUUGUUUUGGUGUAAUAUAUGAGAGUGUAACUGUGAUGUCGAACCAUCAUUUGGAAGAAUUUUCUUGGGGACUUGCAAAUAGUAAAUACCUAUUUUUAUGGGUAGUUAGGCCUGACGUUGUGAUGGGAGAAUCAGCUAUUUUUCCAAGAGAAUUCAUGGAGGCAAUAAAAGGAAGGGGCCUCAUAAUAAGCUGGUGUCCCCAACAACAAGUGUUGUCCCACCCAGCCGUUGGCGUUUCCUUGACACACUGCGGAUGGAAUUCUCUGUUGGAAGCUGUAUCCGAAGGUGUGCCUUUAAUUUGUUGGCCUUUCUUUGGUGAUCAACAAACGAAUUGUCGAUAUUCGUGCACCACAUGGGGCAAUGGAAUGGAAAUCAACCCUGACGUAAAGCGUAAGGAUGUGGAGGCUCUUGUUAAAGAGAUAAUGGAAGGAGAUAAUGGGCAAAGGAUAAGGCAAAAGGCAUUGGAAUGGAAGAGAAAAGCUAAAUCUGCCAUUAGUGUUGGAGGAUCUUUUGUUACCAACUUUGAUAGAAUGAUCAAGGAGGCCUUACGUCAAGGUUGAACAUUAAAAUAACAAAAAAUUGUUGUGUUGAAUGUUGUGUAUGUACUUUUUUUUAAUUUUUAUAAUACACUAUUAAUAAAUUGGUUAAUAUUGUGUAAUUGGUAAUAUACUCUCUCUUUUUUUUAAUUCCAUAAGUAAACUUAAAAAAUUGUUAUGUAUCUAAUUAAUUUUAUAAAUUUAUUUUUAAUAUUUUAUUAUAUUUUUAUAGAACACUUAUAAUCACUCUAACCCUACUUUAUAAAUUGUAGAUCAUAUAAUCGAAUUUGCCUUAUUAUCUCACCUCUAACUUUUAUUGCCUCGCCUUUAUUUUUAAUUUUUCUUUUUUUUCUAGUUUUUCUUUUGGUUCAAAGAAGAAACCAAACAUCAUAUAGUUCCCCAUGUAGAAAGGGAAACAGAUACAAUAUAAAUUAACACAUGAACUUACUUAAAUAUGAUUCUAAGAUUAAUCUAUAAUUUUUUUCUGCUUUUAUAUUCUGAUUAUUUAAUUCUUGAUCCAUAUAAUUUACAAUGGGAAAAUUUUCAUUUAGGCUAUUUAUAAUUUAUAAAAUUUUAAAUUAGUAAUGAUAAAAUUACACUUUGGCCCCCUUAAAAUGAUAAAAAUUUGAUUAAUUCUUUGAAAAUUAUAAAGAUAUAGACUAUUAAAAUGAUAAAAAUACAUUUUUACCAUCAUAAAAUAUACAAUUUAAUUCCACCCUGAAAAACUUUUCUAUUUCCACCACUGCUUUAUAUUUAAAUUAAUUACUUCCUUUUAAGAGCUUGAAUUACAAUGUCACAUUAUUCUCUCUCUAUAUAUAUUUUUACUUUUAGAUUUAUAAUAUUUUAUAUUUAAUAGUAUAUUUUAUUUCAAAUGUUUCAUAUUUAUACUCAAAGUCAUUUAAAUUUUGGGUUUGUUUCAUAAAAUUUUAAGAAAAAAAUAAAAAUAAAAAUAUAAAACAUAAAACUUUUAUAAUUUAAAAUUUACAUUUAUCAAAAAAUCUAUUUAUAUUUAAUAAUUAAUUUUAAGUAAUAUAUCAAAUAAAAUUUAUAAUUUAAAUUCAAUAUAUGUAAUUUUUUAACACUUAAUUUUUAAUUUAUUUUUUUAUAGAAACAUUUGAAUUUUUUUUAUCCAUAUUCAAAUAAAUGUGUAAUUGGAUUUAUGAACUUUGAAACUUGAAUUGCACUUCAUAUGUAUACAUAAAGCUUUGAUUGUAUACAUUUAAAGAAAUGAAUACAUACAUUUAUUUUCAUAUUGGAUUAAUAUUGUUUUUUUGUGCAUGCAAUAUAUCAACAUAAAAUUGUGUUAAUUCUUUAAUAUUAGUCUAUGGUUUGUGAAUUUUGAAUUAAAUUAAAAUUUCAUGUAUAAAAUUGUACAAAAUAAAAGCUCAUGUAUGACAUUGCACAUUGGAUCAAAAUUCAUGUAAAGCUUUGAUAGUUUUCCGUAAAAAUUAUUUAGAGAGUGCGUUUGGAUGGGUUGUAAGUAGUAAUAUUAAUUAUUGUAACAGUAAUAUUAGUUACUAUAACGGUGAUGAUAUAUAUGUUUGGAUUUAAUCAUAGUAGUGAAAGUGGGGUAAAAUAUAAUAAGAAGAAAAAAUGAUUAUUGAACACAUAAUAUUAAAAUUUAUAUGUAAUAGAAUUUUUGAAACUAUUUGAUAUUUGUAAAGUUAAUAAUUAUAAAUUAUUAAGUUUUUUAUAUAAAUAUUUUAAUGAAUAUAAAAUAUUAAGAUGGAUGGUAUUGUUUCAAAUAAUAUUUUUCAUCAUUUUUAUAUAGUUAUUUAAUUUAAUUAACUUAUAUUAAUUAUAUAAAUAAAUAUAGUUUUGUUAGUCUUAUCUUAUAAAAGUAUAUUUGUAUAUAUUUUUUUAAUAUUUACUUAUUAUAUAAUUAUUAACUGAAAUAAAGUAAUGAAAAAAAUUAAUAUCACAAGAUAUACAAAUACUUUUGUUUUAAAAUAUUUUCUUAAAAAAAAAAAAUGAUAAAAGGACAAAAAACUGAAAGGACGUGAUUGGAAACCGGAGGCUGCAAUGGAGAUGAAAAUUUUUAAUCUUAGCUCACUAGUGAUCCCAAAGAGCCUAAAUUAAUUUGUACCCAAAAUAUGUGGGUACCUAUCAUAUGAAUAUUUAGUUUAAGCUUGAUUUAAUAUUUAUUUUUAAAUUUGAAUUUAUUUCAAGAUAUAAUCAAAUUAAUUAAACAUGAACUCGAUUAAAUUAAAUAUAUUCAAGCUUGACUUGAUAAUAAGCUUAAGGAAUUAAUAAUAUAUAUUAAGGGUAAUAAUGUAAUUUAAUACUAUACAAAUAUUUAAAAUUUAUCAAAAAUAAAAAGCUCAACAAGGUUUGCGGGCCAUUAGACCCAAAUAUUAUUAAGCUCAAAUUCGGUUAAACUGAUAGUUUAAAUUACUCGAACUAGAGCUCGACUCGAUAAUUAUCAAAUCGAGUUUAGAAUCAAACUUAAAUAACUUGCAAGGUACCUAAACUUAUUUUAGGCCACCAUAAUCUCCAAAACCCCAAUUUUAACAUUUGAACUAAAUCUUCAUUUCUUCUUCACAAACUACCAUAAUCUAGUUUCUAUUAAUAUGGCUCUAAUAAUCUCUGAAAUCAAAGACCAAGCUUAUUUAUACAUGCAACUCUCUUUUUAACUGUUCCAACUCACCAAAGCAAAAUACAAAAGCAAUACUAAAUAUGAGCUUCACAUGCAUACCUCACACAACUGCAUUCACUUAUAAAGGAAAAAAAAAGCAGAAAUAGAGACAUUGAAUGAUCCCCAUACAUUAUUUAAGUAAUUCCCCACUGACAAUAGUAUUUCCAGUUAACCAUGUUUGAGAGCUUUCUUAACAAAUCUGUCGAAAUCAAUAUAAGAUGAUCCCCCAACUUCAACCGCUUCUUCCGCUUUCUUCUUCCAUUCCAAUGCCUUCUCUU
rnacentral:lncRNA from 1 species